rnacentral:lncRNA from 1 species
UGAGUUAAGAUCAAUAGUUCAUUCAUUAGUUAUUAAGGUUUAAAUUUGUUGUAGGAAUUAUUAGGAUUUGAUUUAGGAUUUAGGAUUUGAUUAGGAUUUGAUUUAGGAUUUAAAGUUUGGUUUAGAGUUUAGAAUUUGAUUAGGAUUUGAUUUAGAAUUUAGGAUUUGAUUUAAGAUUUAAGAUUUGAUUUAGGAUUUAGGAUUUGAUUUAGGAUUUAGGAUUUAAUUAGGAUUUGGUUUAGAGUUUAGAGUUUGGUUAGGAUUUGAUUUAGGAUUAGGAUUUGAUUAGGAUUUGAUUUAGAGUUUAGGAUUUUAUUAGAAUUUAUUUAGGAUUUAAGAUUUAGUUAGUUUUUAGCCUAAAGUUUGAAUGAAGUCAAAUAGGAUUUUAACUAGGAUGAAAUUUUGAUUGAAUUGAGAUAUAUUUGAGAUAUAUUUGUAAUCAUUCUAAUAUAUUUUUAAGAUUUUUUAUUAUUUCUUUGUAAUUCCUUUGAGGUUUCUUUGAAUUUGAUUAAAGCUUGCUUAGUAUUAUUAUGAUCUAAUUAGAAUUUAGUUAGUAUUUUAUUAGAGUUAGGAUUUUAUUAUUGUUGUUUCCAUUCUACCUUCUAUAGCCAAAUGCCCAAAGCAUUCAUAAGCAAGACUUCACAUAUUACAACACCAUGUCAAAAAAAAAGUGAAAAAAUAAAAAUAAGGUAGUACAUAUAUUAAAAAGAAAUUAGAAUGGCUUAUUACCAAAAGACAAGAAACAUAAGACUCUUAAAACUAGACUAGAAGCAAGAAAGGAGUUGAUAAGAGUGAAGAGGGCUUCACUCUUGCUUCUAUAUAUACUAUCUAACUAAGAACUAUGUGGUGAUGUUCUAUAGGUGUUAAGGACCAUAUACAAGACAAAGAUUCAAGACCAAGGAAUAGAAUUAACUUGAGAUUAGAACAACAACUAGAUACAAGGCAAGAAGAUCUUAGCUAAACCACAAGAAGUAAAUUGUCAAGAUUGAGGAUCCCUUCAACCUCCACUCCUAUAUAUAUUAGGUCCUAGGAAGCUUCUUGAAAAGUUUUUAUAAGGCUUGAAAACAAAGCAAGUCUAAGAUACUUCUUUGGCAACUUUCUAAAUUAUCUAAAGCCUUCUAGAAUCUUUUAGGUCUUCCUAUGACCUUCUAGAACUUUCUUAGUAUCUAUUAAAACCUUUCAAAACCUUUUGGAAUCUCAUAGAACCUUCAAGAGCCUUUCUGGAACCUAUUGGUAUAUUCUAAAAUCUUUUAGAACCUUUUAGAAGCUUCUAAAACCUUCUGGAACCUUCUUCAAUUAUAUGUCCAUGAUAUCACCUCCCCUUCUAGCUUCGAGGUCUUUGAAAAGUAAUGCUAUAGCAAGUGAGUAUAUGCGUAAGAAGUUGAAGAUCUAUGGCAUAGUAUCUGAUAUAUAUUUCAAUUGUUUUUUGUGAGGUAAAUGAUUUAUAGGCCCUUGUAGCCAUGGAUAGUGCCGUAAGCUUUCUACUUGUGAUGAAGCAUGAACUUUGAUAUCUUCAUUAUAGAAUUUGUUUACAAACACUCCUUCUAGAUGUCCUUCAUAGGUAGGUUCUACCUCAAACAGAAUUACCAAUGACCUAUUAUUAGAUAUUGUUCCAUGUCUUUGUGAUUCAGGCGGCUCUUCAUCUUGGGGUCAUCUUUGCGAGCUACUUGGUUGAGAUUGUAUGAUUGGUAGGGCAUCUAUCUCUUGACUAUCUAUAUCAUAUAAAAUAGAUAAGACCAAAAGAAUAUAAACAGGCUAUGUUCAUGAACUCAAACUAUUGACUUAUAAUAUUUUAAACAUUUGACAAUAACUGCCUCUUCAGAGGUUACAUCCUCUCCUUCUUUAUGAAGUCAGGAACUUAGAAUCUUCAUAGUGAAGCAACCUUAUCAAGCUACUGUUUUUCAUUAUGUUGCUUUUGGUGUAGAUGGAUGUUAUUGAUGGAACCUUCGAACCUUCAUUCGUGCAUUUAUAAGAUUGUCAACUAGUUCCUAUGUAUAAUCAUUGAUAUCAUAUCUGUACAAAUGGACCAUAUAUUUAAGCCUUUUAUAUCUUAUCCUUAAAUUUAAUAUCUCUUCUAUCUCAAAUUAAACAUGAUCAUUGAUUGCAACCAUUGGAAGUGGAAGUUGUCUUUGAUCUGAUAUGUUUGAUUCUUUAUACCUUUCCAAAAGUGAAACAUGAAAGAUUAGAUGAAUCUUCAUGGAUGAAGGUAACUCCAAGUGAUAAGUUACGUUAUUAAUUUAUUUCUAAAUCAUAAAUGGUCACAACUUUCAAUCAUCCAACUUAUCAUAUGGCCUAUCAGUUUUUAUAUUACAUCAAAGAAGCCACAGUUUGUGACCAACUUGAAAUGGAAGAUAUUCCUUUCUAAAUUCAUCCACCAAUAACUUGUAAGGUUGUUGAGUCCUUUCUAGGUGAGUCUUCAUGGUUGCUUGAAGUUUGGCCAGCUUUGUAGCAAACUUCUCUGCUACUAGAUUUACCGACUUUGAAGACUCUAUCAUAUCCAACUUUAGAUGCUGACCAUAGUUUGAGUAGAAUGGCAUUUACUACGUAGAUGCAUGGAUUAUGUUGUUAUAUGCAAACUUUGCCAAUGACAAGUAAGAUGUCUAAUCAUCUUUUUAAUAAUUGAUGGUAUAUCUCAAAUAGUGCUUAGGAAUUUGGGUAACCUGCUUUGUUUGGUCAUCAAUUUGAGGGUAGAAGGUAGAAAAAAGGUUGAUGUGAACCUUAAUAAUCUUGAAGAGUGCCUUGCAAAACCUUGAUAUAAAUUGUGAUCCACGAUCCGAUACAAUAUCAUCUGACAAUCCAUGGUAAUGAUAGACAUUGUCAAUAAAGAGACUUGUCAUCUCAUCACUAAUAAUUGGCUUCUUGUAAGGUAUAAAAUAUGCCAUCUUGAUCAAACAAUCAACAACUAUGAAGAGAGUAUCAAAUGAGCUUGAUGGUGGAAGAUCUGUAAUGAAAUCCAUAGAGAUAGAUGAUCAUGGUUGUCUUAGAUAAAAAGAAGUUGAAGAAGUCCAUAUGACUAAUGUCGAGGGUUCUUUAAUCUUAAACAAGUAUCACAUAAUAGUACAAAUUUCUUAACGUCCUUUUACAUUUUAGGCCAUGAAAAGUCUCUAGACAGAAGUUCCAAGGUCUUUUUGAAUCCAAAAUGUUCAGCUGCAGGGAAGUCAUGGCAUAUUUGAAGAAUGUGUAGGCUAGUUGGUCCUUCAAGAAUGAACAAACUUUCUUCAAAACAUAAGAGGUUGUCUUCAUACUUGAAUUUAGAAGACUUUUUAAAAAGAUUUUUGGCAAGACGUUUGAUAUUAAAAAUAAGAAGAUCCAUGUUUGAAGCUUUACAAAUCUGAUAAAGAAAUGAUAAAUCCAUAGGCAUUGAUACAUUGGUUGCUCAAAGAUAAAAUUGCUCAAGUUUUAACAAGAUUGCUCGAAGAUGAAAUUACUUAGGUUUUAAUAAGGUUGCUCAUUGAUGAUUAUAUGCAACCUUGCUUUCUUUUGGUUCAAAGUAGGAACGUCUUGAUAAUACAUCUAAUAAUCUUUGUUGGCUUUAAAAUUGAUACAUUGUCGUAUGGUAUAAUUUGAUAUCUAGGAAUAUACUAGAUAUCUAGCUGUAGAGAGUGUAGCUUAAACCUUUAUAUGAAUCUUAUCUUAGCUUCCAAAAUUCCUUUAUUUUGCAUAAAAUUCAAAAUAUAACAAAACCCUUUCAAAUCAUAUUUUUGCUGUAAAAGGUUUACUCUUUCCAAAUUUUAGAAAUUCAUAACUCUUUAUCUAACCAUUCAAUUUAUUUAAAAUUUAUAAAGUAGAUAGAAUUCACCCUUAAGUUUUACCACAAAAAAAAACCAAUUGCAAAUUCACUUCCAAUCUUCUAGCAUCUAAAAAAUCCUAGCAGAUGUUCUAAACCCUAAAUUAUAAGCACCCGAACACUAUUUUCUUAAUAUCUCAAGAAUCCAAUAUUAAAAUAUUAUAAAACUUAUGUUUAAAGUUUAUUAACAUGAAAUUACACAUUUCUUGAAAUUUUGAGCCAAAACCUUAUCAAAUUGAUAUAAUAUAUAAGAUAUAGCUCAAGACACAACCACUAGUAAAUCGGGUCACUUACUACCCUUAGAUUGCAUGUGCUGACUUCAAAAUCUAAUAACUCCUUCAUUCUAACUUAGAAUCCAGAAAGCAAUAUGCAAAAAGUAUAGCUGCAAAAAUACUUUCUUCAAUCGCAGUCGCCAAUCCUCAAUUGCUGUCUGUAUGCGUGCGUUAUGCCAAAAAGAGUGACAAUAGCUUCCAAAUCAACUCAUUAACUUUGAGCACCUAUAUCUCCUUCAUAUAAACUCCAAAUCAUACAAAACUUGCACCAAAACCAUAGCCAAAAAUCUAAACUUGCUGAUCCUAGCCUUCAAAGUUCAAAUGAUUCCAAAAAAUUAACCCUAAUCUCUAAUAUGGCCUCGGGCAGCCUUCUCAAAGUCCAUUGGUCAUGAUUUUUGACCAAUAGGAAUGGAGAUUUUCAUCAUCCAUCUCCAUUCAUCUAUAUUGGUGCCUUAAUUACUCCCUUUGCUAUCAAAAUCCUCCUUCAUUUUUUUUUUUUUUUUAUAAGAUUUAUAUAAUUUAUAAUCUAAAAACCAAAUCAAAGAACCAAAAUAAAUUUCCAAAGGUCACCAAUGUCUCACAAAGAUGACUCUAAAUAUUUAGAAGUUAUUAUCAACCAAAACCAAUCUUAAGAGCCACUAUCAAAAGAAAAUUAAAGUUAUACAAAUUCUAUAGUAAUCGUUUUAAACAACCUCUUUUCAAAGUAAUAAUCAAAUUAUAUUCUAAAAUCAACUAAAAUCUACUAAUAUGGCUCUCACCAUAUUACUUAAUAAAUUAUAUAAUAAAUACAUAAUUAUAUUAUUUUCAUAUAGUAGCUGAACCACAACAUGACAAUGUGAUACAAAAGGCAAAUUGUGAUAAAGAUAUACUGUAACACGCUUCGUGACAAUUCAAAACUCGGGCUAAUAUGAAAUAUUUAAGGUUCUUAUGAUCUAUAUAUAUAGUCACCUAAUGAGCGGCACUUUCAAGAAAGUAGUGCCAUUCUUGGAAAGAAUCUAUAAUAACAAACAACUCUUUAUCGUGGAUUUUAUAUUUAAUUUUUGCAGCUAAGAAUUUUUUAGAAUAGAAUAUAAUUGAAUGAAGUUUGUUAUCUUUUCCAUAUUGCAACAAGAUUGCUUCCAAUGUGUAGUCUGAGGUAUCAGCUUCCAUAAAAUAAGGCUUGUUGAAAUCUGGAUGUAUCAAAAUUAGAGCUAUUAUAAAAGCACCUUUUAAGCUUUGAAAAACUUUCUCUAUUUUGGGGCCUUGGUUGAGCUUUUCUUUGCAUAUCAACCACAUAAGUGGAACAACAAUCUUGGAGUAAUUCUUAAUAAAAAUCAUGUAGAAGUUUGUAAAUCAAAUAAAGUAUUGAACAUCACAUACAAUUUUUGGCUUUGCCAAACCGAUGAUUGCUUGUACCUUUUUUGGAUCCAUAAAAAGGCCUUUGUUGGAAAUAAUAUAUACAACAAAUUUGACUUGAGGUGCAUGAAGUACACACUUCUUCAGUUUUGCAUAUAAUCCAAUAUUUUGUAGUUUUUCCAACACAAGGCAGAUAUGUUUUUUGUGGUCUUUUGGAUUCUUGGAAAAGAUUAGAAUAUCAUCUAAAUAGAUCACAACAAAGUAAUCAAAAUUUUCACAAAAUAUAUCAUUUAUUAAAUAUUGGAAUAUGGCUGGUUCAUUGGUAAGUCCAAAAGACAUGACAUUAUAUUCAAAAUAUCCAUACAUAGUGUGAAAUGCUGUCUUUUAUUCAUCUCCCUCUUUAAUGCAUACCAAGUUAUAAGCGCCUUGUAGAUUAAUCUUUGUAAAGAUCUUUGCUUGGCUUAAUUGAUUAAGAAGUCCAAAUAUCAAUGGCAAUGGACAUCGAUUUUUUAUUGUGAUUUUAUUAAGACUGCAAUAAUCGACACACAUUCAUUAAGAUCCAUCUUUUUUUUUUACAAAUAAUAUUGGAGUAUCAAUUGGUAAUUUGGAAUGUCGAAUAAAAUUCUUAGCUAGAUUUUUUUCAAUGUACUCUUUUAAAGUCACAAGCUCAUUAUAGGAUAAAUUAUAGAUGGAUCAAAUAGUGGUUGAGCACCUUCUUAAAGGACAAACACACAAUCAUGAUGGAAAUAUUUUGACAAGAUGUCUACAUUUUUCUUUUCAAAUACAUAUAUAAAAUCCUUAUACACCUUUGGAAUUAUUGUUGUAGCAACUACAGGUUCCGAUUGUGAAUUUGCAUAAACAAUAAACGUAAUACUUUGUUUGAUCACCUUCACAAAGGCUAUAGCUUCAAUAAAAAAAAGUUAUUUAAGAUUUGACUUACCAAAUAUUAGAAGUUUUCUUUUUAUAGAUUUAGAGGUUCUAUAAUCUAUUAGAAGAAAUUCUAACUUUUAAGAUAUCCAAUCUAUCUGUGGAUUGUAUUUUUUAAGCCAUAAGAGUUCUAAAAUGACUGGACUUAAUGGUGAUUUAAUGACAUUCAAUACUACUUAGCUACUAUGGUUGUCAAAGGUUAUUUCCAAUGGAAUCGUUUCAUGGGUGAUGUUUCCAGAAAAUAAAGGUUGAUUAUCUAUUACUUCUAUAUGUAUACCUUUGGAUUUUUUGACCGUACAGAUUUUGUGUGAUCUAAAAAAUUCUUCAUCAAUAAAACAUGCACAUGCUCCACAGUCAAAUAAUACAUGACAAUCUUGUUUUGUGACUCCUAAUCGUAGAAGUAUAGUAAAACAAUGAGAAGCAUUGGCAGAGGAUACAAAAUAUUUUUUGGUUUGUGAUAAUGAAGAAUCUAGCCACACGAUCUUUAUUAUGGCUAGACGCCCUCGUUUUCCUACUAUGCUUUAGAUGAUGUGGUCUCACUCUUCAUUUGAUAUGUAUGUUGGUGUUUCUCUGAACAGUCACUAACUUUAUGGCCAGAUUUUCUACAAUAUAAAUAUAAGCCAAGUUUCCUUCGAUCUUUUUUUUCUUGCUCAAAAAGAGGUUUGAAGUGAAUUCCAUUAAUUUUCAUAUUUUUUGCUUUCAAAUAUUCAUUAGAAUUGGAUGGUGAAGAAAUUGCAAAAUAAUUGGUAUAUACAUGUGGCAUAAUUGAAGAACAUUUAUCUUUUUAUCAUUGAAAUAAAUGGUUAUCGCACUUCACAGCUUGACUAAUGGCUUCAUUGAGUGUUAGAGGAUCUGACAUAGACAACAAUAAGUCCUUGAUAUCAUCUCUUAAUCCCUAAUGAAAUUGGUUCAUCAAUGCAUCUUCUUUCCAAUUUACAUCAUAUAGUAAUUGUCAAAAAUUUGAGGCAUACAUUGAUGCAAAGCACGUUUUUUUGUCAAAGGCUUCAAAUUUUAAUUGUUGAAAAAUAAACCUUAUCAUGUUUACCAAAUGUUUCUGAAAAUGCUACCAAAAAUGCCUCAAAAUUAUGAAGUAUAGAAGAACUCUUUUCAAAUAAUGGAACAGACCCAGAUAAAGCUUUGCUCAAGAGCAUGGUUCCAACCAAAUGAACAUGAGAUGCUUUAGUGGAAUAUUAUUGCAAUUAAAGCAAGGUGAUUAGUCGUACUUGGUUUACAAAGCCACAAACUUAUUUGGAAGGCUAAUCCUUGGUUAUUUCAUUAAUAUUAUUGUCAGAUCAUUGACUUAAGUAGAUGUAUCUCCCAUGUUUAAAAUAGACAUAGUCAUCUAAGAAUUUGGUAUUGAAGAACAAGCAAUUUAAAGUCACAAUACUUAGCAAUAACAAGGUUGUACACAAAAGGGAGUAUGGAGUAAGAUUACUCUUACUUCCAACACUUAUUACUUAUAGGUGGUGGUUGCCUAUGAAUGAGGCAACUUCUAUCGAUGUUACAUCCAUUUUUACUUCAUUCAACUAAAUCCUAGAUUCUUUCUUAACCUAACUGCCUCCUACAAACCUUAGCCGCUACCUACAAAUCCUACAAGCUACCACAAUAAUUUUCUUAUAUUCUUUUGUUGCCUUUUGAUUACUAAUAACUUACCUAAGGUAAUACCUUUUACUAAGUGACUUACUUCAACACUCCCACUUUGCUAUUGAUCAAAGGGCUUUCAAUCCUAAAGCCUUUAUCAAUAUGUGAUGUCUAUCCUUUAGUAAUGCCUUUGUCAACAAAUCAGCAAGCAUGUCUUUCGUUGCAGAAUGCUUCAUAUCAAUCACUCCCAUUUCAAUCUUCUCUCUUAUAAAGUGAUGUUGAAUGUUAAUGUGUUUUAUUCUUGAAUGAUGCUUGGAAUUCUUUGCAAAUGCAAGACAUCCUUAAUUGUCACACUCUAUUGAAGUUGCUUCCAUUUGCAUAUCUCAAAUGUCCUUCAAAAAUUGUCUUAGCCAUAUUCCCUCCAUUGUACCAUAGCUUGCUGCCAUGUACUCCGCUUCCAUUGUUGACCUUGUAAUUGUUGGUUGUCUCUUGCAAUUCCGUGAUAUAGCUCCUAUUCCAACAAAGAACACAUAUUCUAUUUUUGAUCUUGUAUCAUUUGCAUCUCUACUCCAAUCUGCAUCACAAUAACCAUGCAAAGUAAUGUUAUCACCUCCAAGGCACAAUUUGAAGUUCAAAGUGCCUUUUAAGUACCUCAUGAUCCUUUUGAUGGUUGUCCAAUGGAUUGAUCCAGCCUUUGACAUGUGUUGGCUCACAACACUUACUACAUAUGCAAGAUCCACCCUUGUGCCAACCAUUGCAUAUAUUAGUGACCCUACUACUGGCUUAUAUAGAAUUCCUUACAUUUUACCUUCAAUUUUGGUAAAUUCUUCAUUUGUGAGCUUCAUCAACUUCAAAUUGGCCUCCAAAGGUGUUUUAAUAGACUUACAGUCCUCCAUGUUGAAUUAUUUUAAUACCUCUUCAAUAUACUUACUUUGGCUCAUUAUAAUGGUUUUUUAAUAUGAUCUCUUAUAAACUCCACUCCUAAAUAAUAGUGAAGCUCUUUCAAAUCACUCAUGUCAUACUCUCUUUUUAACUUUGCUUUCAAUCAAUCCAUCAUCUUCAUAGUAUUGGUUAAGAUAAUUAGAUCAUCAAUAUAUAAGAUAAUUAAUAUGAAUUCAUUUGAUUGCAUCACAUACAAUGAAUGAUCAACCUCACCCCUUACAAAUCCUUCACUCACAAAGAAAUUAUCAAUGCGUUGGUACCAUGUCCUUGGAGAUUGCUUUAGUCCAUACAAAGAUUUUUUCAACUUACAAAUAAGAUGUUGAUUGCCUUCUUAAACAAAUCCUUGAGGUUGAUCCAUGUAGAUGUCUUCUUUCAAGCUUCCAUUCAAGAAUGCCAUCUUCACAUCUAUUUGAUGCAUUUCCAAGUUCAUUGCUACCCCAAUCGCCACAAUAGUUCUAAUGGUGGUGAAUUUGGCCACAGGAGCAAAUGUCUCAUUAAAAUCAAUACCAACAACUUGUGAGUAGCCUUUAGCAACCAUUCUAGCCUUGUAUCUCAUAAUAUUAUCUAUUGCAUCCCUUUUUGUUUUAAACACCCACUUACAACCAAUUAAAGAUCAAUUUGGUGGAAGUUGAGUCAAUUCCCAUAUUCCAUUGUCCAUGAGUGAUUUGUAUUCUUCUUCUAUAGCAUUCUCCCACUUUAUAGCAUCCGUGGACUUCAUUGCAUCAUAAAAAUUCAAUAAAUCAGCAAGAACAACAACAUUUGCAUAUUCUUCACUUAUUUGAGGAAAUAUGUGGUCCUUCUACCAUUCACAACAUGGUUUUCUUUCUCUCAAAGGAUAUCUUCUUUCAUUUGGAGAAGCUUCAUCUUCUUGUACUUCAUGCUCUCUUCCAAGCUUCUUCUUCCUUAAAGCUAAUAUUUUCUCACUUAAAAGUUGAUAUUCCUCUUCAUCAUCAUUAUCAUCAAUAUCUUUAUUGUAUUCAUUGCUGAUUCUAACAAUUGAAGGCACACUAUGGUCUACUUUCUUUGACACUUCACCUUGAUUUGCAUUUCUUCUAUCUUUAUUGUCACCAUCAUCUUCUUCUUCUUUUUUUGCUGAAAUUGAUGAUGUGUCCAUAAACACACCGUUACUCCCACUUGGACACAUUUCCAAGUGCUCAAAAAUACUAUUAUGUUCUAAAAACUCAACAUCACGACUUUUGAUGACCUUAUUGGUCUCUAAACACAUUAGCAUGUAUGCCUUUGUACCUUCACAAUAUUCAACAAAUACACAUUUUGUACUCUUUUCAUCAAGUUUGGACCUCAUGCAAUCUGGUACCUAUGCAUAAGAAAUGCAUCCAAAGAUCCUCAUGUGUGAAAUACAAGGUUUCUUGCCACAAUAAGCUUUUUGUAGAGUCAUUGAUGUGAGUACACUUAUAGGGCACCUAUUCCUUGUGUACACUGAAGCAAUCACAGCUUCAGCCCAAUACUCAUGCUUAAGAUGUUGUGCAUGAAGCAUACUCCUUAUCAUCUCUACAAUAGUGUGAUUUGCUCUUUCAGCAACUCCAUUUUUUUGUAGAGUGUAAGAAGUAGAGGUUUCUCUUAUAACACCUUGAAUCUUCAAGAAUUCAUGAAAAUACUUUGACAUGUAUUCACCUCCAUUGUCCGUGCACAAUACUUUGAUUUUGCACUUACAUUGUUUUUUUUAUAAGAGCUUUAAACUCCUUAAAUCUUAAAAAACAUUCACUCUUAGCUUUAAUGAUAUAAAUCCACACUUUUCUUAAAAAAUCAUCAAUAAAUGUAAUAAAGUAUAUUGCUCCUCUAAUUGAUGGUGUCUUCAUUGGUCCACAAACUUCUAAAUGUACAAUCUCCAAUAAUUUGGUUGCUUGUAUUGCAACUCUAUUUGAAAAUGAAUUCCUUUGUUGUUUGCCUUGUAUACAACCUUCAUAAGCAAGUAUCAUGGCAUUGUGGCUGAACUGACUAAGAUCCAAGCCACUUACCAUGGAUUGAAUCUCUUUCAUGCAUUUGGCAUUCAAAUGAUCAAGUCAUUGAUGCUAGAUUCCAAACUUAUCUUGAUCUUCUAAAAAAUCAGCAAAUGAAGCAACUUCAACUCCAUUCACCUUCUUAUAAUUGAUGAAGUAGAGAUUUCUAUGUCUAAGGCCUUUGGCAACAUGUUGUCUAUCCAUUGUCUUCACAAAGCAUCCAUUUAUGUCAAAUUGAACCUUACAACCAUGUGAUAUAAGUUUGCUCAUCGAAAGGAGGUUCUUUUUUAUCUUUGGCACAUGUAAGACUUUCUUCAAUCUGAUCUUCUUGAUUUGGUCCUUCACAAUAAUCUCCACAAUAAUUAAGCCAAUUUCAAUGGCUUGUACAAUGCCAUUGUCUCCCAACCAAACUUUGGUUCUUGGAAUUUCUUCAUAAGUAUCAAAUAAAUACUUAUCUAGUAUCAUAUGCUUAGUAGCACUUGAAUCUAUAAUCCACUUAGACAUCACAGCCAUAGAGGCUCUUUCACUUGCCAUGAAAGUAUAGUCAUCUUCACCAAAGUUAUCACAAGCAUUGUUUACAUUCUCUCUAUCUCCUUUCUUGACUUUGUAGCAAUUUUUAGCAAAGUGACAUAGUUUUUUACAAAUAUAGCAAUUUUUUAUAUUAUUCUUUAAACUAUCAUGUUGGUGAGAAUAGCUACCUUUGUCUUGUCUUGAAAAUAGAACCAAAUCCUCACUUUGAUGCUCUUUUUCUUUUUUCUUGGUUAUUUCAUAGGUAAGUCUUGACAUGACAUAGUUCAUAGUAAGCUCCUUUAUGUUUAUGGAUUCCAAUGCCACAAUGAGGUAGUUAUAGGAUCCAGAAAGGCUCAUGAGUAAUGUCAACAUAAUUUGUCUAUCAUCAAUUGGUGUAUCAAUAACUGCUAGUUGGUUUGCAAGUGCUUUUAUGUUGUUGACAUGAGCCAUGAAGUCAUCUCCUUCUUCCAUCUUUAUUGUUAAAAAAUCCUUUCUUUUCUAUAGAAUGUUGGCAAGAUUUUUACUCUCAUACAUGUUGCAAAGAGUCUUCCAUACUUUCGUUGGUCGAGUGCAAGUAAUUACAUGUGAAAAUUUGGCAUCAUCAAGAUUUAUUGCAAUCAUGCCAAAAGAAUUCCUUUCACAUCGUUUGUACUCCUUCUUCACCUUCACAUCAGCAUCAUCACUUAGAGGGUCUUCACUUUCAUCAACAAUGUCCCAAAAGUCUAAUGAAGCCCACAAGAGUUCCAUUUUCUUCUUCCAAUGGUAGAAGUUGUUACUUCUAAACUUUUCAAUUAUUCUCAAAUCCUCACCUUCACUUGCUGUCAUAUCUAAUGAAGGAAUAUAUCAAAGAAAAUCAAGAAAAAGAAAGAAUGAACUUUCAAAAUCAACAAAAAGAUGUUGCUUCCUUACAAACCCAAAAUGCCUUCUUAAUGAAUAAACUAUUGUUUACACUCUUCAAUCACUCUCAAUUUUACUUAUAAGACUUCUCACAAGUCUGAUAAUCGCUCAAAUAAGCUUUGCCUCUUUUUAAUCACCUCUCUUUUUUCACAAAACAAUUAUAACUUCACAAAGCACGUCUAAUCACAAUAAGAGGGUCUCUUAAGGAGAUUAAUACAUAAAAACACAAAGUUAGAGUACCAAUGAAGAAACUCAAUAAAAAAACACAAGACAAGUAUUUUUAAACAUCAAUCUAAGGUAUCUAACAACUUCUAAGAUUAUGAAUGCACUUAUCAACAAGUAAGAGCAUAACUACAUCAAUAACUAGAUACAAAAGAAAAUUUAGAAGAUACCAAAUCCUAACAUUAGCAACAACCAUAAGAUCUAUUCUUAACACCAAUAAAGACUUCAAAGAACUUCAAAAUUUACAACUAAAGGUGUGUGGGCCCAUAACCUAUUGAAGAACAAGCACUUUGAAGUCACAACACUUAGCAUUAGCAACGUUGCAUACAAAAAGGAGUAUGAAGUAAGAUUACUCUUACUUCCAAUACUUAUUAUUUAUAGGUCGUAGUUGCCAACCAACGAGACAACUUCUAUCGAUAUUACAUCUAUUUCUACUUCAUUCAACUAAAUCCUAGGUUCUUUCUUAACCUAGCCUCCACCUUAAAAUCCUAGCCGCUACCUACAAAUCUUACAAGCCACCAUAGUAACUUCUUUAUACUCUUUUGUUACCUUUUGAUCACUAAUAAUUUACCUAAGAUAAUACCUUUUAUUAAGUGACUUUCUUCAACAUUUGGAACCUUUGUUGUGAUUUGAUGUGGUAAUUGAAGAACUUCGACUCCUUGACUAUUAUGUAUGAUUAUGUAUAGUUUUUUAUUCUACUUUAACAAAAUCUUUGUUUUAAUCCUCAAUGCUUCAAGAACAUUAAUAAUAGAAUCUAGCUUGAUAUCUUUUAAGUUUGUUAUAUUGACUUUUCUACUUUUUGCCAUAAAAAAUCAGAGAAACAUAUGCCUCCAAAAAAAAAAAACUUGAUUUAUGAUAUAAAGAAAAGAAACCUAAAGUAUAUUAAGAAAAGAACAAUUUUAAUCUAAGGGAGGAUAAUCCGCAACCUCUAAAAUACUAUAGUACUUCCAAAAAGAGGGAUAAUCCACUCUCUGUCAAAAAAGACUAAGCUCCUAAUAUUAUUUUAUGGAAGUCUCAACAAACUGUUAGGGACCAUAUAUAAUACAAGGAUUCAAGAUCAAGGAAUGGAGUUAACUUCAUAUUAGAACAACAACUGGAUAUAAGGCAAGAAGAUUUUGGCUAGACCAUAAGAAGUUAGUUGUCGAGACUGGAGAUCUCCUCAACCUUGACUCUUAUAUAUAUUAGAUCCUAAGAAGCUUCUUGAGAAGUUUCUAUGAGGCUUGAAAACAAAGCAAGCCUAAGAUCCUUCUUCGACAACUUCCUAAAUCAUCCAAAGCCUUUUAGAACCUUUUAGGAUCUCCUAUAAUCUUCUAGAACUUUUUUAGAAUCUAUUAGAAUCUUUCAAAACCUUCUAAAACCUCCAAAAAUCUUCAAGAAUCUUUGUAGAACCUACUAGUAUCUUUUGGAAUCUUCUAGAACCUUUUGAAAUCUUUUUGAAUCUUCUUCAGUUGUAUGUCUAUGACAAUAGGACUUCUAAUAUAUACUAACUUUGCAAGAUACAUGCCUUAGCUUAUAAAGUAAGUUUUUUAUAUGUGGGCCACAUAGUUAGCUUGUUCUUUAAGCUAUAAACAUGUGUAGCAUAUGGCAUCUUACUGAUCAUGUUUUUAACCUAAAAAAUCAAUUAAAGAUAUCUAUAAAGUCAAAAUAAUGUCUAUAAAGCUUCUAGGAAGCUUAUAUAGAAGAUAUUAUGGAAUUGAUCUAGUUUUACCUACUAUUAUCUAAAUCAUAUAAGUAAUUAUUGGUUUACAUGUAUAUGUCUAUGACAUUACCUUCCCUUUUAGGGACAAGUUUCGUGAGGAGCGGUCUUCAUAUGUUGAAAAAAUGUAAGAUACAACAAAUUGUAUUUGCCACCUACUCCAAUCUUUGUUUUCUUCGAAGAUAGUUGAUAGGCCCUCUUAUUUAUUCAUAGUGUUUCAUACUAGGGCUAGAAGACUACUCUGUUAUUUGAUCAUUGUUGAAGCUUUUAUAACUUCCUUCAAAUAAAAUAUUUGGAACAUCGUUAGGAAUUAUUCCUACCUAAAAAAAUUAUCAAACAUUGAGAGUCUCUUUCAACGUCGUGAUACCAAAUGUAUUGUAUCUCACCAUCUAUUCAAAGAAGAAUAUAUUCUUCUUGAGAAUCUUCAUCUCGAUUGCAUUGUCUUAAAGUUUGUGAUAAUUGCAAUGUCUCAUCUGGCAAGUCAGCAAAUGAAGGCUCUUUAGUUGAAUCUACUGGUUGUUGGUUCUCCAUCUCUUUAGUGAUACAAAUACAAAGAAGCUACAAAGAAGGAUUGAAAGUAGAAUGUUAUCUUACUUAAAUCUUAUUUUUUUUGUAGGGAAGGUCUUCAUCUUGAUUUUCAUAGAUAUUGUCAAUGGCAAGCCUCUCUCUUCUUUGAUGCAUUUACAAGAUUCUUUGCUAGCUCCCAUGUGCAUAACUAAUAGUAUAUCUGUGCCAAUGAAUAAGAUAUUAUAACUUAUUUUGGCAUCGCCUUGAGUCUAAGACUUCUUCCACUUCAAAUUCUUUAUUAUUGUCCACUUUUAUAGGAGGAAGUGGUACUUAUCUUCUCCUUGGUAUGUCCAUUGUCUUGUAUGGUUCAAGAAGAGACAUGUGAAAUAAUAGAUGGAUCUUCAUUGACUCUGAUAAAUAUAAACAAUAUACAACUAGAUUAAUUUGUGUAGAAAUAAGAAAUGGUCCAAGCCUACAAUAGUCCAACUUGUUACAAAGAUGAGUAGUCUUAAUAUUGUGAUAAAGUAACCAUACCUUAUCACCCACAUGGAAUGGUGGUUGUUCCAUUUGAUAGAUAUCUGCAUUGAUCUUUUAUUAUUCUUGAGCCUCUUUUAACUGGGCCUUCAUUGUUGUAUGUAACUAUGACAAAUAAUUUAUCAAAUCUUUUGCUGCAGAAUUAUCAACUUCUAAAAAGUUAAAAGUAUCAAUUCAUAGAUAACCAUAAUUGGCAAAGAGAGGUGUUUGUUUUGUAAAAGAAUGUACUGUGUUAUAAUAAAUAAACUCUACCAAUAGCAAAAGAAUUGUCUAAUCAUCUUGUUAGUAGUUGAUAAUAUAUCUUAAAUACUACUCUAAAACUUGAUUAAUACGCUUUGUUUGUACAUUAGUUUGAGGAUGGAAUAUUGAAGAUAGUUUUAUAUCUACUUUUAGAAUCUUGAAAAAAGUCCACCAAAAACUUAAUACAAAUUGAGUUUCCUUAUCCGAUAUAAUAUCCUUGGAUAAUCCAUAAUGCAAUAGACAUUGUCAAGAAAGUUUUUAGCUGUUUCUUCACUGAUGAUAGAUUUUGUAUAUAGUACAAAAUAUGCCAUGUUGAUAAUACAAUCUACUAUUACAAAUAUAGAGCCAUAGGAACCUGAGAUUGGAAGAUCCAUGAUGAAAUCCAUAGAAACAAAAGACUAUGGUUGUUCUGGAAUAAGUAAUGGUUGAAGAAGUCCAUAAGGUUAAUGACGGAGAGUUUUUGAUCUUGAACAAAUGUCGAAUGAGUGAAUAAAGUCUUUCACACCCUUCCACAUUUGUGUCCACUAAAAAUCUUUGGAUAUUAGCUCUAAAGUCUUGUUGUAUCUAAAAUAUCCUAUUAUUAGAAAUUUAUGAUGUACUUAAAAAAUACGUAAUUGUGCUUCUCCUUUUAAAAUAUAUAAUCAACCUUCAAAAUAGAAUAGGUUAUUUUUGAACUCAAACUUAGAAGUAUCUUAGAACUUAGAAGAAAGAUUCUUGAUAUUGUAAAUAAGAGGAUCAGAAGACAUACUUGAUUGGAUUUGUUUUACAAGGGUUGAAUCAACAAUCAAUUUUGAUUUCAUUACUCAAAGAUGAAAAUACUCUGAUUUCAAGAAAAUCAUUCUUUGUUGAUCAAAAGAUGCAUUUCUUUCUUCUAGUGCAAGUUAAGAAUAUCUAGAAAGGAUAUUUGACUAACCUUGUUAUUUUUUGAGUUGAUAUAUGAUCUUGAAAUCAAAUCUUGAUAAAAACAUGCUCCAAUGAGCUCAAUGAUGAUUCAAAAUACGUGCUGACAUGAAGUACUUUAAGUUCUUAUAGUCCAUAUAUAUGGUGACUCGAUUAGAAGUGCCUUCUAGAUGAUGAUGCCAUUCUUGAAAUGAAUCUAUGAUUACAAGAAGCUCUUUGUCGUGGAUUUCAUAGUUAAUCUCGACUACUAAAAAGUUUCUGGAAUGAAAAACUAUUAGGUGAAGUUUAUCAUCAAUUCCCAUUUGUAAAAAUACAACACCCAAAGAAAAGUAUAAUGUGUCUAUUUCCAUAAAAAAUAUCUUAAAAAAGUCAACACAAUACAAGAUUGGUACAGAAAUAAGGACUGACUUCAAAGCUUCAAAAGAUGUUUCAGUUUCUUUACUCCACUCAAGUUUGACUUUGGAAGUCAAAUAUAUAAGUAGGGCUGCAACUCGAGAAAAGUAUUUAAUGAAGUUCCGAUAAUAGUUAGUAAAGCCCAAAAAAUAUUGGACAUCUCUUACCGUUUUUGGAAUCUUUCAAUCCAUAAUAGUUUGAACUUUCUUAAGAUCCAUCACAAGUCUAUCAUUUGAAAUCAUGUAUCCUAAGAAUUCGACUUGAGUAGUAUAGAAUACAUACUUUUUUAUCUUAGCAUAGAGUCUGACAUCUCUUAAUUUUUGUAACACACGAUGAACAUGAAGUUUAUAUUCAUCUGUAUUCUUAGAAUAGAUCAAGAUGUCAUUUAGAUAACAAACAACAAAAUCAUCCAAAAAUUCUCAAAAAAUAUCAUUCAUUAGAUGUUGAAAAGUUGUUGAUACAUUUGUAAGUCCAAAAGGCAAGAAAUUGUAUUCAAAAUAUCCAUACCUAGUUCAAAAUGUAAUCUUCUAUUUAUCUCCUUCUUUAAUACAUAUUAGAUUGUAUGCUCUCCCUAGAUCUAUUUUUGUAUAGAUCUUAGCUUAAUUCAUUUAAUUAAGCAAUCCAAAUAUCAAAAGUAGACAGUACCUAUUCUUGAUGGUGAUCUUAUUGAGUCUUUGAUAAUCAACACACAUCCACAAUGUUCUAUCUUUCUUCUUCACAAAUAAGAUUGGAGCUCCUGUUGGCGAUUUGGAAUGGCAUAUAAAAUUCUUGGCUAGAUUUUCUUUAAUAUAUUCCUUGACUUCAGCUAAUUCAUUUUGUGACAAACUAUAGAUUGGUCCAAAUGGCGGUUGUGCUACUUCUUGAAGGUCAAUUGAAUAGUCAUAUGGAUAAUGUUUUGGAAGAGUAUCCACAUUCUUUUUUUCAAAUACAUCUUGAAACUUUUGAUAUUGGCUUGGAAUGCCACUUGAAGUCUUUGUAUCAUUAGAAAUAGGUGUAGCGUGAAUGACAUAAUGUGAUCCUUCUUUUGCAGCAUGCAAGAAAGCUCUCGCAUAUACAAACAAAGGUUUUAUUAUAUUAUACUGAUGACUUUUUAUUGGAUUAAUUUGAAUCUUAGUUAUACUUUUAGAGAAGUCAAGAGUACAAAAAAUCUAAUCUAUACAAGGAUUGUAUUUUUUUAAUCAUAAUAAAUCUAAAAUGACUAGAUUAGAAGGAGAUCUAAUUAUAUUUAAGAUUAAACAACUACUAUUACCAUUUAUUGCUACAUCUAUAAGAAGUGUUUCAUGAAUAACAUCUCCUAAAGACUACAGACGACCAUCUAUGACUUCUACAUGAACAAAUUUAGUUUUUUGUACUAACAAUAUUUUAUGACUUUUAAUAAAUUCUACAUCUAAGAAACAAGUUGAGGCCCUUGAAUCUAUCAAGGUGGAGGAUUUAUAAUUAUUAGGACCUAAAUAAACAUCUAUUAUUAAAUAAUGAGAGGGUUCUGAAAAGAGGAUAGGAGCUUCAUUAGAAAUUAUAUAAGAUUUCAGCUGCACAGUCUCUAUUGUUGCUAGACAAAUUUAUUUUUCGACACAUUGUCUUCUUUGAUAGCUAUGCUCCUCAUUUUGUGGUUUUAUUGCUUCUUUAGAGAAUUUUGAGUAAUGCGUUUAGGUUUUCUAUAAUAUAAGCAUAAUCCUUCUUGACUACGAUGAAUCUUUUUUUGCUCUGUAAGAGGUUUAAAACAUACUACAUCAAAUUACAUAUUUUUUACUUCUAAAUAUAUGUAUUAAAGAGAUGUGGUAUUGCUAUCAAAUUGUUGUAAUAUUGAGGCUUACUUAUGCGACUCUGAGAUCAAAAUUCAAAAAAUUGAUUAUCGAACUUCACAACAAAGUCAAUUGCUUGACUCAAUGUUUGAGGAUCAAGUAAGUUGAGCAUCAAUUUUUUUACUUCAUAUUGUAAUCCAUAGAAAAAUUGGCUAAUAAGUGCAGUAUCAAUUCACUUGAUAUUAGUUGUAAGUUGUCAAAAUUGUAAAGCAUAUAAUAUUAUAGAUCGAUUGCUUUGUUAUAAAAUACAAAUCUUAUUGGUUGCAACAUAAGUUGUAACAUAUUUUCCAUACAUGGAUCCAAUUUUUACCAAAAAUACCUUCAGAUAUCCAAUAUUAGAUCUUAUCAUUUAAGAAAAGAUGAAAAAUACGAUAGUGCUGAACUUAAUAGAAGUAUAUCAAUGAAUCUAACUUGUGAUGCUAGAAUUGGAUAGCUUUGAGGUUGAAGUUCAAUCGUAAGUUGUAUUUGAUUGAUAAAUCUUCAAAAUUUGGAUCUUAUAUGAUCAAACUUCUCAGACAUGGCAACUCUUGAUUUUUUAAUACUUGAAGGAUGUUCUACUAUAGGUGCAGGGACAUGAUUUGGUGUAGAUGUUCAGGCACCUCUAAUCAUCUCUAUAUCCUCACUUCUUGUAUUCUUGUUGAUCCUUGUGGUGGUAAGCUAAGUUGAUGCAUUGCAAGCAUCAACUCCCUCAAUUGCUCUUACAUUUGUGCCAUUGUACUCUUCAUUUCAAGAAGCUCUUUUAUAAUAAUAUUCAAAAAAUAUCUAAUACUGCUCAAAUCAAGUAGAAAAAAGGACUUUAGAAUAAAGAAGAUACUAAUCACAAUAUCAGUUUAGAAGAGGGUAAUUUAUAACUUCUAAUAUACUUAAACUUGAAGAUGAUGCAUAAACCAAUGAAAUCCAUGUCAAAGAAAAAGUGACAAAAUAAAAAUAAAAAAGUACGUAUAUUAAAAAAAAACUGGAAUGGCUUAUUGUCAAAAGACAAGAAAACUUGAGACUCUUAAAACUAAACUAGAAUCAAGAAAGAAAUUGACAAGAGUGAAGAGGGCUUCAUUUUUGUUUCUAUAUAUACUAUCUAAUUAGGAGCUACGUGGCAAUGUUCUAUAGGACCUCUAAUAUGUAUUGACUUUGCAAGAUACAUGCUUUAGCUUACAAGGUAAGUUUUCUAUGUGUAAACCACAUAGUUAGCUUGUUUUUCAAGCUAUCAAUAUGUGUGGCACAUGGCCAACUUGUUGACCACAUUUCUAACCUAAAAAGUCAAUUAAAGACACCUAUAAAAUCAAAGUACCAUCUAUGAAGCUUUUAAGAAUCUUUUAUAGAAGAUAUUAUGGAAUUGAUCUAUUUUCAUCUACUUUUAUCUAAAUCAUAUGAAUAAUUAUUGAUAUAUAUGUAUGUUCAUGACACUUGGUACAUUUUCAAACAAGAAAAUACAUAAUAUGACAAUAUUAUAGAUAUUUUGAAUGGCUAAUUAUAUCUUUUGGCCUCAGAAAUAAUCUAGCCUCUUUUAUGGAUCACAAAAUAAAUUGUUUUAGGACCUGUUAAACAAGUAUGUAAUUGUCUUCAUUGAUGAUAUCCUCAUAUACGAUAAAAUCCUUAAAGAACAUGAGCAACAUUUAUAAGAAGUGAUGGACUAGCUACAAGAUAAUUGCUUCUAUUACAAACAAAAUAUGAACUUUGGAAGUUGGAAGUCACCUUUUUGAGGCAUGUUGUGUCCUUUGAAGGCAUGUAUAUAGACCAAGAUAAGGUGAAAGUAGUGGAGGAUUGGCCAUCCUUAAGGAUGCUUUUAAAGUCCGCUCAUUUUUAAGCCUUGCUAGAUAUUAUUACUAUUUUGUUUGAUGAUUUGCUCUUAUUGUUGCCUCAUUAAUAAACUUAUUAUAGAAAGGUGCCUUAUUUGAUUGGAAACUAGAGCAACAAAGUACCUUUGAUAAGUUAAAAGAAACACUCAUUAUUGUUCCAAUAUUGCAACUAUAUGAUCCUAACCUUCUUUGUAUGCUUGAUAUUAAUGCUUUUGACUUUGGUAUUAGAAAGGUCCUUCAACAAAACUUUGGUAGUAGUCUUUAAGUUAUGGCAUAUGAAUCACACAAGCUCAAAAUGACAAUGCACAAUUAUUCAGCAUGUAUUUGAGAACAAAUAGCAAUUAUACAUGCGACAAAGGUGUAGCAAUACUAUUUAGUGGAGGAGCUAGAGGUUGUUCAGACCAUCGAUCCUUGCUACACUAUUUACAUGUAAAAAAUAUUAAAUUACAACAUCAUCGUUGGAAAGAAUAAUUAUAACUUUUUGAUAUUUGGCUUGAGCACAAGCAAAGAUGACAACAUAUUAUGCCAAACAACUUACUGUGGGAACAAGAUUUAAAAGAUGAAUUAAGAGACAAAGUAAAAAUUGCUGCCAUUAGAAGUGUCAUUUCAAAUCUAACCAAAGAGAUAGAAUAGAAGAAAGCUACGUAUAUGAAUGCUUAUUUUAAGAUGAUUAGUGAUCGGCUGAAGGUAGGUGAUAUAUUGUAUUAAGAUUACAUUUUUAGUGAUGGAUUGCACUAUUUCAAGAAGCAGAUUUAUGUACAUAAUAAGGCUAUACUUUGGACACACAUAUUUUAAGAGGGACAUGACAUCUCAACAUUUGGACAUUUUUAACGAGAGAAGAUUCUAGAAUGGAUUUCAAAGGCAUAGUUUUGGGUAGGUUUGAAUCAUGAUGUUUAAACCUUUGUAUAUUCUUGCAAAUUAUAUCAAUAUAAUAAAACACGCAAUCUAAUGUCUCCUAAAUUAUUACAACUAAUUUUACUAUUUAUGGUACUUUUGAAGUAGAUGAUUAUAGAUCUCAAUACGUGUUUAUUCCAAAUGUUUUAUAAUCAUAGCACAAUUGUUGUCUUUACAGAUCAAUUCUUAGAGCAACUUCACUUGGCCAUAGUACGCUUGAAUAUUGAUGCUCAAGUGCUUGCACAAGUCUUUUUUGAUACUAUGUCAGGGACAAGAACUCGAUAAAAAGAAAUUCAGACAAGUGAGCCUUCACUCGAAGAAAGGUAACAAAAUAUAAAUAAACAAGUAUGUAUAUUGAAAGAGAAACUAGAAUGGCUAUUGCCAAAAGACAAGAAAACUAGAGACCCUUGAAACUAGACUAGAAACAAGAAAGGAGUUGACAAGAGUGAAGAAGGCUUCGCUCUUGUCUCUAUAUAUACUAUCCAACUAGGGACUACGUGGCGACGUUCUACAGGACCUCCAAUAUGUGUUGACUUUGUAGGACACAUGCCUUGAUUUACAAGGCAAGUUUUUCUACGUGUGGGCCACAUAGUUAGCUUGAUCUUCAAGCUAAUAACAUGUGUGGUAUACUUGUUGACCACGUUUCUAAUCCAAAAAGUCAAUUAAAGACACCUAUGAAGUCAAAGCAGCAUCUAUGAAGCUUCUAAGAAGCUUUUAUAUUAAAUACUAUAGAAUUAAUUUAUUUUUACUUACUUUUAUUUACUUCUACCUAUUUAUAUAUAUAAUUACUAACUUAUAGGAGUAUGUCUGUGACAUUACCCCCCCUUCUAGGCACGAAUUCCACGAGGAGCGGUCAUCAUAUGUUGAGGAAAUCUAUGAUGCGACGAAUUAUAUUCGCCACAUACUCUGAUCUUUGUUCUCUUCGAAGAUGAUUGAUAGGGCCUCUCAACCAUUGGUAGUGUCCCAUAUUAGGGCGGGAAGACCACUCAGUUAUUUGAUCAUUAUUGAGGCCUUCAUAACUUCCUUCGAAUAGAACAUUUGGAAUACCAUCAGAAGUUGUUCCUAUCUCUAGCAAAAUCACCAAACAUUGGGAGUCCCUUCCCAAAUCGUGAUACCAAACGCAUUGUAUCUCGCCAUCUAUUCGAGGAAGAACAUGUCGUUCUUGAAGAUCUUCAUCUCGAUUGUAUCGUCUUGAAGGUUGUGACAAUCAUAAUGUCUCAUCCGGCAGGUCAGCAAAUGAAGGCUCUUGAGUCGAAUCCAUUGGUUAUUGGUUCUCCAUCUCCUGAGCGUCACUAUUGCAAAGAAGCUACGAACAAAGAUUGAAAGUACAAUGUUAUCUUGCCUAGAUGUUGUUUCUUUUGUAAAGAAGGUUUUCAUCUUGAUUUUGAUGGAUGUUGUCGAUGAAAAGCCUCCAUCGCCUUUAUUGCAUUUACAAGAUUCUUUAUUGGCUCCCAUGUGCAUUCACUAAUAUCAUAUCCGCACCAAUGGAUAAAAUAUUCUAAUUUAUUUUGGCGACGCCUUGAAUCUAAGACUUCUUCUACUUCAAACUCUUCAUUAUUGUCCACUUCUAUAGGAGGAGGUGGAGCUUAUCGUCUUCUUGGUAUAUCCAUUGUCUUGUAUGAUUCAAGAAGAGACAUGUGGAAUAUUGGAUGGAUUUUUAUUGACUCCGGUAGAUAUAAACGAUAUGCAACUGGAUUGAUUUAUGCAGAAAUAGAAAAUGGUCCAAGUCUUCGAUAGUCCAAUUUGUCACAAGGAUGAGUGGUCUUGAUAUUGCCAUAAAGUAGCUAUACCUUAUCACCUAAGAUGAAUGGUGGUUGUUCUUUUCGAUAGACAUCUGCAUUGACUUUUUGUUGUUCUUGAGCCUCUUUUAACUGCACCUUCAUUGUUGCAUGUAGCUCUGAUAAAUGAAUCGCCAAAUCUUUCGCAGCAGGAUUAUCAAAUUUUAAAAAGUCAAAAGUAUUAAGUCAUGGAUGAUAACCAUAAUUAGUAAAGAAAGGUGUUUGUUUUGUAGAAGAAUGUACCGUAUUAUUGUAAGCAAACUCUGCCAAUGGCAAAAGAGUUGUCCAAUCAUCUUGUUGGUAAUUAAUGGUACAUCUUAAAUAUUGCUCCAAAACUUGAUUAACACGCUCCAUUUGUCCAUCAGUUUGAGGAUGGAAUGCCAAAGAUAAUUUUAUAUCUACUUUAAGAAUCUUGAAAAGAGUCCGCCAAAAUCUUAAUACAAAUUGAACUCUCUUAUCUGAUAUAAUAUCCUUGGGUAAUCCAUGAUAGCAAUAGAUAUUGUCAAGAAAGAGCUUAGUUGUUUCUUCACCUGUGAUAGAUUUUGUACAUAGUACAAGAUAUGCCAUCUUGGUAAAAUGAUCUACUAUCACGAAUAUAGAGUCAUAAGAACCUGAGAUUGGAAGAUCCGUGAUGAAAUCCAUAGAAACAGAAGACCAUGGUUGUUCUAGAAUGGGUAAUGGCUCAAGAAGUCUUAAAGGUCGAUGACGAGGAGUUUUUGAUCUUGAGCAAUCAUCACAUGAUUGUACAACAUCUUUGACUGCCUUCUACAUUCGAGGCCACCAAAAAUCCCUAGAUAUCAGCUCCAAAGUCUUAUUAUAUCCAAAAUGUCAUGUUGCUGGAAAGUUGUGACAAGCUUGAAGAAUACGUAAACGUGCUUCUCCUUUUGGAAAAUAUAGGCAUCCUUCAAAAUAGAGUAGGUUGUUCUUGAAUUCAAAUUUAGAGGGAUCAUGAGAUUUAGAAGAAUUAUUCUUGAUAUCAUGAACAAGAAAGUCUGAAGACAUACUUAACUGGACUUGCUUAAGAAAAGUUAAAUCAAAAGUCAAUGUUGAUUUUAUUGCUCGAAGAAGAAAUUGCUCUGGCUUCAAGACAACUGUUUUUUGUUGUUCGAAAGCUGCAUUUUCUUCUUUUGGUGCAAGAUAAGAUCAUCUAGACAAGGCAUCAAACAAACCUUAUUGUUUUCCUGGCCGAUAAGUGAUGAUGAACUCAAAUCUUGAUAAAGACAUGUUCCAAAAAGCUUGACGAUGAUUUAAUAUGUGUAUUGACGUAAAAUACUCGAGGUUCUUGUGAUCUAUAUACAUGGUGACUAGAUUGGAAGGGCCUUCUAGAUAAUAAUGCCAUUCUUGAAAAGAAUCCACGAUUGUAAGAAGUUCUUUGUCAUGGAUCUCAUAAUUGAUUUUUGCUGCUGAGAAUUUUCUUAAAUGAAAGGCUACUAGAUGAAGUUUGUCAUUUUUUCCCAUUUGUAAUAAAACCACACCCAGAGCAAAGUCUGAUGCAUCUGUUUCCAUAAAGAAUGCUUUCAAAAAAUCAACAUGAUACAAGAUUGGUGCAGAAACAAAUGCUGUCUUCAAAGAUUCAAAAGUAACUUCCGCUUCUUGAUUCCAUUAGAGUUUGUCUUUACAAGUCAAACGUGUAAGUAGAGCUGCAAUUCGAGAGAAGUCCUUAAUGAAGAUUCGAUAGUAGUUGGCAAAUCCCAAAAAACAUUGGACAUCUCUUACCAUUUUUGGGAUCUUCUAAUCUAUAGUAGUUUGAACUUUCUUAAGAUCUAUCAUAAGUCCAUCAUUUGAAAGGAUAUAAUUUAAGAAAUCGACUUGAGUAGUGUGGAAUACACACUUUUCUAUCUUGGCAUAGAGUCCUGCAUCUCUUAAUUUUUGUAACACAUGAUGAACAUGAAGUUCAUGUUCUUCAAGAUUCUUAGAAUAGAUCAAAAUGUCGUCUAGAUAACAGACCACAAAAUUGUCCAAAAACUCUCAAAAAAUAUCAUUCAUUACGUGUUGAAAAGCUGCUGGUGCAUUUGUAAGUCCAAAAGGCAUGACGUUGUAUUCAAAAUGUCCAUACCUAGUUCGAGGUUCUUGUGAUCCGUAUACACGGUGACUGGACUGGAAGCGCCUUCUAGAUAAUGACACCUUUCUUGAAAAGAAUCCACAAUUGCAAGAAGUUCUUUGUCGUGGAUCUCAUAAUUGAUUUCUGCUGCUGAGAAUUUUCUUGAAUGAAAGGCUACUGGAUGAAGUUUGUCAUCUGUUCCUAUUUGUGAUAAAACCGCACCUAGAGCAAAGUCUGAUGCAUCUGUUUCCAUAAAGAAUGCUUUCAAAAAAUCAACAUGAUACAAGAUUGGUGCAGAAACAAACGCUGUCUUCAAAGAUUCAAAAGCAACUUCCGUUUCUUGAUUCCAUUGGAGUUUGUCUUUACAAGUCAAACGUAUAAGUAGAGCUGCAACUUGAGAGAAGUCUUUGAUGAAGAUUCGAUAGUAGUUGGCAAAUCUCAAAAAAUAUUGGACAUCUCUUAUCGUUUUUGGGAUCUUCUAGUUUAUAAUAGUUUGAACUUUUUUAGAAUCCAUCAUAAGUCCAUCAUUUGAAAUGAUGUAACCUAAAAAAUCGACUUGAGUAGUGUGGAAUACAUACUUUUUUAUCUUGGCAUAGAGUCCUGCAUCUCUUAAUUUUUGUAACACAUGACAAACAUGAAGUUCAUGUUCUUCAAGAUUCUUAGAAUAGAUCAAGAUGUCGUGUAGAUAACAGACCACAAAAUCGUCCAAAAACUCUCAAAAAACAUCAUUUAUUAGAUGUUGAAAAGCUGUUGGUGCAUUUGUAAGUCUAAAAGGCAUGACGUUGUAUUUAAAAUGUCCAUACCUAGUUCGAAAUGCAGUCUUCCAUUCAUCUCCUUCUUUAAUGUGUACUAGAUUGUAUGCUCCCCAGAGAUCUAUUUUUAUAUAGAUCUUAGCUUGAUUCAACUGAUCAAGAAGUCUAGAUAUUAAAGGUAGUGGAUACCUGUUCUUGAUAGCAAUCUUGUUGAGUCCUCGAUAAUCAACACACAUCCACAAUGGUCCAUCUUUUUUCUUCACAAAUAGAAUUGGAGCUCUUACUGGAGAUUUAGAAUGGCGUAUGAAAUUCUUGGCUAGAUUUUCUUCAAUAUACUUCUUGAGUUCAGUCAACUCAUUUUGUAAUAAACUGUAGAUUGGUCCGAAUGGCGAUUGUACUCCUUCUUGAAGGUCAAUUGAGCAAUCAUAGGGAUGAUGUUUCGGGAGUGUAUCCGCAUUCUUUUUUUCGAAUACAUCUUGAAAUUCUUAAUAUUGGCUUGGAAAGCCACUUGAAGUCUUUCAACCAGUAGAAAUAGGUGUGGCAUAAAUAAUAUAUGGUGAUUCUUUCAUAGCAUCAUGCAAGAAAGCUUUUGCACCUAUAAAUACGGGUUUAAUUGAACUGGACUUAUGACUCUCUACUUGAUUAACUACACUGUUAGUUAUACUUUUAGAAAAAAUAAGAGUUUGGAAAAUCCAAUCUAUUUGAGGGUUGUAUUUUUCUAACCAUGAUAAAUCUAAAAUGAUUGGAUUAGAGGGAGAUCUAAUGAUAUUAAAUACUACAAAGCUAUUAUGACCAUUGAUUAUUACUUCUAUAGGAAGGGUUUCGUGAGUAAUAUCCCUAGAAGACAAUAGACGACCAUCUAUGACUUCUACAUGAACAGGUUUAGUUUUCUUUAUUAAAGAUAUGCUAUGUCUUUUAGUAAAUUCUUCAUCUAAGAAAUACGUCGAGGCUCUUGAAUCUAACAAGGCAGAGGCUUUCUAAUGUUUAGGUCCUAAAAUAAUAUUUAAUGUAAAACAAGGAGAGGGCUCUGAGGAGAGAAUAGGACCUUUACUAGAUGUUGUGCAAGGUUCCAACCGCACGAUCCCUAUUGUAGCUAGACAAACUCGUUUUCUGACAUAUUGUCUUCUUUUAUAGCCAUACUCCUCAUUUUGUGAUUAUGUCGUUUCUUUGGACAAUGUUGAGCAGUGUGCUUUGGUUCUCUAUAAUAUAAACAUAAUCUUUUUUGAUGACGACGAGUCUUUUCUUGCUCAGUAAGAAGUUUGAAAUAUACUGCAUCAAUUUGUAUAUCUUCUACUUCCAAAUGUAUGUGUUGAAGAGGUGUUGGUGUUGCCAUUGAAUUAUAAUAACAUUGAGGUCGGUUCUCAGAUCGGAAUUCAAAAAGGUGAUUGUCGCAUUUCACAGCAAAGACAAUUGCUUGACUGAAUGUUUGAGGAUCAAGUAAGUUGAGCAUAAAUUUUUUUAUCUCAUAUUGUAAUCCGUAGAAAAAUUGGCUAAUAAGUGCAGCAUCAUCCUACUUGAUAUUAGUUGCAAGUUGUCGAAAUUGUGAAGCAUACAAUGUUACUGAUCGAUUGCUUUGUCGUAAAAUACAGAUCUUAUUGGUUGCAAUACAAAUUGUAUCAUGUUCUCCAUACAUGGAUCAAAACUCUGCCAAAAAAGCCUAUGGUUAUCUAAUAUUGGAUCUCGUCGUUCAAGAAAAGAUAAAAACUACGAUAGUGCUGAAAUUGAAAGAAGCGUACCAAUGAAUCUAACUUGCGAUCUUGUAGUUGGAUAGCUUUGGGAUUGAAGUUCAAUCACAAGUUGCACUUGAUUGAUAAAUCCUUGAAACUUGGAUAUGGUGCCAUCAAACUUCUCAGGUAGGGCAAUUCUUGGUUCUCUAAUACUGGAAGGGUGUUCCACUAUAGGAGAAAGGACAUGGUUUGGUGCAGAUGUUGAAGUAGCUCCAACUAUUUCUAUAUCUUCACUUCCUGCCAAUCUUAUUGCUCCUUGUGGUAGUAAAUUGAGUUGAUGCAUCAUAAGCAUUAACUCUCUCAAUUGCUCUUGCAUUUGUGCCAUUGCAUUCUUUAUUUCAACAAGUUCUGCCAUGAUAACACUUAAAAAAGAGAAGAUGUCUAAUAUCGCUCAAGACAAAUAGAAGAAAGGACUUGAAAACAAAGAAAAUACUAAGGACAAUAUCAAUUUAGAAGAGGGUAAUCUGCAACUUCUAAUAUGCUUAUAUCUUAUCAAGAAAAAAGGGUAAUCCACUCUUAAUCAAGAUUAGACAAAGCUCUGAUAUUGUAGGUGUACUCUUGUUAAUCUGUCAAGGAUAAGAGCUCGAUAAAAAGAAAUUCAGACAAGUGAGCCUUCACUCAAAGGGACUACGUGGUGAUGUUCUAUAGGACCUCCAAUAUGUGUUGACUUUGUAAGACACAUGCCUUGACUUACAAGGUAAGUUUUUCUAUGUAUGGGCCACAUAGUUAGCUUGAUCUUCAAGCUAACAACAUGUGUGGUACACUUGUUGACCACGUUUCUAAUCCAAAAAGUCAAUUAAAGACACCUAUGAAGUCAAAACAAUGUCUGUGAAGCUUCGAAGAAGCUUAUAUAUUAAAUACUAUAGAAUUAACUUAUUUUUACCUACUUUAUUUACUUCCACCUAUUUGUAUAUAUAAUUACUAGCUUAUCUGAGUAUGUCCGUGACAUACUAUCUUUCAUCACCAUAGAUUAUCUUGUGUCAUUGUUUGAAAUUGAAAUCCACGCUUCACAAGAAGUUUUUGACAAGUCUUGUUUAAGCUAUUAAGCACACGACUUGCCAUGUCUAUAGCCUUCUAUAUCCAUAUAGAUAGGCAAACAAAGCAUGUAAAUUGGACCUUGGAAGAUAUGUUGCGAGCAUUUUUGGUGGUUCAUGAUAAUGAUUGGAAUGAAUACUUAGCAUCCUUGGAGUUUGCUUAUAAUGAUAGUAUUUAAGCAAGUACCAAUCAUUCAUCAUUUUUUUUUAAUACUAGUUAACAUUCAAUUAUGCUAGCAACUCUUUAUCAUCCCAUCGACAUCAACAACUUGACAAUAAAGGAAUUUAUACAAUGACUUACAACAAUCUUAUAAGAGACACGAUACCAUCUCUUUAUUACACAUAAUUGAUAGAAGUAGUAUGCGGAUAACCAUUGGCAAUACAAGACCUUUUGGGAGGGUGAUUAGGUAUUACUCUCCAAUGCCAACUUGCCACUUGCUAUAUCAAUCCAAAUCAAUAAACUAGCACUUUGGUGGCUUGGAUCUUUUUGCAUUUCUACAGUGAUUUUUGAUGUUGCAUACUACCUUAAGCUUUCACUACAUAUUUGGAUCUAUCUAGUCUUCCAUAUUUUAUAACUGAAGAAAUUUCAUACGAAGCCAAAGCACUUUCUGGAUCAAUAUUAAUUACCACCACCACCGGUUGAAGUUGAUGACCAACAAGAAUAUGAAAUAAAUAGCAUUUUGGAGCAUUGCUAUCUUCAUUGUGGCAGUCGACGUCUACAACUUCAGUACAUAUACAAAUAUCUUAUCUAUAUCCUAUUACAGUUAAUUCUCCUCUACUAAUGUAAUAGGAUAUGGAUAAAAUAUUUGUAUAAGAAUAUUUGUACCAUGGCACUUUCUAAAAUUGGGAUUAGGUUAUUAGAUUAGGUAGGAUCCAUUAUGGAACACUCUAGAAAGAAUUUAGGGCAGUUAUUUAGGUAGGGCCUACCAUAGAAUCUUUUAGAAGGAGUUUAAGGUGGUUAUGUAAGUGGGAUCCACUACCUAAGAAUAUUCUAGAAAGUCCAAGGUGGUAGAACAAAGUAUAAAUAAGACUUAGUAGGGUCUUUUGGUCAAAUAUGGCUUCAAACCUUCUUUGUUAGUAAAGUUUGGUUUUGCAUCUUUCUAUUUAGUUCUGUUUUGUUUUAUUUGUGUUUUGUUCAAUUUUGUCUUCCAUGUCUUAUUCUAUUUAGUUUUGUUUAGUUUUGUUCUAGUCUAGUUUGUCUUAUCUUGUGAUGAGGUUUUAUGUUGCAAUGGGUUAAAAAGGACUUAGAUACUUGAUAUAGACUUUUUCUGUUUCAAUGCUUUUAUAAACUACCAUCAAAAUCUUAGAUCUAAUUACAAGUGGAAAAAUAAAUAAAUGCAUAUAAAUUGUUAAGUAUUAAAAUGACAUUGUCAAAAACAAACAAGCUAUAAAAUAAAAUAAUAACAAUAAUAAUAAUAUGGAAAUAAAAAUAAAGAUAAAAAAAUUAAUCAUAUAAUCAAAUUCUUUGAAAUACAUCAAUCUAAAGCUAACAAAGACUAGCAAUGUCCAUAGCCUUUAUUACAACACCAAACCACCAAAUUUAACAUGCAAAAAUUGCAAUCCUCAUACAAAACUUCAAAAAUAAAACAACCAAAACUUGCACACUAUAUCCCAAAGAAAAUUUUGAUAAGAAUUCUACUACAAUAAGUACCUUAUUCUACUACAACACAAAUACAUCAAAACUCUAUAUUAUAUUGCAAAUUCAAUUCUAAACAAUAAAUAAGAAACUUGUGUACAUGUGUAUGCAAGGUAGGACAAAAACUCCACACUCACAGAUGGUAAAUUUGAAGGGAAGCUAAAAGUGAAAAAAAUAAGGUAAAUCUCUCCAAACCUAAUUGAGGAUUUCGCCAUCUCCUCUUGUCCACCCCUAGGCUUAAACCCUAUAACCCUAAACAUAAAUCCUAAAAUCCUAAACCUAGAUCGUCAUGCCCCUAACAAAAUGGGGGGGUUUUUGGGUCAAACCAGGCAACCCAAAUCUGUCUCUGCAAAUGACUGAACCCAUUUUCCCUUGUUAGUGAAUGCUUUCAACACAAUUCGGAACCGUCCAUAAUUUUGGCCUAAUUUGUCGCUGGCGCUCAAAGCUUGAGCGUUCGUAAGUUGAAGGACAAGCAUUCGUCUCAAAAAGCCUUUCGACACGCCAUAUCGUAUCUCUCUUCAUUACCGACAAUUGCGACGUUGUGAAAGUUUAGUUCCUGGUGAUGCGCGGCAUGGAAACCAUUCCGAAUUCCGAAAGUAGUGCGUGCUCUGUUCCGAGCCCACUUUUUUCUGGAAGUGGGUCCAUUUUUGUUUCGGAAGGAUAGAUGGAUGGAUUCGUAACUUAGGUCUUGGGGGGUCAUGAGACCUAUGUGGUGGAUGACUCUGCGCCGACGUUGUUCAUGGGCUGGGAAAGGAGUUGACGUUGGGUUGAGGAAGUGUGGAGUUGGUUCAGUGGAGGUCAGCUUGGCUUUUUCCCUUUCGUAGCGUCAUCCAUGGAUACGAUUUUCCUAAGUAUUACUCGCGACUACUUGCUUCAAUCACCACUUUGUAAUAUGCGCUUGGAAUUGCGCGGAGCGAUCAAUCAAUGAGUGGAACAUGGUCGUGUCGACGCACUGCAGGUGGUGAACAUGCUGCAGCUGAUCUUCACAGAGUAUUCUUGAAUGGUGGCAAUGAAUGAAUGUGCCCAACACCUGGUUGGUUUUUAGUUUCCUGUGAAGCUUACUCAGCUUCAAAAAUGCGCACUGGAGUUUUCUUUCAGCGUUACUCGAACAGCAUGGACGUCGUGUGUUGCCAACCCUUGAAUCCGCUGUAGUUUCUAGUCUUCCUGGCUGAAUCUCAUCAUUAGGUUGAUCUCAGCUAUGGUACUCCUCCCUCGAGUUUACGCUUGAGAACAGUCUUCGUCCCUGCACUUGUGCCGAAUUUGCAAGGUGAUGAAUCCAGCUUAGGCGGCAGGGAUUCAAUUUCUAGUAAUCGAGAUGAUCUAGUAGGUCUGAGCCCUCUUCUAGUGAUAACGGUGCGGGUUCCGGAAAUUCAAGGUCAGAUUCUUUACUCAUUCUCAAGAAAACAGCGGAAUGAAUCAGUAGUGAAAGCUACUGGAAGUCUAUCUCAAUUUGCAUUGAGAGGGAGCUAGGUUAAAAUUUUAAAAUAAAAUAAAAAGAUAAAAAGGCUGGGUGCAUCCGCAAAACAAAAAAAACUAUACACUUCCUGUGUCUCCCAGCGAUCCGGCUAAGAUUGAUAUUCUAAAUCGCUGGACAAUCUUAUCAAUUCCUGAUUGCACAAGUUCUAAAUUAAUUUUCUUCAAUUACGUCUAGCAACAGAGUGUUGUGGUAUAAUCCUCUGUCGAACAUUUCCAAAGCGGUGAAAAGCCCUCCAGUGUCUCCAUCGUGGAAAAACCUUUGCUGGAAGUAAAACCUUUGACGGGAAAUGUGAGCAUGGUUGAUCAAGAUGCUUUGGUCAAAGGGAUGUUUAGAAACCUCAAGUUGCAACGUGCGGAAUGUUUCCUGGACCUGCUGGCAUAUCCGAAGCAGUAAGAUUUUGUUUUGACCCUCCUGUUUCUGAUUGGUGAAAGGCUGUAGGUAUCUGAUUGAAAAUUUCUAUUGUUUAAUAGCUUCAAAGUCUACUUUCAAUACAAAUAAGGCGGCUGGUAGAAGUAUGGAGGUGAUCAAAAUGUCAAGCCUGCUCACCAGGUGGAGGCCAAAGAGAGGAAAAGAGCAAGAGAGACUAAGUCUAUGAAGUUUUUUGAUAAUUACGAGGACAAGGCGGUUUUGGAUUAAGCCCCUACAGUUGAACCAAUGUGAAAGGACAAGCAUUGUUUUCCAAUUUUUUGGGUCCACUAUGAGUUCUUUCAUUUCAUUAAUUCUGCCAUAGCGAAAGUGCUGAUAGCUUCUGAGGGUGUUCCAGUGGUUUACUAAAUUCCCGUGGUGUGCUCGGUAGUCUAUUUUCUAUGUACAGCUUCGGUCUGCAGAACAUGGAGCAGGGACAGAUUUCGAUUGACAGACGUUUAAGAAAGACUCAAGCGGCAAUAUUGAGACAUGAGAGACGAGAUUUCUUUCCUGUAAAUUUCAAUCCUUGAUAAAGUUUGGGGGAUUUCUACCUGUAACAGUUCCUUUUCAGCAACAAUUAGAUUCAGGUUUCGCAAAUCAUAUUUGGAUGGUGAAAAGACCAAUAAAUUUAAUUUUUUGCUUUAGGGAAAGAUGUUAUUUCUCGUUAUCUGUAGGCGAGACAUGCAUGUAACAUGAAAGAAAAGCAAAAACGCACAAAAAAUACAGAUACCUAAAGUUCAUGUUUUCAUACUUCAAAGGAACGUAAAAUUGACGAAACAAAAUUUGUGUUUGCAGGAAGAUUUGCGCGGAGAUGUACAGAGUCUGUCUGCUUGGAUUUUCCAAACUGGAGAGACAUUCGACAUAGACGUUGACUCAAAACGUUCUAUUCUCUUCCUGUAAUGAUCAUCGUAGUUCUGGAAUUGAUGCUCACUUAGAGCACUUGCAACUUAACAGGCUUAACUAAGAGAGGUUGAACGUAGGCAAACCGGAUGAAUUGAAAGUCAAGCUUGUAUAACUGUUAUCUCACCCCGACUGGACAGUAAGCAAGAAGGAUCGCCAGUCAUUUUUGGCUUCGAGGUGAAUCCCGCAGUCUUUUACUCGCGCUUUUCGGAGUCAACGGUUGAUUUUAUGCUUUAUUUUGUAUUCGAAAUUAAGCUCCAGUAUUCUGUUUGAAUGCUAUGGCUUGUGGAGGGUUGCUGCAAAACCGAAAGUAACUUCAGUUUACAAAUGGAACAUCUCCAUCAACCUCAACAACGUCAACGCUAUUGCUGAGGUACAUAACCGUGUGCAAAGUCACUGAAGAAUCUCCAAGUCAUAAGGAGCCGCAUAUGCCAACUCUACCGUCAGCUUUCAACCGCAUGUUUCUAGAAAUCCUCGCCUUUGUAUUAGUUACGUUACAAAACAGUUGAUGGUUUCACGUGCUUGGUAAAGAUAACGUGUUGGAGAAAAGUUAUACAAAAUUAGUGCUGAUGUACAUCACUUCGAUGGAUGUAAAACUAGUUGGCAUUGCAAUUACACGUAACAUAUUUCCAUAUGAGUACUCGCGUGAUGAGAUUCUGGCUCUGCUCUGCCUGCUCUGCUCUUUCAAAAGUUGCGCUGUGCUGCUCCUGGUAAUAUUUUGGUAUCUGGUGUAGAAUAUGCAUGGUCCGAAAUUUGGUGUUAGAGACGGUAAGGUUCAUUGUUAGAAUAAGUUAGGAGAUAUUGAUGAUGAUUUUUCGCUGAAUUGGAAUAGACAGAAAAUGAGUGUGUCCAUCACUGCUGAGGUAUUGUUGAAUGUUUUCAUUGAGGUUGGUAACUUCUGUCUCUCAUGGGAAAUGAACUUUGUUACAUUUUGGGUUCGUAAUGAUUAACUCACAAAUUCUUAUGACUAUACUGUAAUAUCUUUUUGCUUGCUUCUAUGUUUAUUAAAGUUGGACUGAACAUCUUGCCACAGAGGCGCCUGUAGAUGGAUCAAUCAUUACACAAACAGUAAUUGGAAUGCUACACAGUACUCCUCUUGAAACUUUCCAUUGGUAAAGAUAAAGAGAAUCACAUGUCAUUUUCAUUCUAAUGCUGAUCUCACAUUGCACGAGGAAAAGUAACAAAUACACUCCCCUUCACAGAUAUCUAAAGUUAUAGUCUUUUAUAUGCGAAGUUUAUAACCAAAGUUUCGUUUUUCCUUGUCAAUGUUUUGCAUGGAAUGGUAUUUUUUAUAGGAUUUUAUUAAUUAUUGCACGUGAAAUGAUUGACAAGUUCUUUUAGGUGUGGAUUAAAGUGCAAUUUGAUAUGGUGCCAACAGUACAUGUUUUUGUCCUUAAUACACAGUAAUUCUGAAAGAAUUUGAAGGAAAUCAAAUGCUGGGUUCAGAUAGCAUCGUAUCAACCUCUAUUGUUCCGGUAAGGUACAAUAGCUUUUAGCGUACAAUAUAGAUUUGACUCUAAGUGUCUGUUGUAAUAAAAUAAUUCUAGCACUUAGUGUAAAGUGUUUCCUCACGUUCUAGGUGAAUGUACAAUACCUUAGCAUUGUCAGUGUAUUCGUCAUGGUGUUGACACUACGUUUGAUCCCUGUUCAAAUAGAUUUACUUUUCAUAAGUUGUAACAAUGCAUGAUAUAUACUCUGCUGUUAGCUUUCCACGUGCAGUAAAUAUAACUAUGAGGUCAAAGUGAGGGUUGAUUUCCAGUUGGCACACGUAGGCCACGCUGCAGCAAAUGCGAGCACGGUUGGCCACGACGCAUUACCACUCUAUCAGAAAGACUUCGAGCAUUACAAUAAUGCGGUUGAAUGCCAAAUCUGCAAGAGGUUUCGUUAGAAAUAGAGUAUUCGCGCAGUUUCAGCAUACAGGCAUUGGGAAACAGCUCAGUAAGACUCAUCGUUGGUAGAGAAUUAUUUCGUCUUGGGGAGCUUUCACUACUGUCACAUGCAUGUUACUCUUGAAGAUUAACUUGAACCCAAGCGAGACAAUAUGAAGUGUCAUUCCCAGCCAAAAAUACGAUUCUGAAUUCUACAUAGUACUUGGGCCACAUCGUGUAGACCGUUCUACAAUUCGAGACUACCGCCAGAGUUCCGACACCUGUUCUUUCCCUUUCGAGGUAAAUUAUUCCUUCCACUUCGUAGGCUUAUCUUGCAAUUGGUCACUCUUACAACGAGCAUUUUAUUUCACUAAUCUACUCAAGGAUUCAAUUUUAAAAACCCUUGCAUAAAAAUGAAAAAUAAAAUAUACUAUUAGCUUGUGCGCAACUGUGAUGAUAUUCCACGUGACAAAACAUAGCGUGCACACACUACACAUUCGGGCAUUUCCAUGAUCGGGAGUAAUCUUCAUCUAUCAAGUACGAGUGAAUUUCUAAACGGCAGGCCAGAAAACGUUACAUCAAGAACUGCGCCUUACUGCACGGAAACAAAAACAAGUAAAUGAUCAACUCUUCGCGUAGAUACCAUGUCAACAGUGCGCUCUAGCCAAACCAUUUGCAACCUGAUUCCUGUGUACCUAUUACAACAAAGCCUUAAUUCACAGCUCAGUGCUUCGAGAGAAUAUACAAGCGGCAUGUAACGCGCCAUUUUCUAAAUACUACAAAAUCCCUGCAAACUCAGAUUUGACAGAAGUCGUAAGUAAAAUAUUCGCAAAAAAUCUUCAGUUACCAAAAUUAGUGACACCGUACUCACAGUUCUGCAGAUAUCUCCGGAGUUGCUUCCGAACUGACCAGACACAAACCCGCUUGCUACGCCGCUGGACAUGAAAAGGAGCACUGAAAUCAUAUUCCGUGUACGCUUUACACACUCGGGCUGCCGAAAAGAAUAUUCUAAGAUGCUGUAGUAAGCACAGCACCUGGAUGGUCGUCAGCCGAGGCGAGUCCUUGUAUAAGCCCGUUGCCCACUCACUUCUUGGAGAAGUGCAUCUCCGUAUCGGUAGAAUUUCAAAAUCGGUUCCCAUCUGGUCAAGCUCAGGGAUCUCUAAACAAUGUGGGGAUCCACACGGUGCAGUACAAGUGGAAAGAUAUUCGAACCCUUCCGCCUAACUGUUCAAAAUGGUGAACCGAUUCGCUCAAAGCGAUGAUUAAUUUUUUUAUGACUUCCUCUAAAUAUCUAUCUCCCUGCGUCCCCAAUACGACUUGAUCCAUAAACCUUUGCAUGAGCCUGUGCGACCUGGGAUUCAGAUUUUGAAAAACGACGGAUGUGAAGAUGCAGUACUCCAAGAUGAGGGUGGGCGACAUGGCGAAAAUGCGACGUCUUCUUCAAUAUUCAGAUGGUUGAAAAACUGGACCACAAGAGUGCGACUCUGUUUCCAUUUCCAAAAUCGAGUUCCUUGAAUGCAAACCCCAACUGGUUGAUCGAACCACAUAACCCAUUUUCUCAACUGGAUACGAUCGCUCACGACAAACGAACUGCAACUUUCUCAACAUUCUCUACAUCGAUUGCAAGACAUCCAAAUCUCAACACACAAUUUCCACAUGAGAGAAUUCAACAUUACUUUCGUUCCAAUUUCAGAGACGGGGAGGCAGCUCCACAGUUGAACGAUAAGUAUCAAACAAACUGUUGCCCCAUCAAUGCAAUUCGCCACCCAGAGUUGGUGACAAAACGCAAUUUAUGGACAUUUGGAACUUGUCUCUACGCUCCACAACAAAAUCGGAUUCCCGUUUUUCAAUUGCAUCCCUUUCAACUUCUAGUAACAACUACCCAAAAAAAAACCCCAACUAACUAACUACCUAACACACAAACAUAACAACAAAAACACAGAAACACGACGAAAACAAAUAUUAAAAAAAUGAAACAACUCACAUUGUAUCUCGAACCGGACCCUGAAGGGAAGAGUACAAUCUAAAGAAGAAAAAAAACAAGACAGCAUUGUAAAAUAAGAGGGAGCUAAGAAUUUAUAAUCAUGACACUACACACACACACUCCCCAGAGCACCUUAUUCUCAGGCUACCUUUGGUGGGUGACCAUCACGGACGACCUGCUAGCACCAGCCCAAGGCAGGUGAUCGGUCAUGCGAUGCGCGCCGAAAGGAACUGAAACCCGGAGCUCAGCAACUCGGGUUUUGGGUGUUGACACCCAGUGGGAAAAAGGAGGGGGGAUUCGCAAAUGUGUUGGCAACUGGACAGGGCGGAGGUAGCCUUAUAGGGUGGGGGAGUGCGGCGUCACCUGGCGCUGUCUUACUAAGUAGGACGUGCGAAGCCCCCAUAAAUAAGUGUUCUAGCCACGCUGGGCGAGAGGGACGUCGCAACACACGCUCUCCACGUCCAUAGGCCCCGCGCACUACCAGGUUCGUAAAGUCCACAAAUAUCAUGUCCACGUUACAAAAUUGUUGUUGUUAUUAUUAGCAGCGCGAGAGUAAGUGAGUCCCUUCAAGCUCAUGGCUAGUUGCGUGGGCUCCGUUUUGGGGGGGGGGGGGGGGGGGGGGGGUCCCCUUUACGAUCCCUAUAAAGGGUUUUUUCCUCCACGUCCUCUUUCGUACCCCGAUUCUCUGCAGCUUUUGCUUCUGCCGCCUUCAGCGCAUUUUUUAUAGCCUCUGCUUCGGCUGCCGAUGCCUCUACCAGGGACUCUACUCCUUUUCUGUGGGUCCUGAAAAAAACAUCCAGCCUUUCAAAACUUUGACAAAAAAAUGAGAGUUUAUAGACCCCAAGAUUCUACAUAAUCACCCUGAAAAAUCCCUGCUAGAGCGAAACCCACAAAAAAAAUACCCGUCAGAUCACCAGAUUACAACCUCCCACCACUAAAUUUGGGCGCAAAGCGAAGCCCCCCUCCCACGGCUUAACGCUAAAAAAAAUCUCCAAAGNNNNNNNNNNNNNNNNNNNNNNNNNNNNNNNNNNNNNNNNNNNNNNNNNNNNNNNNNNNNNNNNNNNNNNNNNNNNNNNNNNNNNNNNNNNNNNNNNNNNGACAAAUUGUGGGAUACAAUGAAGGCCUUCUUCAUCAUAUUUGCAUUAAAAAGAAUAUGUAUCAGCUUGAAGUUUGUUGCAUAACUUAAGUCUAUUUAUCUAAUUAUCUUGGAUGUGAACUUAUAGUUGGUUCAUAUUGUUUGUAACUUGCAUCCCAACAAAAGAUUAAGAAAAGCAGGAACUAAAAGAAAGAGGAAAAAAUAAAUAAAAUGCAAUAUGUCAUUUGCAUGAUCUUUCCAAUUCAAGUAUCAUAACAAAGGAGAUGAUUUUGAUUAAUCACUCUUUGAGUUAUUUUUAUUGCUACUCUAGGGUGUCAUCAUAACAAUGGCUUAAUAGCAAUCGAAGAUAUGAAUGAAGUCAACAUCUAAUACUUAAUAGAAAAAGAUUUCUUGAAACAUAGCACAAUUUUUAAUUUUUGUAAUGGAAGUUGAAUAAUAUUUUGUUUUAUUUUUUCCUAAAUGAAUGUGCAUCAUGGACAUAUAUUUUUACUCCAAUAAUUACUUAGAUAUUAUGAAUAAGUAAAAAUAGGUUAAUUUGAUAAUAUUGUAUAGACAAGCUUCUUAGAAGCUUUAUAGAUCCAAUUUCACCUUUAUACAUGUUUAUAGGUGAUUGAUAGAUUAGAAACUUGGCCAACAAGUUAACUACAUGUUGUAUAUAUUGAUAGCUUGUAGUAUAAGUUAACAAUGUAACACACAUAUAAGAAACUUGCUUUGUAAAUUAAAACAAGUGUCUUACAAAUUAAACAUGUAUCAGAGGUUCUAUAGAAUGUCAUCACAUAGCUUUUAAUUAGAUAGUAUAUAUGGAAGCAAGAGUGAAGCGUUCCUUAUUCUUAUCAAUACCUUUUUUGUUCUUAGUCUAGUCUUAAGAGUCUGUAUUCUUCUUGUCUUUAGCAAUAGCCAUUCUAGUCUUAAUAUUAUAAUACCUUAAAAUAAAUAUUUAUUCUUCUUGAGCUAUAUAAGAGUAUUCUAGGAUUCUUCUUGUUUUGAUUCAUAUCUUUGACAAUUUGAGAAGAAUAAAGAAUUGAUUGUUCUUCUUUUGAGUUUUAAAAAAAAUAGAAUAUUCUAUCUUUAUUAUUGUAUUUGAAUGUUGCAAACUACUUACUUUUAAACCUUCAUUCUUUAUUUUUUAAAUCUUGAUUUUUUUCCUUAAAGAAAGCAAAUCACCUCUUUUUGUAGAAAUUUUCAUUUGACAUUAGAGGUUGCAGAUUAUCGUCUUCUAAUUUGACUUAUGGAUUUAUUAAAUUUUUUGAAAUGGAAGAAAAAAUCAUAUAUGCUACACUUGGCAGAAAUAAGAAUAGAUUUGUAACUAUCUAUCAAGGUCAUGAAUCUGGAAGAAAGAAAUCCUUAAUAUACUCUUGUGUUACUCAAAAAGACUAAGAAAUUAUUCAAAGAUGGUAAUAUAUUGAAUUAGAAUGGCUAUUUCCAAAGACAAAAAGACUUGAAAGUCUUAAAAUAAGACUAAGGACUUGAAAAGCAUUGACAAGAAUGAAGAAUGCUUCACACUUAUCUCCAUAUAUACUCUUAACUACGAGCUAUAUGACAAUGUUCUAUAGGACCUCCAAUACAUUUUGACUUUGCUAGACACAUGUCUUAACUUGCAAGACAAAUUUUCUAUGUAUAUGCCACAUAAUUAGCUUGUUCCUCAAGCUAUUAACAUGUGUAGUAUAUGAUUAACUUCUUGAUGAAGUUUCUAACCUACCAAUCAACUAUAAACAAGUAUAAAGUCAAAACCACAUCUAAAUAUAAAGCUUUUAAGAACCUUCUUUUGAAGAUAUUAUGAAAUAUAUAUAUAUAUAUAUAUAUAUAUAGUUACUUUUAUUAAAUUAUAUAGGUAAUGAUUGAAAAAAAUACAUAUUUUCAUGAUAUUAUCUUCUCUUCUAAGAACAAGUUCUAUGAGGAGCAGUCAUCAUCUUUUAUAGAACUUGUUGUUCUUUAUUUUGCUUUUAAUGGAUAUCAUUGAUGAAAAGUCUUAAUUCUCUUCGCUGCAUUUACAAGAUUUUUUGUUGGCUCUCAUUUAUAUUUAUUAAUGUAAUAUCCAUGCCAAUGAACAAGAUAUUCUUAUCUAUUUUGGCGAUGCUUUAAAUCUAAGACUUCUUCCACUUUGAACUCUUGAUUAUUAUCCAUUUUUAUAGGAAUAGGUGGCAUUUGUCUUUUUUUUGAGUUAUCCACUAUCUUAUAUGGUUCAAAAUGAGAUAUAUGGAAUAUGAGAUGGAUCUUCAUAGACUUUGGUAGAUAUAAUUAAUAAGCAAUAUAAUUAUCUUAUUCAUAAAUAAGAAAAGGUCUAAGCCUACAAUGGUUCAAUUUGUUACAAUGACAAGUAGUCUUGAUAUUACUACAAAGUAACCAUAUUUUGUCAUCUACGUUGAAUUAUUGUUGUUCUUUAUAAUAGGCAUCCACAUUGAUCUUUUGUCAUUCUUGAGCUUCCUUUAAUUGCACCUUUAUUGCCAUAUUUAGCUUUGAUAAAUAAUUUACUAAAUCUUCUACCACAGAAUUAUUAACUUUUAAAAAGUCAAAAAUAUCAAGUCAUGAAUGAUAAUCAUAAUUAGCAAAAAAAGAUACUUAUUAUAGAGAAGAAUAUAUUUAAUUAUUAUACGUAAAUUCUACUAAUGGCAAAAAGGUUGUUCAAUCAUCUUGAUGAUAGUUGAUGGUAUAUUUCAAAUACUGCUCUAGAAUUUAAUUCAUUCAUUCCGUUUGCCUAUCAGUUUACAAAUGCAAAGCCAAAGAGAGCUUUAUAUCCAUCUUUAAAAUCUUCAAAAAAAAUCUUUCAAAAUUUAGAUACAAAUUGAAUUUGUUUAUCUAAUAUAAUAUCCUUGGAUAAUCCAUGAUAGUGAUAGAUGUUAUCAAGAAAAAACUUAGCCAUUUUUUCACUUGUAAUAGAUUUUGUAUAUAGUGAAAAAUAAGCCAUCUUAGUAAAAUGAUCUACUAUCACGAAUAUAGAAUCAUACAAAUAUGAAACUAAAAGAUCCGUGAUAAAAUUCAUAAAAACAAAAGACUAUGGUUGUUUUGGAAUAGGUAAUAGUUGAAGAAGUCCAUAAGAUUAGUGAUGAGAAGUUUUGGAUCUUAAAUAAAUAUCACAUGAUUGUACAAAGUUUUUAAUUGCCUUCCAUAUUUGAAGCCACCAAAAAUCUCUAGAUAGUAGCUCCAAAAUCUUAUUGUAUCAAAAAUGUUUGGCUACUAAAAAAUCAUGACAAGCUUGAAGAAUACGUAAUUGUGCUUUGCCUUUUAGAAUGUAUAAUUAUCUCUUGAAGUAAAUAGAUUAUUAUUAAAAUUAAAUUUAAAAAAUAUUAUAAGACUUAAAAUAAUUAUUUUUGGUAUCAUGAACAAGAAGAUCAGAAGACAUAUUUGAUUGAAUUUGUUUGAGAAAGAUUGAAUCAACAAUCAAUGUUGAUUUUAUUUCUCAAAAAUAAAAAUGCUUUGGCUUCAAGAGAUUCAUUCUUUGUUGAUCAAAUGUUACAUUUUUUUUCUUUUAGUAGAAGAUAAGAAUAUCUAGAAAUGACAUCUAAAAAACCUUAUUGUUUUUUUGGUCAAUAAGUGAUCUUGAAAUCAAAUCUUGAUAAAGACAUGCUCCAACAAGCUUAACAAUAAUUUAAUAUAUGUAUUGAUAUGAAGUACUCAAGGUUCUUGUGAUCCAUAUAUACAAUGACUAGACUUGAGGCACUUUUAGAUAAUGAUGCUAUUCUUGAAAUGAAUCGAUAACGGCAAGAAGCUCUUUGUUUUGGAUUUCAUACUUAAUCUUAGCUCCUAAAAAUUUCCUUGAAUAAAGAAUAACUAGAUGGAAUUUGUCAUAUACUUCUAUUUUUAAUAAAAUUGCACCUAUAGCAAAAUUUCAUGCAUUUUUUUCUAUAAAGAAUGCUUUAAAAAAGUUGACACAAUGGAAGAUUGGUGCAAAAAUAAAUGUUGUUUUUAAGAUUUUAAAAGAUACUUUAGUAUCUUUGUUCCAUUCAAGAUUGUCUUUAUAGAUCAGAUGUGUAAGAAGAGCUGUAACUUGAAAAAAGUUCUUAAUGAAGAUUUAAUAAUAAUUAGUAAAUCCUAAAAAAAUAUUACACAUCUUUGUUUAUUUUGGAAUCUUCUAAUACAAGAUAGUUUGAACUUUUUUAGAAUCCAUCAUAAGGUUGUUGUUUGAAAGGAUGUAUCCUUAGAAGUCAACUUGAGUAGUAUAAAAUACACACUUACCUAGCUUGGCAUAUAAUCUUACAUCUCUUAGUUUUUGUAACACAUGACAAACAUAAAUUUAUAUUUUUUUGUGUUCUUAGAAUAGAUUAUGAUGUCAUAUAAAUAAAAAAUAAAAAAAUCAUCAAAAAACUCACAAAAGACAUCAUUCAUUAGAUGUUGAAAAGCAAUUGAUGCAUUUGUGAGUCUAAAAGACAUGAUAUUAUAUUCAAAAUAUCCAUACCUAAUUCAAAAUACAAUCUUUCAUUCAUCUCUUUUAUUAAUGCAUACUAAAUUGUAUAUUCUUUGUAGAUCUAUUUUUGUAUAGAUCUUUCCUUCAUUUAGUUGAUUAAGAAGUUUUAAAAUUAAAGGUAGAGGAUACCUAUUAUUGAUUGUGAUCUUAUUUAGUCCUUGAUAAUUCAUACACAUCAAUAGAGAUCUGUCUUUUUUCUUCAUAAAUAGGAUUAGAUCCUUGGUUGGAGAUUUAAAAUAGUAUUUGAAGUUUUUAGCCAAAUUUUCAUCAAUAUAUUCUUUCAAUGUAACUAAUUUAUUUUGUGAUAAGUUAUAGAUCGGUCUAAAUGGCAGUUGAGGUCCUUCUUGAAGAUUGAUGGAACAAUCAUAUGGAUAAUAUUUUGAAAGAAUAUAUAUAUUUUUCUUUACAAAAAUAUCUUGAUAAUCUUAGUAUUGGCUUGGAAUGCUACUUAAAAUCUUUUCUCCAUCAACAAUAGAUGUGGCAUAUGUAGCAUUUUUUUUUUUUUUUUAUUGCAACAUGCAUAAAAGCUCUUAUACCUAUCAAUAAUAGUUUGGAUGUAUUGAUCUUAUAAAUUUCUACUUUUUUAAAAAAAUCUUGAGUUAAAUUAAGGAAAAAAUUAAGAUUAUGAGAAAUCCAACCUAUUUAAGAAUUAUAUUUUUUUAGCUAUAAUAAUCCUAAAUUAAUUGAGAUAGAUGAAAAUCUAAUCACAUUAAAUAUUAUUAAACUAUUAUAAUUACUAAUUAUUACAUCUAAAUAAAUAAUUUUAUGUAUAAUAUUUCUAGAAGGCAACAAAUAACCAUCCAUUAUUUUUACAUGCAUAGGUUUGAUUUUUUAAUUAACAAUAUAUCUUAUUUUUUGAUAAAAACUUUUUCUAUAAAAUAAGCUAAGGCUCUUAAAUCUAAUAAGGCUUAGACUUUAUGAUUUUUUGGUCCCAAAAAAACUUCUAUUGUAAAAUAAGGUUUCUAUUAUAGCUAGAGAAUUUUAUUUUUUGAUAUCUUGUUUUUCUUGAUAAUCAUGCUUCUUAUUUUGUGAAUGUAUUGUUUCUUUGAGGAAUGUUAAAUAAUAAGCUUGGAUUCUCCAUAAUAUAGGCAUAAGUCUUUUUGAUAAUGAAAAAUAUUUUUUUACUCAAGAAGAUGUUUAAAAUAUAUUGUAUCAAUUUGCAUAGACUUUGACCUAGACAAGUAAGCUUUCAAAAUCUUAGAAAGUAUCACUAUAGCUUUAUUUGUAUUUUUCCAACCAAAUCUUCAUUCUUAAUGUCUUUAAAAAAAUCAAUUGUCGCAUACAAUAGCUUGAAUAAUAAAUUGCUCCAAUGAAUCUGUUCUUGACAUUGUAAAUAAUAAAUCUUUAGUAUUAUCUUUUAUUCUAUAUUUAAAUUGAUUGAUAAGGGCUAUAUCAUUCCAAUCCAUGUCGCAAGCAAGAUUUUGGAAUUCAACACCAUAUGUGGUAGUUGAAUGUGAUUCUUAUUGUAACAAUACGAGUUAGGUCUUUACUACCCUUUCUUAAUCACUUUUUCUAAAAAUUGCUCCAAACACUUGUAAGAAUGAAUUCAAAUCACAAAGCAGUUGUGAAUCUUUUUCCAUCAAAUGUAGUAUACUAAAAAAGAACACUCCUAGAGAGAAAUGCUUCAAUGAAUCCCACUUGAAUAAAUCCAUCAUGCUAUUGAAAAAGAUGCAACAUUAGAUAGAUCUUUACUUAUUGUAAAAAUCCUCAAAAUUUUGAUUUAAUUCUAUUAAAUAUUUUUAGCAUAUUUAUUUUUUUCUCUCUUAUACUUAUAGUAUCAAGACUCAUUGAAUUCAAUUGUGAACUUGAUUUGCUUGUUUCUCUUAAUUAUACAAUUUUUGGCACAAAAUUUGAAUUUUAUUCUUGAUUUCUUCUAUAGGCAUAGGAAUAGUGCUUCUAUAAUUUACAUUAAAAAUACAAGAUAUUUUUAUUCUUAAAGUCUUGAUAAGCUUAUAAAAAUUUGUAAUAGUUACAAAUCUAUUCUUAUUUCUACUGAGAGUAGCAUCUAUGAUCUUUUUUUCUAUAAAUAAUUCAAAAAAAAAAUUCAAAAUAUUAAAUUAGAAGAAGAUAAUCCAUAGCCUCUUAUAUCAAAUGAAAAUUUCUACAAAGAGGGAUAUUCCAUUCUCUUUAAAGAAAAAAUCAAUAUUAGAAAAUUAAACUUUUUGUUUAAAAGUGGAUAGUUUAUAACCUUCAAAAUACAAUAAUAGAAGUCAGAUAAUUCAUUCACUUCUAAAAAAAGAAAAAAUAAUAAGUUAGCACUCUUUUCAAAUUAUCAAGGACAUAAAUCUUAAAAAAACAAAUCCUUAAUAUAUUCUUGUAUUACUCAAAAAGACUAAAAAAUUACUCAAAGAUGAUAAUAUAUUGAACUAGAAUGGAUAUUUUUAAGACAAGAAGACUAUAAAGUCUUGAGAUAAAACCAAAAACAAGAAAAUUAUUGAUAAGACGAAGAAGAUUUCACUCUUGCUUCCAUAUAUUCUUAAUUAAGAACUAUGUGGCAAUGUUUCAUAAGCCUUCAACAUGUGUUGAUUUUGCUAGACAUAUGUCUUCAUUUGUAAGGAAAUUUUUCUAUAUAUGCAUUGCAUAUUAGCUUGUUUCACAAGCUAUCAACAUGUAUGGCAUGUGGUUAAUUUGUUGAUCAAGUUUUUAAUCUAUCAAUCAAUUAUAAAUACGUGUAAAGUCAUAAUCGCAUCUAUGAAGCUUUUAGGAAUCUUCUUUAAAAGAAAUUAUGAAAUUAAUCUAUAUUUAUCUACUUCUACCUUAUCAUAUAAGUAAUUAUUCAAAAUAAUAUAUAUAUUUGUAAUACUAUUGCAGAUCUUCACAAACUUGUCAACACUCUUAAGAUAGAAAUUUCAUGUAUCACCAAUACCAACCACAGAAGCAUUAUUCUUAUGUAUAUGAAAAAAGUCGAUAGUCUAUGCCAAAAAGUUGUGCAAUUGAGAAAAAUAAGUAGACUAAGCUUACAACCAAAUCUAAGAAGUCUUACUUUUACAAGUACAAAAGAAACAAGGAUUAGUAUGCUUGAAAAGUUUAAUGGAAUAAAAUCAAAAUUUUAAAGAUUUGUGUAACAAGUAAAGUUCUAUCUAAAGUUACAUCCAUUCCAAUACCCUAAUGGAUUUAUUCUAGUUGGAUUCACAAGCACACUUCUAUCUAAAAGUACUCUCUUUUGAUUUGUAUCUUUGAUGGAAAAGAAUUCAUAAUUCUUUUAUGAUUCAAAUUCAUUUUUAAAAGUAUUCAGGAUUGGAUUUGGAAAAAGUGAUUAAGAAAAAAUAAUAGAUAUCAAGCUCUUAUAAUUACAAUAAGAAUUACGAUUAUCCACUAUAUAUGAUGUUAAAUUUUAAAACUUUACUUGUAACAUGGACUAAAAUGAUAAAGCACUUAUCAAUCAAUUUUCAUAUGACUUGAAAGAUAACAUCAAAGAUUUAUUAUUAAUAAUAUCAAAAGAAAAUUCUUUAAAAUAAUUUAUUACUUAAGCCAUUGUAUGUAAUAAUCAAUCAUUUAAAAGGCUUUAAAAUAAAGAUUUGAUUAGAAAAGAAUAAGUUAAGUAACAAUGGCACUUCUUAAGUUUUUAGAAAUUUAUUUAUUAAGGUCAAAACUAAUGCAAAUUGAUAUUAUAUAUUUUAAAUUUCUCACUAAGUAAGAAAAGAUUUAAUGUUGUUAAGAGAAUUUGUACUUAUAUUAUAGAAAAGCUAAUCUCAUUGCUUAAUAUUACCCAAAGAAGCAAUACAAUUACAAAAUAAAGAGCAUGGUUGCUAAAAAAGACAAUAUGUUAGAAAAUAAGUUUCUCUAAUUAUAAUAGUAAUCAUGUGGCUAGAAUCAUGUACAAUACCUAAUAAAGAUCAUAUUCCCUCUUUAGAUACUUUAUCUUGUUUUAUAAUAGAUGUAUAUUUAGGGCCUAAAAAUCAUAAAGUCUUUGCCUUAUUAAAUUUAAGAGUAUCAACUUAUUUUUUAAAUAAUAAUUUUAUCAAAAAUUAAGAAAUAUUUUUAAUCAAAAAAACUAAAUCCAUACAUUUAGAAGUCAUAAAUAGUUUUUUAUUAUCUUUUAGAGAUAUUACCUAUGAUACUAUUUUUUUAGAUGUAAAAAUUAAAGAUUAUAAUAGCAUAAUAAUAUUUAAUAUAAUAAGAUCUUCUUUCAAUUUAAUUUUUUAGGAUUAUUGUAGUUAAAAAAAUAUAAUCCAUAGAUAGAUUAAAUUUCUCAUAACCAUGAUUUUUUUAGUAUUUUAAUCCAAAAUUUUGUUAAUCAAGUAAAAAUAUAUAAGUUUAAUACAUUCAAAUUCUUAUUAAUAGGUGCAAGAGCUUUUAUACAUGCAAUAAAAAAAAGAUUAUCUUUUGUUAUAUAUAUUGUAUCCAUUUUUGAUGGUAGAAAGAUAUAAAGUAAUAUUUCUAAUUAAUAUUAAGAUUUUCAAGACAUAUUUGAAAAGAAGAACAUAGAUAUUCUACUAGAGCAAUAACCCUAUGAUUGUUCAAUUGAUCUUCAAAAAGGAGCUCAACCACCAUUUGGACCAAUCUAUAGCUUAAUGCAAAAUGAAUUGGUUGUAGUAAAGGAAUAUAUUGAUAAGAACUUGACUAAAAACAUCAUAUGCUAUUCAAAAUCUCUAAAAAAAUAUCUUAUCUUAUUUAUAAAUAAAAAAAAAUGGAUCUUUGCAAAUAACUAGAGACUAUCAUAGAUUUAACAAGAUUACCAUUAAGAAUAGGUAUUUCUUAUUUCUACUUUUAGAACUUAUUGACCAAUUCAAUGAAGUAAAGAUCUAUACAAAAAUAAAUCUAUGAAGAAUAUACAACCUAGUUUACAUGAAAAAAGAGAUGAUAGAAGAUUACUUUUGAAACUAGGUAUAGAAAUUUUGAAUAUAAUAUCAUAUAUUUUAGAUUUAUAAAUAAAUCAAUUACUUCUUAAUAUUUUAUGAAUGAUAUUUUUCAUGAAUUUUUUGAUGAUUUUGUCAUUUGUUCUUUAGAUGACAUUCUAAUCUACUUUAAGAAACUAAAAGAAUAUGAACUUUAUGUUCAUUGUGUGUUACAAAAAUUUAGAGAUGCAUAAUUAUAUGUCAAGAUGGAAAAGUGUGUAUUCUACACAACUCAAGUUGACUUCUUAGGAUACAUCAAUUCCAAUAAAGGCCUUAUAAUGGACUCUAAGAAUGUCUAAACUAUCAUGAAUUAGAAGAUUCUAAAAACAAUAAGAGUUAUAAAAUAUUUUUUGGAUUUUACUAAUUACUAUUUAUUUUUCAUCAAGAACCUUUUUUAAGUUGCACCUUUACUUAUACAUUUGACUUGUAAAAAUAAGCUUGAGUGGAAUAAAGAAGUAUAAGUAUUGUUUGAUGCUUUGAAAAAGGAAUUUAUUUCUAUACCAAUCUUAUAUUGUGUUGACUUCUCCAAGAUAUUUUUUUCAUGAAAAUAGACAUAUUAGAUUUUGUCUUAGGUGGAAUAUUAUCACAAAUAGAAAUAGAUAACAAACUCUAUUCAAUAGCUUUCCAUUCCAAGAAUUUUUGAACAACAAAGAUAAACUACAAAAUCUACAAUAAAGAACUUCUUGCAAUUAUGGAUUCUUUUUAAGAAUAGCGUUACUAUCUAGAAGGUACUUCUAAUCUAAUCAUCAUGUAUAUAAAUUAUAAGAUCCUCAAGUACUUCAUGUCAACAUGUGUUUUGAAUUGUUGCUAUGCUCGUUGGAGUAUGUCAUUAUCAAGAUUUGAUUACAAGAUUACAUAUUGACUUAGAAAAAAAAAAAUGUUAGAUGCACUUUUUAGACAUUCUUAUCUUGUACCAAAAAAAGAGAUGUAGCUUUUAAUUAACAAAAAAUGGUCAUCUUGAAGCUCAAAUAAUUUCAUCUUUAAGCAAUAAAAUCAACAUUGACUAUUGAUUCAAUCUUUAUCAACCAAUUCAAUCAUGUAUUGCCUUUAAUCCUCUUAUUUAUUAUAUUAAGAAUACUUCUUUUGAGUUUCAUGAUACUUCUAAGUUCAACUUCAAAAAUAACCUAUUCUAUUUAAAAAAUUGCCUAUAUGUUCUAGAAGAAAAAGCAUGUUUACAUAUUCUUCAAACUCAUCAUAACUUUCUAGGGCUAGAAUAUUUUGGAUACAACAAGACUUUGGAGCUCAUAUCUAAAGAUUUUUUGUAGCUACAAAUAUAGAUGGUUGUGAAAGACUUUGUAUAAUCAUGUGACAUUUGCUCAAGGUUAAAAACUCCUUAUCAUCAAUUUCUUGGACUUUUUCAAUCAUUACCUAUAUCAAAACAAUUAUAGUCUAUUAUUUUUAUAGAUUUUAUUGUAAAUCUUUCAAGUUCAAGUUUAUAUAACUAUAUAUUCAUGAUCAUAGAUUGUUUCUUUAAAAUAAUAUAUUUUCUAUUAUAUACAAAAUCUAUUUCAAAUAAAAAAAUAGCUAAGCUUUUCCUUGACAACAUCUAUUGCUAUCAUGGAUUAUCAAAAGAUAUUAUAUUAAAUAAAAAGAUACAAUUUAUAUCAAGUUUUGGAGAAAUAUUUGAGAUGUACCAUCAACUAUUAUUAAGAUGAUUAGAUAAUUUUUUUGCCAUUGGCAAAGUUUACAUAUAAUAAUUUGAUACAUUCUUCUAUUCAACAAACAUCUUUUUUUGAUAAUUAUGAUUAUCAUCUAAGACUUGAUACUUUUGACUUUUCAAAAGUUAAUAAUCUUGGGACGAAAGAUUUGACAAAUCAUUUAUUAAAGCUACAUGCAAUAAUAAAGGCACAAUUAAAGGAAUUUCAAAAAUAACAAAAGAUCAAUACAAAUACCUAUUAUAAGAAAUAACCAUAAUUCAAUGUGAGUGACAAAGCAUGAUUACUUUGUCAUAAUAUCAAGACUAUUUGUCCUUGUGAUAAAUUCAAUUAUCAUAGAUUUAGACCUUUUCUUAUUUGUGAAUAGAUCAAUUCAAUUGCUUAUUGAUUAUACUUACUAAAGUCAAUAAAGAUUCAUCUUGUAGUCCCCAUGUCUCUUUUUGAAUCAUAUAAGAUAUUGAACAUACCAAGAAGAAGAUAAGCGCCACCUUCUUUUAUAGAAGAGAAUAAUAAUGAAGAGUUUGAAGUUGAAGAAGUUUUAGAUUCAAGACAGUGUCAAAAUAGAUUGAAAUAUUUUGAAUAUUGGCAUGAAUAUGAUACAUGGGAGCUAGUCAAAUAUCUUGCAAACAUAUCAAAGAAGGUUGAUACUUUUCAUUCAUGACAUCUAUCGAAAUUAAAAUAAAAGAUAGCAAAUCUUUAUUAUAAAAGAACUGCAAUUUAAAGAAGAUUGCAUUUGAUCUUUUAUCCUUAUUUGUAAUUUCUAUGUAUUUAUGGCACUCAUGAGAUAGAAAACCAAUAGCCAACAAACUCAACUUAGGAGCUAUUUUUUAUUGACUUAUCACAUGAGAUAUUGCAAUUAUCAUAAUCUUGAAGACAACCUUCAAAAACAACAUGCUUUUCUUCAAAUAGAUAGCAAAAUACAACGCAUGUGGUAUCAUGAUCUUAAAAAAGACUCCCAAUGUUUGGCAAUUUUAUUAGAGGUAGGAACAAUUCUUGAUGGUAUUACAAAUUUUUUAUUUCAAGGAAGUUACAAAGGUCUAAAUAAUGAUCAAAUAACAUGGUGGUCUUUCCACCUUGGAAUCAAACAUUAUUAGUGGCUAAGAAGUCCUAUCAACUACUUUCAAAGGAAACAAAGAUCAAAGUAUGUACAAAUACAAUUUAUCGCAUCUUGGACUUCCUCAACAUGUGAUUACUAUUCUUUGUGGAACUUAUCCCUAGAAAUGAGGAAGAUAAUAUCACGGAUAUAUAUAUAUAUAUAUAUAUAUAUACUUCAAUAAUUAUCUAAAUAUUAUAAAUAGAUAAAAAUAGGCUAAUAUGAUAAUAUCUUAUAAGGAAGCUUCAUAGACCUAGUUUUACCUUUAUAUAUGUUUAUAAGAGAUUGAUAGGUUAGAAACUUAGCCAAUAAAUUAGCUACAUGUUGUACAUGUUGAUAGUUUGUGGUAUAAAUUAAUGAUGUGGCGCACAUAUAGAAAACUUACCUUGCAAGUUAAGACAUGUGUCUUACAAAUUAAAGACAUGUUAGAGGUCUUAUAGAACGUCAUCAUGUAGCUUCUAAUUAGAUAGUAUAUAUGGAAGCAAGAGUGAAGCCUUCUUCACUCUUGUCAACACCUUUCUUGUUCUUAGUCUAGUCUCAAGAGUCUAUACUCUUCUUAUCUUUAGCAAUAGCCAUUCUAGUCUUAAUAUUAUAAUACUUUUGGAGUGAAUAUUUAUUCUUCUUGAAUUACACAAAAGUGUUUUAAGAUUCUUCUUGACUUGAUUCAUGUCCUUGACAAUGUGUUUGAUCAUGUAUUGAACUUCAUACCAAUUUGUAUAUAUGUAUAAAUAAGAUUUUCGAAAAAGAUUGAGGAAAUUGUAUCACAUUAUAAGAUCAAUUAACAAAAUUGCAUAUAAAAUAAUAUAAGAUAGUGAAACAUGCAUGUAUCAUAUAUCCUUGAAUAAACAUUUUCUUGUUUAUAUUUUGUAAUAAGUGUACAUGUGCAUACAAACAUCCUAAUUCAAAGGAGUGUUGUUUUCAAUCCAAAUAUUUACUGACACUUUAUACUAUAUUAUUUAGUUAAAUUUCUGCUCAUUUGAAAAUUAUGUGGUGCAUUUUUAUAUUUCAUUGAGUUUAUAUCAAUUACCUUGGACUUGGUUUCUAAAAGUUUAAAGUAGGCAGGUAGAUAUAUACUUAAGAAUAUAUAUAUAUAUAUAUAUAUGUUGUGUGUGUGUAUAUAUAUAUUUAUAUAUACGGAGAGAGAGACAGAAAGAAUUUCAAUCUCCUGUCUUCUCUAAAGAUGCAAGAGUUUUAGGGUUUCACAACAAAAUUGCUGCUCCUGCACCCGCACCAUUGCUAGCUUUCUGGCAUGGUUUCGAUGAACUGCGGAGCAAGAAGCGCUCAAUCAUUUCCCUCAAAGCGUGUUGCAGGUUACCCACAAGCCUGAGCUGAGGUCUGGCCCUUCCUCGGUUGGAUUUGCAGCAUGGGUGCACCCGAAACGUGCCUCACCGCUUCACGAAUCGCCUGGAGAGCCGUAAAUAACACCCUAGAGAAUCGUGGAUUAAGCUGCGAAUCUUAGCUUGAAUGACACUGCCGUCUGUGCCUCAGCUUGUCCCAUCGAUUCGUGUGCCGAUGCGGGUUUGAACCGCUCCGGUUUUUAAUUCUGGCGGCUUCUAACCUCAUCCCAAUUGUAAGAAGUCUGUAGAAAGCGGGACACAGUUGCACCAUGCACGCACGGCUGCCCGGCUGUCACGCCUACCGAGGCGUCGUUCCGAUUUCGGCUGGCGCAGUAAAACCUGCUCCGCCGGGAAAUGAAAACACCGCAGCAAUGUUCCGGAAUCGAAUUCACAAGCGUGACGAAUCACGUAUGCUUGACACCGAAAUUAAGAGUGACCUGAAAUGUAUUCGCUCGGAGCAAUGCACCGUCUUCUGUUCUGUAGCGACGAUUAACAGUGGAAGAUUGGGUACACUUCCGUGCGGCGACGGAACCAUCAAUUCAUCGUUUUCUGCGACAAGUUUAAUGGAAGGAUAUCAAAGAGUAGCUUGGCUGCGGUCUGCUGGUCGCUUAUCGAAGGAGUCCAAGACCAGUAAGUUUGGUCGAUCAGUCCUCAUGAGAACGCACGAGCGAGGUUUCCAGGCUUCAUCGAGAAACUUUCACUUUAUUUGUGUCGCCUUCUGUGUCUCAUAAUCCAGAUGCAAUAAACCUUACUCACUAUGAAUUCGACCCAAUUUCAUUACGAGUAAGGUAAACGCAAUUAGUGGUGAAACACCAUCUGGGAUCGCGGUAAUCACUGUUCCUUGUCGCCACGCUCAGCUGGGAACCAAUUUCUCCCCCAUCCACUAAUCGCCGAACAUAGAUACGCGUUCUGUAGCAGCGCGCUCGGUUCCGCCGGCAAUGGUGACUUUGCUGAUGAUUCAGCCAGGUUGAAAUGCCUGUAGACUUCCCGAACCGAAUUUCUUUUUUCCUAGCACAUGGCCAAUCUGGGGUAAAACUCAUGUCCGAGCUCUGCUUGCAACAAUCCACCGCUGCUCAGGGCACGACGCGACAGAACUCAACGGGACAAGCGAACUAACGUAACGAACCGACUGGUUCGGUUACAAAGUUCUCCAGAUCCAGACCCCCCGUGCGCCAAAGCCUGUUUGUUUGUGAUGAUUGCGGGGCUGGCACUUGCACCCCCCGUGGACAUCGACGGAGCCCUACAACCCAAUUCUCGAGCCUCCAGGAUGCCAUAUUUACCUACCAAGUGGCCGCUAGUGGGGUUUUAGCAGGGACUGGUCAGGGCGGAUCCGGACCAGGCCCGACCUAAGAAAAGCGGCACGUAAAAAAUAGUGGAAUCUGGAUUAGAACCAGGGCAUGGUUGUCACCACUGGGGGCUGGUAAUUCGAAGCAGGCUACAGCUUUGGUAGAAGAGUUCAGCAAGCUUCUGUGGGGGUACAAGCCAUCCCCCACGUAGCAAUCACACUGUUCUCAUUAUUGCCAACGUUUGCACAAUGGCGUUGCUCGAAACCACAAGCCUCCAUCUCCUGUUCGGCACAGCAUCCCCCCCCCCCCCUCCAAAGUCUAUUGGUGGAAUCCCGGUGGGGGUGGAGUGGCAGUGCAGGGGAAUUGAUGAGGAGUACUGCGUGCAAGUGCACGGGCACGAAAUUGUUUUAUGGCGGUCGCAGUUAUCCAUCACGCUGUCUGCACUUCCAGCACUUUCGCAGCGUCUUUAUAGCAAAUGGUGGGCGCUGAGUGUACACGAUUCCCUUUGAGGUUGCCAAUUUUGAUGAGAGUGCCGUCUGCCGAAGGAUCUGGUAUUGUAAGCUUAGCCCUGGCCCCCUCUUCCUCGCACGUACUAUUCCGCCAGAUUUGUCGUUUCUCCAACUCCAGAUCUUCACCCUCGCGUUACUUUACCGUGAUUUCCACGAAGUCGUGCUACUCCAGGGCUGCUAGAGUCGCUUCACUUCCGCAUCGCGACUGUUCCUUUCCUCAGUGAGCUUGGCAAGCCAGCUAUAACUCACAUUGUUGCUCGCAUCGAUGGCAUCGACACCGGAGACGAACACCUUACCAACCGCAAACUACACCCCAAAAUAGCUUGCACUGGAGUUUUCAAUUCUACAAACUGAGAUACGUCGAGAAUAAAAUCUUACUCACGCAACGGUCAAUUUCUGGGCUCUUCAAUAAAAGGAAAAAACAAGGCAAAAAAACGGAAAAUUCCCAUUGGGAUUAAGUAUUUGGGGGCUCGCUCACGCGAUAGCCCUCUUUGCAAGGAAUUGGCUCAUGACAAGGCUAGCGCAAUCUGCACAUGGAAUAUAUUAUUAUUCACUGUUUCCGCCCCAUUUGUGUAUACGAGCUCACACGAAGGGAAUAAAUCUGCAACUAUAAUCAGUACCCAACGAUCUCUUCAUGAUAUGAUCUUUUGUUCGGAUGUGAGCGAAUUUGACAAAUUGUGCACCCCCCCCCCCCCUUUGUUUGGGUGUGUGAAUAUGGACUUAUUCUGUAACAUGCUUCUUGCUUGAUUGCCUCUGGAAAUGUUCUGCGCAGUUUGUACCCCUCUUUUGUAAUUGUUUAUUUUAAUGUGCAGUGGAUCUUGAAUGUGUCUCAAUUGCUCUAUGCUUGCUUCUAUGCCCCCCCCCUUUUCCCCUUUUUUCUUAACUUGGUUUGCACCUUUCAAAUAAUAUUGCCAAUUUUAUUUGCCAACUAUUUUUCAUAAAUUGUGAACAUUAUUGAGCAUAUAGUAAGAGUGAUUCAGAAUUUUUUCUAGUUGAAAUAUGGCUGUAGAUUUUCUUUAUGAAAAUUCUCUCUAGAUUUGAUUAUAUUAUGUUAUGUGUAUUCUAGCUUAUUUAACAAAAAUUUAGGAAAAUGAAAUAGAUUUUAUCACAUAAUUUUUUUUUUUUUCAAUUCUUUAGUAAAUAAGAUAUCUUCUUCUUUACUUUUGUACAUUGAAUUAGUAAGGAUCAUGUCCAUUAUAAUAUAUUAAAUGCAUAUAUGGAAAGUCAGAUUGUAGAAGAAAUAUUUUAGAGCAACUAAUAAGAAUACAAUAAAUUUAAAAAAGUCUUUGAUUAUUUAAGAUUGUCAAAUAUAGGUAUAAUUAUGGAUAUUUUUUUUACAUUUAUAUUUAUUACUAAAUAGUAGUCCUUUGUUAUUAAUUGCAUACAUGUAUUAGUUGGUUUCUUUGUAAAACUUUUAAGUUUUUAUGUUUGACAUGUAAAUUCCUUUCAUAUUGCUCCACUGUUAGUAUUAUUAUUAUUAUUAUAAUUACUAUUUUCUCUUUUUUCUUUUUUAAUAAACUUCAGAACAAAAUUUUAACAUCAUAUUAAUUAUUCCAAAUUAAUAAAAAAAAUAUUAUAAUUAUUUAUUAAAUAUUAUUAAUAUUGUUUUAAAUUAGAUAGUUCUAAAAUUAUAAAAUACCAAAUAAAUAAUAAUAAUAUAAUUUAAAAAACACUCUUGGAAUUUUUAAUAGUGUAUAUAUAUAUAUAUAUAUAUAUAUAUAUUUUUGUUUUUUUUUUGUAAUAAUAAGAUAAUAAUUUUUUAUAUAAAAGCUACAUAUAUAUCUAUUAUGUAGUUUUUAAAAUAUUAUUUGUUAAGAAAUUUAUUUGACAAUGUCAAAGAUAUAAAUCAAAAUAAAACCUUGACAAAACAAUACAAUAUGGUAUCAUUCAAAGAUAGAAAAUAAAUAAAUAAAAGUUAGAUAUAAGAGAGGAAAAAAUAAGAAUUGCUAUCACUAGUUACAAAGUGGAUAGGGAGUCUUAAAUGAAGAUUGGCACAUAAGAAAGGUGUUAAUAAGACCAAUCAUGGUUUCAAUCUUGCUUCCAUAUAUAUUAGUUAUGAAGAUGGUAUUUUAGAAGCUUCUUCGGAAAACAAAAAUUACAUAGAAAAAUCUUGGAUUAAUACUUAGAGUAGAUUGUUUGUAAACUAGAGUCAAAUCUAUACCUUGAGAUACAAAACCACACAUCUAAGAUAAAUAUGGGAUUCUUUUGUUGAUAGAAGAUAUAUCUUAGAAAUUAGACUUGAUAAAGAGCAAAAUUGAUAGAAUUCCUUUAAGCUUUGUUUAGAAGAGAUUUAAUUAAAUAAAGACUUUGUGAUAACUUUGCAAAGUUGGGAUUGUGUCAAGGACAAGAACUCAAUAAAAAACAAUUCAGACAAGUGAGAAUUCACUCAAAGAGAGAUAACAAAAUAUAUAUAAAUAAGUAUAUAUAUUGAAAGAGGAACUAGAAUGGCUAUUGCCAAAAGACAAGAAAACUAGAGAUCCUUGAAACUAGACUAGAAGCAAGAAAGGAGUUGACAAGAGUGAAGAAGCCUUCACUCUUGUCUCUAUAUAUACUAUCUAACUAAGAGCUACGUGGCGAUGUUCUAUAGGACCUCCAAUAUGUGUUGACUUUGUAGAACACAUGCCUUGACUUACAAGGCAAGUUUUUCUACGUGUGGGCCACAUAGUUAGCUUGAUCUUCAAGCUACCAACAUGUAUGGCACAUGGCCAACUUGUUGACCACGUUUCUAAUUCAAAAAAUCAAUUAAAGACACCUAUGAAGUCAAAGCAGCGUCUAGGAAGUUUCUAGGAAGCUUUUAUAUUAAAUAUUGUAGAAUUAACUUACUUUUACCUACUUUUACUUACUUCUACCUAUUUCUAUAUGUAAUUAUUAGCUUACACGAUUAUGGCCGUGACAUUACCCUCCCCUUCUAGGGACGAGUUCCACGAGGAGCGGUCAUCAUAUAUUGAGGAAAUCUAUGAUGCGACGAAUUGUAUUCGCCACAUACUCUGAUCUCUGUUCUCUUCAAAGAUGAUUGAUAGGACCUCUCAACCAUCGGUAGUGUCCCAUACCAGGGCGGGAAGACCACCCAUUUUUUGAUCAUUGUUCAGGCCUUCGUAACUUCCUUCGAAUAGAAUAUUUGGAACACCAUCAGAAGUUGUUCCUACCUCUAGUAAAAUCACCAAACAUCGGGAGUCCCUUCCCAAAUCGUGAUACCAAACGCAUUGUAUCUCACCAUCUAUUCGAGGAAGAACAUGUCGUCCUUGAAGAUCUUCAUCUCGAUUACGUCGUCUUGAAGGUUGUGACAAUCGUAAUGUCUCGUCCGGUAGGUCAGCAAAUGAAGGCUCUUAGGUUGAAUCCGCUGCUUGUUGGUUCUCCAUCUCUUGAGCGCCACUACUACAACGAAGCUACAAACAAGAAUUGAAAGUAGAAUAUUAUCUUGUCUAGAUAUUGUUUCUUUUAUAAAGAAGGUUUUCAUCUUGUUUUUGAUGGAUGUCAUCGAUGAAAAGCCUCCAUCGCCUUUGCUGCAUUUGCAAGAUUCUUUAUUGGCUCCCAUGUGUGUUCACUAAUACCAUAUCCACGCCAAUGGACAAGAUAUUCUAAUUUAUUUUGGCGCCGCCUUGAAUCUAAGAUUUCUUCUACUUCAAACUCUUCAUUAUUGUCUACUUCUAUAGGAGGAGGUAGAGCUUGUCGUCUUCUUGGUAUGUCCACAGUCUUGUAUGGUUCAAGAAGAGACACGUGGAAUACAAGAUAGAUUUUCAUUGACUCUGGUAGAUCUAAACGAUAUGCAACUGGAUUGAUUUGUGCAGAAAUAGAAAAUGGUCACAACCUUCGAUAGUCCAACUUGUCACAAGGACAAGUGGUCUUGAUAUUGCGACGAAGUAGCCAUACCUUAUCACCUAAGAUGAAUGAUGGUUAUUCCUUUCGAUAGACAUCUGCAUUGGCUUUUUGUUGUUCUUGAGCCUCUUUUAACUGUGCCUUCAUCGUUACAUGUAGCUCUAAGAAAUGAAUUGCCAAAUCUUUUGCAGUAGGAUUAUCAACUUUUGAAAAGUCAAAAGUAUCAAGUCGUGGAUGAUAACCAUAAUUAGCAAAGAAAGGUGUUUGUUUUAUAGAAGAGUGUACCGUGUUAUUGUAAGCAAACUCUGCCAAUGGCAAAAGAGUUGUCCAAUCAUCUUGUUGGUAAUUAAUGGUACAUCUUAAAUAUUGCUCCAAAACUUGAUUAACACGCUCCGUUUGUCCAUCAGUUUGAGGAUGGAAUGCCGAAGAUAGUUUUAUAUCCACUUUAAGAAUCUUGAAAAGAGUCCGCCAAAAUCUUGAUACAAAUUGAGUUCCCCUAUCUGAUAUAAUAUUCUUGGGUAAUCCAUGAUAGCGAUAGAUAUUGUCAAGAAAGAGCUUAGCUGUUUCUUCACCUAUGAUAGAUUUUGUACAUGGUACAAAAUGUGCCAUCUUGGUAAAACGAUCUAAUAUCACGAAUAUAGAGUCAUAAGAACAUGAGAUUGGAAGAUCCGUGAUGAAGUCCAUAGAAACAAAAGACCAUGGUUGUUCUGAAAUGGGUAAUGGCUGAAGGAGUCCAAAAGGUCGAUGACGAGGAGUUUUCGAUCUUGAGCAAACAUCACAUGAUUGUACAAAAUCUUUGACUGCCUUUCAUAUUUGAGGCCACCAAAAAUCCCUAGAUAUCAGCUCCAAAGUCUUAUUAUAUCCGAAAUGUCCUGCUGCUGGGAAGUCGUGACGAGCUUGAAGAACACGUAAACGUGCUUCUCCUUCUGGAACAUAUAGGCGUCCUUCGAAAUAGAGUAGGUUGUUCUUGAAUUCAAAUUUAGAUGGAUCGUGAGAUUUAGAAGAAUUGUUCUUGACAUCAUGAACAAGAGGGUUUGAAGACAUACUUAACUGGACUUGCUUAAGAAAAUUUAAAUCAAUAGUCAAUGUUGAUUUUAUUGCUCGAAGAUGAAAUUGUUCCGGCUUCAAGAGAACCGUUCUUUGUUGCUCAAAAGCUGCAUCUCCUUCUUUUGGUGUAAGAUAAGAACGUUGUCGUGUUGUAACACGAGUAUACCAUAAAAAUAUAAAGAAAGGGGACUUUUAUUAAUGUUCAGUUACCUCGAAUAUUGAGAGCAACGACCAAAUUCGGUGCAAAUACUGAGUGGCCAGGUUCAGUCACCCUGUUACAGUCAGCCGAGGGAUACUGAAAUGCUCCGUUCGAUUCCAAUAACGGAAGUCAGGGGGAAGUAAAAGGACCAAUUCACACGAUGGGUGACCCUGGUUCGAAGAGCCAAUUGGAUCCAAUUUCAAGAAUCCAAUCCGGGUCCUCUUACCCAAUAUGAGACCUGAAUUGGUCGGGCAACCUAAUGCAGUCUAAUUACGGGAAAAUCCAGGUCUUACUACGGGCCUCAGCCAAUCUGACACGAAGGACCAAUUUGAUCCAAUUUUGGGAACAUCCGGAUCUUACUAGUGGACUCUUAGCUAAUAUGAGACUUGAAUUGGUCGGGCGACUCAAUGUGGUCCAGAUUACGGGUUUCGAUUCUGUUUCAGGCUGUCUUGUUCUCUGUGCCGUUUCAGGGAACGUUGUUUUCGGUAAACGGAUCUCUUAAAGGUAAAAAUGGAGGAGAAAGCUCUAACGGCGAGAGCCAAUUUCGGAUCUAAGCCUUGAUGACCAGAGCCAAUUUCGGAUCUAAGCUCUGACGGCUGGAGCUAAUUUCGGAUCCAAGACGACAGAUUGAAGAAAUUCAGAGAAUAAGUUUUAGGGGGGUUUUUUUUUUCAGAUCAGGGAUUUUUUCGAUCGAAGAGCUAGCUUCAAGCUCUUUUCAAGGUUACUAGUUCGGUUUCAUUGGAGUUUUUUGGAGAUCAAGGGGAGAGGAGCUUCAUGCUUCGGAUCGUAAGUACAAAGCGGUAUCGAAGAUUAGCAGAUUGGGUUGUUCGGGGUUCUCUGUAACGUCUAGAGACCUACUGGCUGGAACAAAAAGGACUUCAACAAGCAGUCGAAGAGCAUCCGUAUAGAUUUACGGUACAUUGUUGCAGUCGUUUAUAUUCCAGCAGUCAAAACUGAUAGACUGCUUGACUAUCGGUGAAUCUCCAUACUACCUUCUACAACCAGACGUCCGGUGCAUUUUCGAGCAAGAAAGCACGUAAUACGACAAAAGUGGUGAACCCGACAUGAAAGCUUGAGGUGGAAGGUAUUGGAUUUUGGUUGAUUUUAUCUUUAUUUUAUGAAAAACGAAAAUAAAAAUUUUGAAGGAUUUUUGGGAGGAGUUUCUGGUGAGGAUUCUUCUAAAGGACAAGGUAUGCACAUGGAUCCGUCUAUUGCUAGUAUGUUUCAAGCCUUCUCAUUAUCAAUGCAGCAACAACAAAGCAAUGAUCGAAAGGAAGCUUUGGCAAUCAAAGCAUUGCAAGCAGUGGUCAAUAAAAUUGAUCAAUUUGAUGGGAAGAAUAUUUCAAGGUAUUUAAGAUGUUAUGUUCGUGAAAUGGAAUUAAAUCGGGUUUCUGAGAAGAAAAUGGUUGCACUAUUUGGACUUGCCACGAUAUCGGAGAUAAGAGACCAUAUUACAUCAAUUACGGAUCGUUAUGGGAAUUCAUGGGAGGUUUUUUCACAUGCAUUGAAAGACGAAUAUUUCUUGGAAGAUGUUGAUCGCAUUACUAAGAAGCUGUUUCUGGGAUGGAUUGAACAGCCCAAUAAGAAUUUGCAAGCAACAGAGCUACUAAGGGAAUUUGAGAGGCAGUACUCUCAAUUGUCGAAGGUAGAAAAAUUGACAUUGGAGCCGAACCAAGUUGAUCUAUUUCUUCAAGCUGCUGAUGGAAAAUUGCAAGAAAAAUUAGAACUCCUUCUUGAAGACAAAGAAGAAGAUGAAGGAUUGACAACGAAGUCAAAGAACGUUGAAGAUGCAAUGGGGUUGCUUACAAAAAAAGAAAGGAGGAAGGAUAGGAGCAAUAUUCAGAAAACAGUACAAGCACCCAAAGCUCCAGUACGUACAACACCACCAACAAUGCCUACAGUUCAACCUUCGUCAUCCUUAUCAAAGAAAGCAGAUAUGGGAAUGGAAGAAAUUAUACGAGGAAUGUGAGAUCUUCAAAUCAAAUUAGCAAGACUUGAAGAGAAUACUUCUAUAAAUAAUUCGAAGAAUGUUUCAAAACAAGGAUAUGUACAAAGAUGCAUUUGGUGUGAUGAUGCUUCACACACUAGAAAAGAUUGCAAUGAAUUUAAUAAUAUGAUACGUCAGGGAAUUAUUUGCUGGAAAGAUGGAAAGAUAGCAUUGAAAAAUAGAGAGGAUCUUCUUCAAACCAAUUUUGGCAAGGGAGGAAUGAGAGCAUUGGUUCAAGAUUACUUAAAAGAGCAUGAAACAGUAGUACGAGAAAGUGCAAGUUAUGGUGGUAGAGUAGAUGAUGAAAUUGGUGGAAGUACGGAAACUAGUGAGUUUUGGGCUUCUGCCGUUUCUACAAUGCAAGAAGGGAAAUUACCUCGAGAAGCGUUAUUGAGAACUGCAGCUACAAUACGAGGUAGAACAGGUUGGGAGGAUCCUGUUGAGUCUCUUUCAGUUCAUGCAUAUAUUGCUAAGAGCCAACAUGAAGCUUUGACGGAAGAAAAGAAACGAGGAAAUUUUGAUGAUACUAGAGAAGGAAAUUCUUCUAAGAGGCAAACUCGAGGAAACAAGGCUCGGGAGGCAGCUUCACAAGAAUUGCCUGUAAAGGAUACGUCAGCAUCAUUGGGAGAAAAAACAAAGGAGACAAAAGAUAAAGGCAAAUCAAUUGCUUAUAAGCUAUUUUCUGACAUUGAAGCGGCAACAGAUUUGAAAGGGGUGUUGGAAGAACGUAUAUUAAACGCUAAGGUGGAAUUCACAUUGAAAGAAGUCUUGGGAAUUACACAGAAGGAGUUUCAUGAUGUUAUCAUUGGCAGCAUUAAGCAAAAGAGGCAAUUAAUGGACGAAACUGGAAUGAGUCAUGCUAUUGAUGCAAGAAUAUAUAGAGAUGAAGAACAGCUUGAUAUUGGUUACAAGCAACCAACAAAUGAAAAGAAUGGAUAUAAUCAGCGAGUACGUUUCGAAGAUUCUAGUGAUAAGGAAAUGGAAACUUUGAGCCAUUAUACUCGAAAGCAUUGGGCAAGGGCAACUACUGAGGUAUUGGUGAAAGUAGGAGAUAUAGAAGAACCACUUAUUGCUUUGGUCGACCAUGGUUCUGAAAUAAAUCUCAUGUCUAAAGAUCUUUAUAAGAAGCAAAAAUGGUCAAUUGAUAUGGAACAUGGAUGGGUAAUACGAGCAGCUAAUAACACAUGGGGCAAAUUAUAUGGAGCUUGUCCAGAUGUCAAAAUUUGGAUUAGGGAUGUUGCGACGGAGCAACAUUUCUUCGUUCAAGAUACAACGUCUUAUCCGUUGAUUAUAGGACAACCUUAUAUUACGGCAACACGGAUAGAAACAAAAGUACUUGACGAUGGUUCUGCUUAUGCAAGGAUACGUAGCAAAGAUGGGAGGAAAGCUGUACAAUUUCUAACAGCACCUCCUAAUCAUGAACGAAAUCGAGAUAGGUUGAGGGAGAAACCAUUGCCAAAGAUUGUUGAAGGAUUUAAGGAUUUUGGUGAGGUACCACUGUAAAGCGAGAUUAUGGAGGUACAAAAUAGGAGGUACUCUCGCGAGAUGAAGGUGCCUUUGAUGCGAGUUUUAUUGGUAUAUUGGAGAAUGGAAAUAUUAUGUAUAAGAAAUUUGAUGAUUUUAAAAGAAAAGAAAAAAAAAGAUUAUAUGAUAUUGAAGGACAAUUACGCAAGAUAGGUACAUUGCAAGAUGAUGAGAGGAUUUUGGGUGUUUAUGAAGAAAAUGGACUGGAAGAUUCAUUGGAAUUGAUUACAUCUAUUGGGUUAGGAGAUAAUGAUAAGAUUGUUGAGAUUCAUUUAAGAGAGGUUUAUACCAUACUUGAAUCAUUUCAAGCACCAGAAGUAACUGUAGAGACGAGAUAUAAAACGGCAGAUAAGAAGGUAAAGCCUGUUGCCGAACCAUUACCAGAAGAUUCUAAAGAACAAAUGGGAGAAGCAUCAAAAGAAGCGAAUUUAAGAGAUCCAAUGAGUAUUGGACAUGAGUUUACUGAAGAGACUUUUGAAGAAUUGAAGAUUGGUUCUGAUGGUUCUUUAUUGCCGGAGGAAAUUACUUGUUUCAAAAAGAUGUUGGCUAAACAAGGUAGAUCGUUUGCCUUCGAAUCUCAUGAAAUUGGGUGUGUGGAUCCAAAUAUUAUAACACCUAUGGUUAUCUUCACUGUACCACAUGUAUCUUGGAAUCUAAGACCGAUUCCAGUACCGAGGAUACAUUUACCUAAAUUGGUUGAACUAUUAAAAGAAAAGAUAAAGAUAAAAAUAUUGGAACCUUCAUUAGCGCCGUAUUCUAGUCGAUGGUUUACGGUACCUAAGAAGAAUGGAUUACUACGGUUUAUUCAAGAUAUGCAACCGGUGAAUGCAGUAACUGUCAAAAAUGUAGGAAUUAGACCUAUUGUGGAUGAAUUUGCUGAGGCGUUUGCUGGAAGGGCGAUCUAUUCAAUGGGUGACUUGUAUUCAGGUUAUGAUCAAUUUCAACUUGCCGAAGGAAGUAGAGAUAUGACAACAAUGAGGAUACCACUUGGAUUGGUUAGAAUGUGCACUCUUCCUCAAGGCGCGACCAACUCAGUUGCACAUAUGAUGAAUGGGAUGAAUAAGGUAUUGAGAGAUUUUAUUCCGGAAAAGACUAUGCCUUUUUUGGAUGAUGUUCCUAUAAAAGGGUGCAGAGAAGGAGACAAGGAUGAAACUUUAGAUAUGAUGGGGUGUCGCAAAUAUGUUGUUGAUCAUAUACAAGAUUGUGAAAAGAUUUUAAUUCGGCUUGGAGAAGUUUAUCUUACAUUAUCGGGUAUGAAGUCCGUAUUUGGAGUACAAGAGGUUGUAAUUGUUGGACAUUUAUGUGGAUCUUACGGAAGAAAACCAGAUCCGACUAAAGUUGAUGCAAUUGGAAGGAUGAAAGAGGAUUGUGAUUCUUUAACAGAGGUUCACAGGUUUUUGGGUGCAUGUGUAUUUUAUCGAAUCUGGAUCCCUCAUUUUGCUCACAUAGCGGAUCCAUUAUAUGAACUGUUACGCAAGGGUUACCGAUUUAAAUGGGAAGAAAGGCAUAUUCAGGCAAUGCAAAGAUUGAAGAAAUUAUUGAUGUCACCUCCAAUAUUGAGGAAGGUUGAUUAUAAGUGCAAUAGACCAGUGAUUCUUACUGUGGACGCUAGUCCAAUUGCCAUUGGAUGGGCUGUGAGUCAAGAUGAUUCGAGUGGGAAUAGAUGUGCAGUUCGGUUUGGGGCUAAAGUUUUAAGUAUUCGUCAGCGUGCAUAUUUGUAAGUCAAAAGAGAACUUUGGGGAGUCGUUUCGGCUAUGAAAGUUGAAAGAAAUUAUUUGAUUGAGGUAGUAGUAGUAAUUGAAACAGAUUGCUUGUCAUUGCUUGGAAUGAUUAUUAACUGUUCAACGCCAGAUAUUGCAAUGUUGAGAUGGAUUGGUUAUAUUAAGUCACUAAAUCCAGAAUUUAAGCAUAUUACUAGGAAAGAUAAUUUAGUAGCAGACAUGCUAUCUCGAGCAAGAUACGAGAGGGAGGACAAAUGGUUGAAGACAUUGAUGACGUCGGAUUGAAAUUCUAUUCAAUAUCAAAUCUCAACAGAGAAGACAAGCUAUUUCUUGAAGAAUCUUAUGAAGGAGAAUUAUUGGAUAUUGGUCAUUACUUGAAUACCUUGACUAAGCAGAGAAAUUGGUCUACAAAAGAAUUCAAACAAAUAAGAAAAAAAGCAUAUGGAUUUUUAUUUUGAGAUGGAUUCUUAUGGAAGAGACCGAAGAAAGGAAUUGGGAUGCCACAACGAGUGAUAGGCAAAAGGAAAGAAAAACUAAAAUUAUUAAUGGAGUUUCAUGAUAGUUUAUGGGCAGGGCAUAGAGAAAUCUAGGCUACUGUUGCUAAACUCAAGGAACGAUAUUGGUAGAAAAAUAUGUAUCGAGAUGUGCUCUCAUUUGUAGAGUCAUGGAAAAUCUGUCAAUCGUAUUCUAAUAUCCGACAUCGAGAUGGUCUUCAUCCUACGUAUCCUCUGGCUAUUCAUUUUAAAUGGAUUGUUGACUUGGUUAUUAUGCCAGUUGGGUUAUGGCAGAUGAGAUAUUUGGUUUUAGCUCAUGAAGAUUUAUCAAAUCAAGUAGAAGGAAGAGCAUUGAGGACAAAAUCUAUACAGGGAAUUUGUAGGUUUUUGCUUGAAGAUGUCAUUUGCUGCUACGGAUGAGUAGGAAAAAUCACUGCAGAUCGUGGAGAAUUAAAUGCACAAGAAGCUCGUAAGUUCUUUGAAAGAUGUGGAGUUAAACUAUCACUGACUACUGCUUAUAAUCCGGAAGGGAAUGCAAAAAGCGAACGCGGUCACCCACCGAUUGUAAAAGCAUUAGUUAAAGCUUGUAAUGGGAAAGUUAAAGAGUAGCCACGGCUUUUGUCAUUUGCAUUAUGGACUGAUCGAACAACACAUAGUUCGGUGACAGGAUAUAUGCCAGUAGAACUUAUGACAGGUCGAAAACCAAUUAUGCCGAUUGAAGAAAAGGUACUUACUUAGAGUAUGCUACCAUGGGAAGAUGGAUUGACAAGAGAAGAACUUCUGGCUAUUAGGAUUCGACAAUUGGAGCAAAGAACGGAAGAUGUCCAGAUAGCAUUAGGAAGGUUAAAAAGAGCAAGGUUACAAAACAAGGCGCGAUUCGAUAAGCAACAUCGAUUGAGACCAAAAGCAAUCGAGGAAGGUGACUGGGUACUUGUUUAUGACAAUAGUCGGGAUAAUCAACAUAGUACUUUGCGAAAAUUUUCAAAACGUUGGUUUGGACUAUAUGUAGUUACAACUGUUCAUGAUAAUGCGACUUACUCAUUACGGGAGUUAGAUGGUACAAAAUUGAAAAUACCAAUUGCAGGGAAGCGAGUAAAAAUAUUUAAACGAAGACACGCGGAGAUGAAUAUGGAAGACCUUAAUAAAGGUAUAGAGAUUCCGCAGCAAGAAGAUGAAAGUGAUUUGGAUAAUGAAGGUGACGAAGAUGAAUUGGGCAAAGACGUAGAGGAUAUAUUCUGAAUCAAAUAGCAAUUGGGUAAAUUGGUGCAUACCGGAGGAUGCACAAGUUCAGAGGAGGUAGAUGUCGUGUUGUAACACUAGUAUACCAUGAAAAUAUAAAGAAAAAGGACUUUUAUUAAUAUUCAGUUACCUUGAAUAUUGAGAGCAACGACCAACUCCGGUACAAAUACUGAGUGGCUAGGUUCAGUCACCCCGUUACAGUCAGCCGGGGGAUACUGAAAUACUCCGUUCGAUUCCAAUAACGGAAGUCAGCAGGAAGGAAAAGGACCAAUUCACACGAUGGGUGAGCCUGGUUCGUAGAGCCAAUUGGAUCCAAUUUCAAGAAUCCAAUCCGGGUCCUCUUAUCCAAUAUGAGACCUGAAUUGGUCGGGCAACCUAAUGCAGUCUAAUUACGAGAAAAUCCAGGUCUUACUACGGGCCUUAGCCAAUCUGACACGAAGGACCAAUUUGAUCCAAUUUUGGGAACAUCCGGAUCUUACUAGUGGACUCUUAGCCAAUAUGAGACCUGAAUUGGUCGGGCGACUCAAUGUGGUCCCGAUUACGGGGUUUUGAUUCUGUUUCAGGCUGUCUUGUUCUCUGUGCCGUUUCAGGAAACGUUGUUUUCGGUAAAAGGAUCUCUUAAAGGUAAAAAUGGAGGAGAAAACUCUGAUGAUGAGAGCCAAUUUCGGAUCAAGCUCUGAUGGUGGGAGCCAAUUUCGAAUUCAAGACGGAGGAUUGAAGAAAUUCAGAAUUAAGGUUAAGAAAUGAGAGGGGGGGGAGAAUAAGUUUUUUUGGGGGAGGUUUUGAAGAUAGGAGAGAGCUAGCUUCAUGCUUCGAGUGGGCAAAGAAGAUAGAGAAUUGGGUUUUUUUUCUUCAUAGGGUUUUGAGAAGACUGAGACAAUCGUUGCUGAAGUCAGUGUUGUAAUGGUGAAUCGGGAUUUUUAAUGAAGUGGGUUUGAUUACUCUUGACUGUUUUGUGAAAUCAAGUUACGUCUGUGAUGAAGAGUUAAAAGGGUGUCUAUAGGAUUGAGUAUGCGGAGUGAAUGAAAUUUAUUGGGUUAAUCUAACAAGACAGUCAGUGGAUACAAGAUCAUGAGUAUAAAGCGGUAUCGAAGAUUAGCAGUUUGGGUUGUUCGAGGUUCUCUGUAACGUCUAGAGACCUACCGGCUGGGGCAAAAAGAACUUUGACAAGCAGUCGAAGGGCAUCCGUAUAGAUUUACGGUGUAUUCUUGCAGUUGUUUGUAUUCCAAUAGUCAAAAACUGAUAAACUGCUUGAAUAUUGGCAAAUCUCUAUACUACCUUCUACAACCAGACGCCCGGUGUCGUAUUCUAACACGAGUAUAUCGUGAAAAUAUAAAGAAAGGGGACUUUUAUUAUUGUUCAGUUACCUCGAAUAUUGGGAGUAACGACCAACUCCAGUGCAAAUACUGAGUGGCCAGGUUCAGUCACCCCGUUACAGUCAGCCGGGGCAUACUGAAAUGCUCCGUUCGAUUCCAAUAACGGGAGUCAGCAGGAAGGGAAAGGACCAAUUCACGCAACGGGUGAGCCUGGUUCGAAGAGCCAAUUGGAUCCAAUUUCAAGAAUCUAAUCCGGGUCCUCUUACCCAAUAUGAGACCUGAAUUGGUCGGGCAACCCAAUGUAGUCUAAUUACGGGGAAAUCCGGGUCUAACUACUAGACUCUUACCCAAUAUGAGACCUGUAUUGGUCGGGCAACCCAAUGCAGUCUAAUUACGGGAAAAUCCAGGUCUUACUACGGGCCUUAGCCAGUUUGACGUGAAGAGCCAAUUGGAUCCAAUUUCAAGAAUCCAAUCCGGGUCUCUUACCCAAUAUGAGACCUGCAUUGGUUGGAGAACUCAAUGUGGACCCGAGUAGGGGGUUUCAAUUCUAUUUCAAGCUGUCUUAUUCUCUGUGCCGUUUCAGGGAACGUUAUUUUUGGUAAAUGGAUCUCUUAAAGGUAAAAAUGGAGGAGGAAGCUCUGACGGCGGGAGCCAAUUUUGGAUCUAAGCUUUGACAAUGGGAGCCAAUUCUGGAUCCAAGACAAAAGAUUGAAGAAAUUCAGAGGAUAAGGUUAGGGAAAGAAUGAGAUCAGGGGGGGAUUUUUUUUGGAUCGGGGAGCAAGCUUCAAGUUUUUUUCAAGGUUACUAGUUCGGUUUCAUUGGAGGUUUUUGAAGAUCAAGGGAGAUUGGAGAGGAGCUUCAUGCUUCGGGUCGGGGAAGAAAAGACGGAGAAUUGGGUUUUUCUUCUUCAUAGAGUUUUAAGAAGACUGAGGCAAUUGUUGCUGAAGUAAGUGUUGUAAUGGUGAAUCGGGAUUUUUUAAUGAAGUGGGUUUGAUUACUCUUGACUGUUUUGUGAAAUCGAGUAACGUCUGUGAUUGAAGAAUUAAAAAGGUGUCUAUAGGAUUGAGUAUGCGGAGUGAAUGAAAUUUAUUGGGUUAAUCUAACAAGACAGUCAGUGGAUACAAGAUUGUAAGUACAAAGCGGUAUCGGAGAUUAGCAGACUAGGUUGUUCGGGGUUCUCUGUAACGUCUAGAGACCUACCGGCUAGGACAAAAAGGACUUCGAUAAACAGUCGAAGGACAUCCGUAUAGAUUUACGGUGUAUUCUUGCAGUCGUUUAUAUUCCAGCAGUCAAAAACUGAUAGACUGCUUGACUAUUGGCGAAUCUCCAAACUACCUUCUACAGCUAGACGCCCGGCGCGUUCUCGAGCAGGAUAGCACGUAAUACGACACCAUUGCAUUUUCGAGCAGGAAAGCACGUAAUACGACAAUGUUGUCGUGUUGUAACACGAGUAUACAGUGAAAAUAAAAAGAAAGGAGAAUUUUAUUAAUAUUCACUUACCUCGAAUAUUGAGAGCAACGACAACCUCCUGUACAAAUACUGAGUGGCCAGGUUCAAACACCCCGUUACAGUCAGUCGGGGCAUACUGAAAUGCUCCAUUCAAUUCCAAUAACAGGAGUCAGUAGGAAGAGAAGGACCAAUUCACACGACGGGUUCGAAGAGCCAAUUGGAUCCAAUUUCGAGAAUCCAAUCCGGGUCCUCUUAUCCAAUAUGAGACCUGAAUUGGCCGGUCAACCCAAUUACGGGAAAUCCAGGUCUUACUACGGGUCUUAGCCAAUCUGACGCGAGGACCAAUUUGACCCAAUUACGAGAACAUCCAGGUUACUACUGGACUCUUAUCAAAUAUGAGACUUGAAUUGAUUGGGCGACUCAAUGUGGUCCCGAUUACGGGGUUCGAUUCUGUUUCAGGCUGUCCUGUUCUCUGUGCUAUUUCAGAGAACGUUGUUUUUGGUAAAUGGAUUUCUUAAAGGUAAAAAUGGAGGAGAAAGCUCUAACGGCGAGAGCCAAUUUCAGAUCCAAGCUUGACGGUGGGAGCCAAUUCCGGAUCUAAGACGAAAGAUUGAAGAAAUUCAGAGGAUAAGGUUAAGAGAAGAAUAAGUUUGAAGGGGGGUUUUUUUUUUUUUUUUCUCUGGGAAUCGGGGGGAGCUAGUUUCAAGCUUUUGCAAGGUUACUAGUUCGGUUUUCAUUGGAGGUUUUUGAAGAUCAAGGGGAUUAGAGAAGAGGAGCUUCAUGCUUCAGGUCGGGGAAGAGAAGACAUAGAAUUUGGAUUUUUCUUCUUCGUAGAGUUUUUGGAAGACCGAGGCAAUCGCUGCUGAAGUCAGUAUUGUAAUGGUGAAUCGGGAUUUUUAAUGAAGUGGGUUUGAAUACUCUUGACUAUUUUGUGAAAUCGAAUUACGUUUGUGAUUGAAGGAUUAAAAGGGUGUCUAUAGGAUUGAGUAUGCGGAGUGAAUGAAAUUUAUUGGAUUAAUCUAACAAGACAGUCAGUGGAUACAAGAUCGUAAGUACAAAGCAGUAUUGAAGAUUAACAGUUUGGGUUGUUCGAGGUUCUCUGUAACGUCUAGAGACCUAUUGGCUGGGGAAAAAAGGACUUCGACAAGCAGUCGAAGAGCAUCCGUAUAGAUUUACGGUACAUUGUUGCAGUCAUUUAUAUUCCAGCAAUCAAAACUGAUAGACUGCUUGACUAUCGGCGAAUCUCCAUACUACCUUCUACAGCCAAACGUACGGCACGUUCUCGAGUAAGAAAGCACGUAAUACGACAACGUGUAAGUGGAGCUGCCACUCGAGAGAAGUCUUUGAUGAAGAUCCGAUAAUAGUUGACAAAUCCCAAAAAACAUUAGACAUCUCUUACCAUUUUUGGGAUCUUUCAGUCUAUAAUAGUUUGAACUUUCUUAGGAUCCAUCAUAAGUCCAUCAUUUGAAAUGAUGUAGCCUAAGAAAUCGACUUGAGUAGUGUGGAAUACACACUUUUCUAUCUUGGCAUAGAGUCCUACAUCUCUUAAUUUUUGUAACACACGAUGAACAUGAAGUUCAUGUUCUUUUGGAUUCUUAGAAUAGAUCAAGAUGUCGUGUAGAUAACAUACCACAAAAUCAUCCACAAACUCUCGAAAAACAUCAUUCAUUAAAUGUUAAAAAGCUGUUGGUCUAUUUGUAAGUCCAAAAGGCAUGAUGUUGUAUUCAAAAUGUCCAUACCUAGUUCGAAAUGCAGUCUUCCAUUCAUCUCCUUCUUUGAUGCGUAGUAGAUUUUAUGCUCCCCGAAGAUCUAUUUUUGUAUAGAUCUUAGCUUGAUUCAGUUGAUCAAGAAGUUUGGAUAUUAAAGGUAGUGGAUACCUGUUUUUGAUGGUAAUCUUGUUGAGUCCUCGAUAAUCAACACACAUCCGCAAUGAUCCAUCAUUUUUCUUCACAAAUAGAAUUGGAGCUCGUGCCGGAGAUUUAGAAUGGCGUAUGAAAUUCUUGGCUAGAUUUUCUUCAAUAUACUCUUUGAGUUCAGCCAACUCAUUUUGUGAUAAAUUAUAGAUUGGUCCGAAUGGCGGUUGUGCUCCUUCUUGAAGGUCAAUUGAGCAAUCAUAGGGACGAUGUUCUGGGAGUGUAUCCGCAUUCUUUUUUUCAAAUACAUCUUGAAAUUCUUGAUAUUGGCUUGGAAUGCCACUUAAAGUCUUUUCACUAGUAGAAACGGGUGUAGCAUAAAUAAUGUAUGGUGAUUCUUUCAUAGCAGCAUGCAAGAAAGCUUUUGCACCUAUAAAUACGAGUUUAAUUGAAUUGGACUUAUGACUCUUUACUUGCUUAACUACACUGUUAGUUAUACUUUUAGAGAAAGUAAGAGUUCGGGAAAUCCAGUCUAUUUGAAGGUUGUAUUUUUUUGACCACGAUAAAUCUAAAAUGACUGGAUUAGAGGGAGAUCUAAUGAUAUUAAAUACUACAAAACUAAUAUGACCAUUGAUUAUUACUUCUAUAGGAAGGGUUUCGUGAGUAAUAUCUCCAGAAGACAAUGGAGGACCAUCUAUGACUUCUACAUGAAUAGGUUUAGUUUUCUUUACUAAAGAUAUGUUAUGUCUUAUAAUAAAUCCUUCAUCUAAAAAAUACGCUGAGGCUCCUGAAUCUAAUAAGGCAGAGACUUUGUAAUGUUUAGGUCCUAAAAUAACAUUUAAUGUAAAAUAAGGAGAGGGCUCUAAGGAGAGAAUAGGACCUUUACUAGAUGUUGUGCAAGGUUCCAGCUGCAUGGUCCCUAUUGUAGCUGGACAAACUCGUUUUCCGACAUAUUAUCUUCUUUCACAGCCAUACUCCUCAUUUUGUGAUUGCGUCAUUUCUUUGGACAAUGUUGAAUAGAGUGCUUUGGUUCUCCACAAUAUAAACAUAAUCCUUAUUGACGACGACGAGUCUUUUCUUGCUUAGUAAGAGGUUUGAAACGUACUGCAUCAAUUUGUAUAUCCUCUACUUUUGAAUGUAUGUGUUGAAGAGGUGUUGAUGUUGCCAUUGAAUUAUAGUAACAUUGAGGUCUACUUGUAUGGUUCUCAGAUCAGAAUUCAAAAAGGCGAUUAUCGCACUUUACAGCAAAGUCAAUUGCUUGACUCAAUGUUUGAGGAUCAAAUAAGUUGAGCAUUAAUUUUUUUACCUCAUAUUGUAAUCCGUAGAGAAAUUGGCUAAUAAGGGCAGCAUCAUCCCACUUGAUAUCAGUUGCAAGUUGUCGAAAUUGUGAAGCAUAUAACGUUACUGAUCGAUUGCCUUGUCGUAAAAUACGGAUCUUAUUGGUUGCAACACGAAUUGCAUCAUGUUCUCCAUACAUAGAUCAAAACUCCACCAAAAAAGCCUCUAGAUUAUCCAAUAUUGGAUCUCGUCGUUCAAAAAAAGAUAAAAACUAUGAUAGUGCCGAACCUGAAAAAAGCGUACCAAUGAAUCUAAGUUGUGAUCCCGGAGUUGGAUAGCUUUGGGGUUGAAGUUCAAUCACAAGUUGUACUUGAUUGAUAAAUCCUCGAAACUUAGAUCUAGUGCCAUCAAACUUCUCAGGUAGGGCAAUUCUUGGUUCUCUAAUAUUUGAAGGGCGUUCCACCAUAGGAGAAAGGACAUGGUUUGGUGCAGAUGUUGAAGCAGCUCCAACCAUUUCUAUAUCUUCACUUCCUGCCAAUCUUGUUACUCCUUAUGGUGGUAAAUUGAGUUGAUGCAUUGCAAGCAUUAACUCCCUCAAUUGCUCUUGCAUUUGUGCCAUUGCACUCUUCAUUUCAAGAAGUUCUGCUAUGAUAACACUUAGAAGAGAGAAGAUGUCUAAUAUCACUUAAGACAACUAGAAGAGAGGACUUGUGGACAAAGAAAAUACUAAGGACAAUAUCAGUUUAGAAGAGGGUAAUCCGCAACUUCUAAUAUGCUUAUAUCUUAUCAAGAAAAAGGGAUAAUCCACUCUUAAUCAAGAUUAGACAAAGCUCUGAUAUUGUAGGUGUACUCUUGUCAAUCUGUCAAGGACAAGAACUCAAUAAAAAAUAAUUCAGACAAGUGAGAAUUCACUCAAAGAGAGGUAACAAAAUAUAUAUAAAUAAGUAUGUAUAUUGAAAGAGGAACUAGAAUGGCUAUUGCCAAAAGACAAGAAAACUAGAGACCCUUGAAACUAGACUAGAAGCAAGAAAGGAGUUGACAAGAGUGAAGAAGCCUUCACUCUUGUCUCUAUAUAUACUAUCUAACUAAGAGCUACGUGGCGACGUUCUAUACGACCUCUAAUAUGUGUUGAAUUUGUAGAACACAUGCCUUGACUUACAAGGCAAGUUUUUCUACGUGUGGGCCACAUAGUUAGCUUGAUCUUCAGGCUACCAACAUGUGUGGCACAUGGCCAACUUGUUGACCACGUUUCUAAUCCAAAAAAUCAAUUAAAGACACCUAUGAAGUCAAAGCAGCGUCUAGGAAGUUUCUAAGAAGCUUUUAUAUUAAAUAUUGUAGAAUUAACUUACUUUUACCUACUUUUACUCACUUCUACCUAUUUCUAUAUGUAAUUAUUAGCUUACAUGAUUAUGGCCGUGAUAGAUUGUUUUAUAUAACUUUAUUUUCUAAGAAUAAUAAAAAAAUUACAUUUUAAUAAAAUUUAUAAUUUUUGUAAGAAAUCUAUAAAUAUAUAUUUUUUUAUUAUAAAUAUUUUUAUACUAAAUAUAUAUUUAAAUAUCAAUUUAAAUAUCUUUUAAUAAUGAAAUUAAAUGCUAUUGAAAUUUAAGUAAAUUAAAAUAUCAAAAAUUAGAUAUAAAUAUUAAUAAAGGUUUCUAUGAUUUUUAAGAAUUUACCAAUUAGAUUCAAAUGGUUUUUUGUGAGUUGAUAAUUGGCAUAGUUUUCAAUAUUUAUGAAAAUUUUUAGAGCAAAUUAUGAUACAAAAGAGAAAUAUUAAUAUUUGAGUAUUGAAAAUAAGAUUGAAAAAAGAUAACAACCAAUAUCCAAAAAAAUAAAGAUUUUUUUUGCCUUAUAUAUAAGUUUGAUUCUUUUCAAAUUUAAUUUUCUUUAUAUUAAUUAGUAGAUUAAAAAAUAAAAUUUAUUUUAAAUAAAAUUAGUAUUUAUUGAGAUUUUAAAUCUAUCAUAGAAUUUAUUUAAGAUUUGAUUAAAAUUCAAUUAGGAUAUUUUUAGGAUUUUUUUAAAGAUUAAUUAGGAUUUGAUUAAGAUUUCAUCAUGAUUUAUUUAGAUUUUCUUUACAAUUUCUUUAGAUUUUAUUAAAAAUAUAUUAUUUUUAUUUUUUAUUUUUUUAUUGAUUGGGAUUUUUUAAAGAUUUAAUUUGGAUUUUUAAGAAUUAUUUAAGAUUCAUAUGGAGUUGAUUAGAGUAUGAUAAGAUAUUUCUAGGAAUAAUCUAAGACUGAUAAGGUGUACUUAGAAUAAUUAGAAACUUACUUAGAUUAUUUAAGUUUUCUAAAAAUAUGUUUUCAAACAACUUAUGUAUUAUUUUUAGAUUAUAAAUAUAGCUUUGAGAUAAGAUUAAAUCUUUCCAUAGCUUGAUGUCCAAUAUAUUUCAAGACUAAUUUUCACAUAACACAAUAGUGUUGUAUUGUAGAUUGCUUCUAAUGCAACUUUUUAAAAAUAAAAUAAUUAUAAUUUUUUUAAUAGUCUGAAGAAAUAAUUAUAAAAGUCAAAAUAUUUAAUAUGUAUCUAUAAAAUAUUUUUAAAAUUUCUUAAAAAAGAUAUUAUCUUUUUAAUAUGUUUUAAUUUAUUUCUACCUAUUUCUAUUUUUUUUGUAAUGUAUACAUCUCUUACCUAUCUAAUCUUUUAAAUGACAAGUUUUAUAAGGAACAAGUAAAUUGCUUCAUAAAUUUAUGAUUUGAAGUUUUGUCAAAUAAUAUUAGCAAUAAACUUUAAUCUAUGUUUUAUAUAAUGGUAGUUGAUACAUUCCUUUAACCAUUGAUUAUGUCCCAUAUGAAGGCAAAAAGACCAUCAUGUUAUUUGACUAUUUUUAUGGACUUCAUAAAUAAAUUUAAAUAAUAUAUUUUAUAUGCUAUCAAGUAAAGUAUCUAUUUUCAAUAGUAUCAGUAACCAUUAAAAGUCUCUUCUAAGAUUGUAGUACCAAACAUUAUAUAUUUCACCAUAUAUUUAAAAUAAGUUUUUUUCUUGAAGACCUUUAAUACGAUUUUAAUGUUGUUUAUAUAAAAAACUUAAGUGCUUUAUUUGAAAAAUCUUCAAAUAUAAACAACUCUUGAGAUAAACAUUUUAGUUUUUUAUUUUUUAUAUUGCAAAGAUAUUCUUGAUUUGAUACUUGAAUAUGUUUUUUAUCAUUUUUAUACCAUAUCAUUGAUUAUAAUUGGUUCUUGAUUUUGAUUAAUGUUUUCAAUGAAAAAUAAAAAUAAAUUUUGUUAUAUUUAUAAGAUUCUUAAAUAUUUCUUAUGUAUGUUUAUUGAUAUCAUAUUUGCACUAAAAUAUUAUAUAUUUUUAAUUAUUUUGGCAUUAAUUUGGAUCCAAGUAUUUUUCCACUUUAUUGUUAUCUAUUUUGAUUGAAGGUUGUAAUUGCUUUCUUCUUUGUUUAUAGAUUGUGGUAUAAAGGUCAAUAAAAAAUAUAAAAAAUAUAUAAUAAGUUUUUAUUAAUUAUAGUAGUUAUAAUUAAUAUACAACUAGAUAAAUUUAUUUUUGAAUAUUAAACAAGCCAAGUCUUUGAUAAUCCAAUUUAUCACAAAAUUAAUUGGUUUCAAUAUCAAAACAUAGUAAUUGUAUUUUAUCACCUAUUUUGAGUGGAGAUUGAUUAUUUUUAAAUAUAUUAUUAUCAUUAUUAUUUUAUUGUUCAUAAGAUUUCUUUAAUUUUAUUUUUGUUGUAGUAUAAAGCUAUGCGAUCUUUUGUAUCAAUUUUUUUAUUUUGAAUAUUUUACUUUAAAAAAAAUUAAAAUAUUAAUUAUUAGAAGAUAACCAUAAUUUGUAAGAAAAUAGAUUUUUUAAAUAGAAUAAUAUAACAUAUUAAAAUAUAAAUAUUUUGGUAAUAGCAAUAAAGUUAACCAAUUAUUUUGGUAAUAAUUAAUGAUAUAUUAUAAAUAUUUCUAUGUGACUUGAUUUACUCAUUUUAUUUUUUUAUAUUAAUUUGAGAAUAAAAAACUAAAGAUAAUUUGAAAUCUAUUUUAAUAUAAUAAUAAAUGUUUUUCUAAAAAAAUGAUAAAAAUUAGAGUUUAUAUUAAAAUAUAAUAUUACUUGGAGAUCCAUAAUAUCAAUGAAUGUUAUAAAAAAAAAUAGAUUUUUCUUUUUCCACAAUAGUUUUUUUUUACAAGGUAAAAAAUAUAUUCUUUUUAUUAUAAAAUCUACCAUCAUAAUAAAAAAAAAAAAAAAUAGAAUUUGAAAUUUAAAGACAUGUAAUAAAGUCCAUUGAAAUAAAUAAUAAAGGUUAUUUUGGAAUAGGUAGAAGUUGAAGAAAUCUAUAAAAUUAAUGAUGUGGAGACUUUGUCUUAAAAUAAGUGUCAUAAUAUUGAAAAAAUAUUUUAUCUCUUUUUACAUUUAGUACAACUAAAAUUUUCUUAAAAUUAUCUUUAAAGUUCUUUUCAUAAUUAACUUCUAAAUGAUAUCUAUUAAAUUUAUCUAGAAAUUUAUAAAAUAUAUCAUUCAUCAAAUGUUAGAAUCUAGCUAAAGUAUUUGUAAAUCCAAAAGAUAUGACAUUAUAUUCAAAAUAUCAUAUCUAUUUUAUAAUAAAGUCUUUUAUUUAUUUAUUUCUUUAAUAUAUAUAUCAAAUUGUAGGUAUUGCAUAAAUCUAUCUGAGUAUGGAUAUUGACUUUAUUUAAUUAUCAAAGAAGCAUUGAUGUUUAAAACAAAGGAUACCAAUUUUUCAUGAUUAAUUUAUUGAAUAUAAUAUAGUCUACAAGAUGUUGUUGCAUUUGUAAUAAUAUUUGAUGUAUUGAAGCACAAUUGCACAAAAAUUAUAGCACACAUUAUAAAAUAGGAAGAAGAUUGCAACACAACCCUACUUCUACUCACUAAGCCAUUGCAGACAACAUAAAGAAGAGAGAGACAAAAAAAUAGAAGAGAACCUCUAGCUGCAACUUUCAAAAAUCAUCGAGCUGUAUAAUACAACUAAAAAGGAGGAACAAAUAGAGAGUUUAUAGGUUCUAGGCUGAAUCCCUAUUGACUAUGUCUCUUCUUCAAAGACAAAGGUCAGCCAUAACUAUCGCUAUCUGCUAAUAUCCAUACAUUAUCCAUAUCUAGAUGUAUCAGAUGGGGUACUGUAUUUUGGAUCCAUAUAGCUACAAUAUUUUGGAUCCAUAUGCUAUAUAAUAUGCUAGACUCAUAUACUAUAUUAUAUUGUAUUCAUACUUCAUAUAGAAUCUAAUCAUGUAUUUAUCUAUAUAUUUAAAUCAUAUACAAUCAUAUUUGGACCACAUAUAUUAGAAAUUUGAAGAUUUUUGAUUCUUUUUAGAUAUUCUUAAGAUGCUACAACUGAUGCCAAUUUGAUGCCUUCCAAAAUAUCUUCUAAAAUUGGACUUUUCUAUUAGAAUUUCUAUUCAUAACUACGUUUUAUCUACUAACUUUAUUUUUCUUGUCUUUAGUAUCUUCUACACUCAUCUUUUAUUAAAAAUUGCUACUUGACACUCCUAUUGCAUUCUUUUGUCCUAAAAAAAACCAUAAGUUGAUUUAAUGACUCUUAUAUAGAAAUUAUGUAAGACGACUUACCAAAGAAAAGAACACAGAAUUGACUAUCUAAAAUCUAUUGAUUAAAAAGUAACUUGACUAUUGAAGUUAUCAAUUUUUCAAAGACUACAAUAAGAGAGCUAUUGCUACUUAAUACAAUAAAUUAAGGUUGAUUUUGUCUUAUAGACUAUAUAAGGAAGACAAACAAAAAUUAAAUCUAUUUUAAAAACUAUAGAUUUUAAGAUAAGAAAGAAGCUAAGAGUUUCAAAAAGACAAUAUUCUAAAUUCACAUUCACCAAAGAAGAUUUUAAUAAUAGAUCCUUCAAGUUUCACAUAUUUGUUGGAUUUUCAAUGUUGUCACGGACACAGAAAUACAGGCUCGAGAUCUAACAAGAAGUUCAAGAAGAACUGGCAAGACCUAGAUUAAUCAGAUGAAUACAAGAACAACACUAGAGACGUGAGCUAGAGCUCCAAGAGAUGUGUUGUCGAGACUAAAGAACUCUUCAGCCUCGAUUCUAAUAUAUAUUCUUAUUUAGGAAGCUUCUCAAGCAACUUCUACCAACUAAGAAGCUUCUCAAGCGACUUCCACCAACUAUGAAGCUUUUCAAGCAACUUCCACCAACUAGGAAGCUUCUCAAGCAACUUCCACCAACUAAGAAGCUUCUCAAGCAACUUCUAUCAACUAGAAAGCUUCUCAAGCAACCUCCACCAACUAGAAAGCUUCUCAAGCAACUUCCACCAACUAAGAAGCUUUUCAAGCAACUUCUAUCAACUAAAAAGCUUCUCAAGCAACUUCCACCAACUAAGAAGCUUCUAGAAGGUUCCAGAGACUUACUUUUAGAAGGUUCUAAGGACUAUGUCCCUAACAUCAUCUCCUCCUUUAGCUUCGAGGUCUUUGAGAAGCAAUAUUAUUGUUAAUCAGUACCAACACAAGAAAAUGAAGAUUUGUCGCAUAACAUCUGUUAUGAACUCCAACUAUUGUUCAUGAGGCAAGUGGUUCAUUGGCCCUUGAAGCCAACGGUAGUAGCCCACACCUUCGACUUCUGACCAAGCAUGAACUUUCGUAUCUUCAUUGGAAAAUUGUCCUGCAAACACGCCUUCUAGCUGACCAUCGUAAGCAGGCUCGAACUCAAAUACAAUCACCAGUAAUCGAUUACUUGAUAUCCUCCAUCGUCGUCGUGAUGUAGGCGGUUCUUCAUCUUGGGGUUGCCUUCGUGAGCUAGUCGGUUGAGAUAAUCUGACUAGCAUACUAUCUAUCUCUUGGCUAUCCAUAUCAGAAGGCUAUUGAAAAAAUUCUACUUUAUCAACUACGAGUUUUGGUGGUGCUCUCCCCUUUCUUAUAUUCUUGGGUGAGCAAGCUUCAGAAGGAAGCUAUCGUCGAAUCGGCUUAGGUUUAUGAGGAUGUUGUUGAUGAAACUCUUGUACCUUUUGUGGCACAUUGGCAAGAUUUUCAGUUAGUUUCCACGUUUGCUCAUUAAUGUCAUAGUCGCUCCAAUGAACAAGAUAUUCCAACUUGCCCCACCUUUGUCGUGAAUCCAACACCUUUUCGACCUCGUAUUCCUCGUGGUUCUCGAUCUCAAUACUAGGUGGUGGACAUUGCACUCUUCUAGGAAAGGACGACUCUCGAUAAGGCUCCAGCAGAGAAACAUGAAAGACUGGAUGUACCUUCAUAGAAGCCGGUAAUUCCAAACGGUAUGCCACUGGAUUGAUUUGCUUUUGGAUGAUAAAUGGUCCCAAUCUUCGAUAGUCCAACUUAUCACAUGGUCGCUUGGUCUUGAUAUUCCGUCGAAGAAGCCAUGCUUUAUCUCCAAUUUUGAAAGUAGGUGCUUGAUUCCGAAAUCUAUUUGCAGACGCCUUGUAGGAUUCUUGAGCAGAUUGUAAUUCAAGCUUCAACGUAGUUUGAAGCUCUGAUAGUUGCUUUGCAAGUCCUUCAGCUGCUAGAUUGUUAUUUGUUGACAGACUCAAUAAAUCAAGCUUUGGAUGAUAUCCAUAGUUAGCAAAGAAUGGUGUGUAUUGAGUCGAUGCAUGGAGGGUAUUAUUAUAUGUAAACUUGGCUAGCGGCAGAUAUACGGUCUAAUCGUCUUGUUAAUAGUUGAUGCUGCAUCGUAAGUAUUGUUCCAAGACUUAGUUCACCCGUUCCGUUUGGCCGUCAAUUUGAGGAUGGAAAGCUGAAGAAAGCUUGAUAUCCACCUUCAAUAUCUCAAAAAGAGAUCUCCAAAACUUUGAUACGAACUAGGUUCCUCGAUCUGAUACGAUAUCAUCUGGUAGUCCAUGAUAUCAAUAUACAUUAUCGAGAAAGAGCCUUACUGUGACUUCACUGGAUGAUGUCUUCUUACAAGGAACAAAAUGCGCCAUCUUUGUAAGCCGAUCUACCAUGACAAAGAUGUUGUUAAAUGAGUUCGAUGAUGGCAGAUCCGUGAUGAAGUCCAUGGAAAUUGAAGACCAUGGUCGACGUGGAAUCGGCAAUGGUUGUAGAAGUCCAUAAGGGCGAUGUCGAGGAUUCUUCGAUCUUGAACAAAUAUCACAAGAAAGGACAAAAUCUUUCACAUCCUUCCACAUUUGGGGCCAUCAAAAAUCUCAAGAAAUAAGCUCCAAGGUCUUAUUGAAUCCAAAAUGUCCCGCAGCUGGAAAAUCGUGGCGAGAUUGAAGAACUUGGAGUCGUGCUAGUCCUUUUGGAAUAUACAACCGCUCCUCAAAGUAUAAAAGAUCUCCCUCUACCUUGAACUUGUCAUCAUUAGUACGCUGCUUAAUAUCAAUGGCUACUAGAUCUUCAAUGGUUACGGUACGUACCUGGUUCAAGAAGUCAGCAUCAAUUGGCACAAUAGUAGUGCAAAGCCAAAAUUGCUCUGGCUUCAACAACGUCAUACAUUGUUGAUCAAAUGUUGCUUCUCUAGCCUUUGGUAUAAGAUACGAUCUCCUCGAUAAGGCAUCGGAUAGUCCUUGCUGCUUUCUUGGUCGAUAAGUGAUAACAAAAUCGAAUCUAGAUAGCAACAUAGUCCACCGAGCUUGAUGUCGAUUUAAAACUCGAGCCGACAUGAAAUACUCCAAAUUCUUAAGAUUAGUGUAUAUGGUCAUUGGGUGUGCAGCUCCUUCAAAAACGUGAUGCCAUUCUUGGAAAGAAUCCACUAUAGCAAGAAGUUCCUUAUCGUGGAUCUCAUAAUUGAUUUCAGCAGCAGAGAACUUUCGAGAAUAAAAUGCAACUGGAUGGAGCUUCUUGUCUUCUCUCAUUUGUGAAAGUACAACUCCCAAAGCAAAAUUCGAAGCAUCAAUUUCUAAAUAGAAGGCCUUUGUAAAGUCUGGAUGUACCAAGAUCGGAGCCGUAGUAAAUGUCGUCUUCAGGUCUUGAAAUGCCUUCUCCGCUAGAGGUUCCCAUUCUAGCUUAUUCUUGCAUGUCAAUCGAGUGAAAGGAGUAGCAACUUUAGAGUAAUUCUUGAUGAAGAUUCGAUAGAAGUUAGCAAAGCCAAGAAAGCAUUAUACAUCUCUAACCGUCUUCGGAACCUCCCAGGAUACGAUUGCUUCCACCUUCUUGUGGUCCAUCUUCAAGCCUUCCGUAGUCGCAACGAAUUCCAAAAACUCCAUUUCCAUUUAGUGAAAUAAAUAUUUCUCCAACUUGACAUAUAGUCCUCGCUUGCGUAGUUUCUCCAAGACCAAACAAACGUGCUUUUCAUACUCUUCCUCGUUUUUGGAGAAUAUCAGAAUAUCAUCCAAGUAGAUGACAAUAAAAUCGUCAAGGUGCUCCCAAAAAAUAUCAUUCAUCAUAUGUUGAAAGACUGUUGGAGCAUUGGUAAGACCAAAGGGCAUGACAUUAUACUCAAAAUGGCCAUACCUUAUACGGAACGUUGUCUUCCACUCAUCUCCUUCUUUGAUUUGUACAAGGUUGUAAGCUCCCCUUAGAUCAAUUUUUGUAAAGAUCCUUGUACGUCCAAGUUGUUCUAAGAGACCAGAAAUCAAGGGUAACGGAUAACGAUUCUUCUUUGUUAUCUUGUUGAGGCCUCGAUAGUCCACGCACAUUCGCAAUGAGCCAUCUUUCUUCUUCACAAAUAAGAUGGGUGCCCCAAUUGAUGAUUUUGAAUGACGGAUGAAGUUUUUGGCUAGAUUCUCGUCAAUGUACUUCUGCCAACUCCAUCUGCGAUAGAUUGUAAAUUGGGCCAAAAGACGGUUGUGCUCCUUCUUGUAAGUCUAUGGCGCAAUCAUAUGGUCGGUGUUCCGGUAGCAUGUCGGCAUUCUUCUUUUGAAACACGUCUUUAAAAUCCUUAUAUUGCUCCGAUAUACUUGUUGUCGAGAUCUUCUCUCCGGUAGUUGGAGCCACAUAAAUGACAAAUGGUGUGCCUUCCUUGGAUGAUCUUACAAACGCUCUUGCUCCAAUAAAUAACGAUUUCUCUAUUUGGGAUUUUCUACUAGGCUUACUCUUGGAUGAUUUUGUGGGAAAGGUCAUCUUCCGCAACCUCCAAUCUAUGGAUGGAUUAUGCUUUUCCAACCAAGAAAGACCAAGAAUAAUAGGAUUUGAUGGGGUUCUAAUAAUAUUGAAAAUAAUAUGGCUACUAUAGCCCUUAAACGUCACUUUUAUAGGUUCUGAUUCAUGGGUGACACUACCAGACAAUAAAGGUCGCCCAUCUAUGACCUCCACGUGAACAGGUUUGGAUUUUUGUACUAAAGGGAUCUUAUGACACUUCGCAAAUUCUUCGUCAAAGAAAAAGCAAAUGCUCCUGAAUCUAAUAAUGCUAAGGAUCUCAGUUUUUGAGGGCCAAUAAAUAAAGGGAUUGUAAAACAAAGGGCAGGUUGAGUGAAAAGAAAGGAACUUGAUUGUUGUUGCGAUAUUUCACUAUCCAGCCACACGAUUCCUAUUGUGGCUGGGCAUCCUCGUUUUCCUAAACAAACGCACCCAUGGUCCUGACAAUGCGUCGAUUUUGUUUCUUAGGACAGUUUCCAACUUUGUGGCCUUCUUCACCACAAUAUAAGCAUAGACUUUCCUCCAUACACUGCUUUUUUUCUUUUAGAGUAAGGGAUUUGAUACGUACCGCAUCAAUUUGCAUGUCUUCUACUUCUGAAUGUGAAUUCACGUUGCUUGUCGAUAUAGUUAAGGCAUGGCGAACCGUAUGUUGUCUUGAACGUUGGUCUUGGCGGCGUUGGAAUAGGCGGUUAUCGCACUUCACAGCUUGGCUAAUAGCUUCGUUGAGCGUUCGCGGAUCAGGAAGAGUUAGCAACAAAUCCUUCACAUCGUCCCUUAAACCCCAAUAGAAUUGACUCAUCAAUGCUUCUUCGUCCCAAUUGAUGUCGCAUGCUAGUUGCCUGAAAUCCGAUGCAUAGACUGAUGUAGAGCGCAUCCCUUGUCGUAGUGACCGGAUCUUUGUUGUAGCCCAUCGAACCUUGUCGUGUUCACCAAAUGCUUCCGCAAACGCCUCCAAAAAGGUUUCAAAGUUGUUUAGUAUGGAUGAUCGUUUCUCAAACAAAGAAGCAAACCAUGAUAGAGCUUGCCCUGUAAGUAAGGUUCCAACAAGCUCAACACGUGACUCCUUCGUUAGAUAGCGUUCGGGCUGUAAAACUGUUAUCAACUUGAUUUGAUUGACAAAUCCUCAAAACUUGGAACGCGUGCCAUCGAACUUGUCCGGAAGGCUAACUCGGGGCUCUUUAUGUUGUAGAACUAACGGUGCUUGUCGAACUUGACGCAAAGUUGCUUCUCCAAGUGUAGAAGUUUGAGGCUGGUGCAACCUAGAUUGUGCCAUCUCAGAUGCUCCAUCAUUAUGAAUCCUUGCCACGACUCCUUCAAUUUCUGCAGUUCUUUGCGAUAACGUAGCAAGGGCAUUCAUGAUAGCGUCCAACUUGAACUCCAAACUUUCUGUCAUACUAAUGUCUUGGCCUCCAGCCAUUCUAAGAGAAGGACAGAAAUGACUCUACAAGAAGACAAUAUUGAUUUAGAAGAGGGUACUCCACAACCUCUAAAACGCCUUAAGAGCUUCAAGAAAAGGGGUAAUCCACUCUCUCCAAGAAGAAUAAGACUCCAAUAUUGUAACAAAAGAAGUAUUAGUUUAGAGCAAGGUAAUCAGCAACCUCUAAAAUGCUAGUACACCUUCAAGCAGAGGGGUCAUCUAUUCUCUAACGAAGAAGAAACUAGCUCUAAUAUCUGAGGUGAGUUCAGUCUCGACAAACUGUCACGGACACAGGAAUAUAGGCUCGAGAUCUAACAAGAAGUUCAAGAAGAACUGGCAAGAACUAGAUUAAUCGGAUGAAUAUAAGAACAACACUAGAGAGGUGAGCUAGAGCUCCAAGAGAUGUGUUGUCGAGACUGAAGAACUCUUCAGCCUCGAUUCCAAUAUAUACUCCUAUUUAGGAAGCUUCUCAAGCAACUUCUACCAACUAGGAAGCUACUCAAGCGACUUCUAUCAACUAGGAAGCUUCUCAAGUAACUUCCACCAACUAGGAAGCUUCUCAAGCAACUUCCACCAACUAAGAAGCUUCUCAAGCAACUUCUAUCAACUAGGAAGCUUCUCAAGCAACUUCCACCAACUAGGAAGCUUCUAGAAGGUUCCAGAGACUUGCUUCUAGAAGGUUCUAAGGACUAUGUCCCUAACAAAUGUUGGCCUUUCAUGUACUAAUACUAGAUCAUUGAAAUAGUCAUUUUUUCAAUUAGAUUCAAAUCCAAGAUACUCAAUUACAAUCUCUCAUUUAACCAAGACUUCUACAAACUUUGAAUGUUUUAAUACGACUUGACAUAGAAUUUUUAAUACUUUUUUUUUCUUUUUUUUCUUUUUUUUUUUUUUUUUUGAAAAUUUAGUCAAGUAUUUUUUUUGCCCUUACUUGGAAUUUCUAUAAUUACAUGGCAAAGGAGAUUAAUUAAAAAGAAGAAAGACUAAUAAAUAAUUCUAUUUUUUAGCUUGAAAUCUAAUAUUUAAUUUCUUAAAUUCUAUGUCGUUUUGAUGAUUUUGUCAUUUAAUAAAUUGGAUAAGGAUAAAGAUAAGGAUGAGAUGUUUAAUCUUGUAUGUGAUAAAAAUCACACUCUAUAUUCUUUAUACCUAUUGCUAGAAGCUUUGGUAGGAAAAUCUUCUCCAUUGAAUGUUUGUAAUCAUACAAAAUUAUUGGAGAAGACUUCUUUUACCAAAUAGAGUCCCAACUAUAUGGCAUCAAAUUUUCUUAGAAAAUCUAAUCUCAUAAUAUCUUAUAAAAGUACUAACAUGUCUACCUUAAGAGUUUUAACUAUAUAUCUUUUGUCAAAGGCUAUUUUUCUUCUUUGUUGUAUAGCCUUUAUAUUUCAAUUUUUUUUUUUUCCCAGCUUCAUCCAAAUCUUCUAAUUGUUCCAAUCAAUCUAUUAGAGAUUGUUUAAUUGACAAUCUUUCUAUCAAGGCAAUUUGAACAGAAGGAAUUUUCAACUCAAUUGAUAAAAUUACUUUUAUUCCAUAAAUCAAGGAAAAUAGGAUGGCUUGGGUGGUCACCUUAAAUGUAGUCUUACAAGCCUACAAGGCUGUAGGGAGAUUUAUAUUCCAAUCUUGUUUGGAAGUUGUUAUAAUUUCCUUGAGGAUAUUAACUAAGGUUUCAUUUAUCCACUCUAUAUGUCCAUUAGCUUCAAAGUAAUAUGGGGUAGUUUUUUCUAUGGUCAAUUUUGAAUUAUAAAGUCAACUCUUUCAUCACUUCAUUAAAAAAUGCUCAUCUUUAUCACUAAUUAGGAUCUUUAAACAUCCAAAUUUAAUAAUAAUUUACUUGUAAAAAAAAUUGGCUACUUGCUUAGUAUCAUUGACUUUAAUUGCCUUUGCUUUAGCCUAUUUGAUAAGAUAUUCAAUUGCUACCAUUAUGUAUUUCAUUCCAUUAGUAGAAUUAGAAUAAAACUUCCUAAAUAUAAUCAAUUCCCUAUUUUUCAAAUGAAACUAAAAGUAAGGACACAUAAAAGGGCAAACUCAUCUUUAAGUCAUUUCUAGCAUACCAUUGAUAUGCAUUACAUAUUUUAGUAUAUUUAUGGAUGUUUUAGAAUAAGGUGGACCAAUAAUAGCUGAUUCUAAGGAUUUUUUGUCCAAUUAAGGUUCCCAAAAAAUGUCCUCUAUAUGAGCUAUUGUGAUAUGUCAAUGAAAUGGUAGGAAUUUCUUUUCCUAUCACACACCUCCUUAAUAUCUCAUCUAUUCUACAUCUAUACAAUUUGAUGCCAACUAUGUCAAAGUGCCUACCAUUAAUUUGUACAUUUUGACAUUUUAUUUUAGAAAAGUUAGAAGAUAAGAUUUGGAUUGUCAGAAACUUGGUAAUCAAUUCAUACCAAGUAAAGAUGGUUAAAACAAUAAAUAGACUCUUAUCUAUCAAGGUAUUGUUAAUUGGAGCUUCACCAAUUUGUUCUAAUAACAUAAAUAAAUGAUUUGCUUCCAUAUGCAUCAUUAUUAGCUUGUAUUCUAUCAUAUAAUCAAAUUCUUCUAGUAGAAGCAUCUACCUUGUUAGUCUACCAAUUAAAUCAACCUUAUUUACAAGGUACCUGAUUAAUAUGUGGUCUACAAAGAAUACUACUAGAUUCAAGAGGAAGUAAUAUCUAAAUUUCUUGACAAAAAAAACCAUGGCAAGGCAUUUCUUUUAUGUUAUGGUGUAAUUCCUUUCUGCACAACUUACUACUAUAAAGGAAGCAUUACAAAGCACAUGGAAGGCUAAUGACCAAUUUAGUUGUCUUAAAAUUAGAUAUAUGCUAAGUUUUGCCUUGAGAAUGUUAAAUACCUCUUAACAUUCUUAAGGCAAAACUUAGCAUAUAUCUAAUUUUAAGAAUUUUUCAUUCCACUCAAAUUUCACAUUCUUUUGUUGAAGUCAAGUAAUGGACAUAGAAGUGAUAGCAUAAUUAUAUAUCACUUCCCUAUACCAUCUUAUGUGCUUAAAGGUUCUUUGUACUUCUUUUAUUGUUGAAGGAGGAUUUAAUUCCACAAUUACCUUGACUUUCUCUAAAUCAAAUUUCCUACCAUUUUCAAACAUCACAUAUCCUAGUAGGACUAUCUUUUUAAUUGUUAGGAAUAUCUUAUCAAGAUUUAAGGCAAUUUUAACUUUCCUAUACCUUUGAAGACUAACUUUGACACAUUCAAGAUGUAUUAUCUUGAAAGACUGGGUGCUAAAGUCAUCAAUGAAUACCCUAAAUUCUAAACCCUAAACCCUAAACUCUGAAUAUUUCAAUAGUACAUUGACUCUUUCAGUCUCUACUAAGGAAAUUAAGGAAAAGUACUUGAAAAAAAUUGGCAUUUCAUUCACAAUCCCAAGUGCCUGCUCUGGACGAUGCAGUUGCAAAUUCAGACAUUAAUCAACAACAGAAUCACAAUUGAUUUGCUGUGGUAAAAAUAGUUGCUUCAUUAGGACAAAUGUAUGAAGUGAACCAUUAAAUCACAUUCAAUGGGCAUGAAAUAGAAUUGGAGAAAAGAUGGAAAUAAUGUAUCGGGAAGGAUCGAGCAUGGACCCCAAACAGCCUCCCAAGGCAAGAGCCAGGUACCUAGAUAUCGAUCACCUGAGGAGAGGAUUCGGAACAGUUCGUUUAGUCUGAAUAGAGCUCACAAAGGACAGUCAACAUUUCAUCACAAAGACUUCCUGAGAAAGGAAAAUAUUGAAAAGAAAAAUAAGAGUUAUGUAAAAACAAUAGCUCGGAGUCUUCAGUUUUAUCGUGAGUAAGAAUUAUCAGCUACUACGAGAACCAUCAGAUUCUGAGAAUUUCGAGUGUGCAGCGUGAUCGAUAUCCAUAGCCAAUAUGCAUACCGACACCGCAAGCAAACUACUUCCAUCAAACUGACCACUGCACAUUGCUGUAAAUAGAAGAAUAUACCUUUAUCUAUUCAGACUAAACGAAUAUUUCUCCCUUUAUUAAUUUACACAGAAACAGAAAAUUAAAUAGACUUAAAUAUUGUCAGUAAUUCCAUUUUAGAUGAUCUUUAUCCAAAGUACAGGGGUAACAUCCAUUCAAAUAACUUCAGAAUUCUUUCCAUUGGACUGCAAAAAAAGACUACGUGAACAACUGUCAGGCGCAUGCAUCAAUAAGAAGAGGCACCGUGACGAGUUUUUGAAACACGACUACUAGAAAUAGACCCGGCUACUUCCCAAGUAAGAACAGCAAAGGUGGCAAUAUUUUCAGCUAAAUUUCCAAAACCAGGACAUAAGAAGAUUCUGACUAGGUAACACAGUUCUCUACAUUUUACUUGUCCCGCAUCGUAUCGACUACCUUUCCUCUUCCUUUAAGCUUAUCUUUAUCUUUUUCCUUAUCUUUCUCUCCGUCUUUCUCUUCAUCCUCAUCUCUCUCCUUAUUACCACCCAUUAACUCAUCUACACAAAAGCAAUACAAUUCCUGAUGUAGUUGUUGCCAUUGCUGCCCAUUAUUCAAAGCCCGGCGCAACUCCGAUCUUAAUCUUUCAAGUUCCAUUUGCAUAGCUGCCGUAGAUCCACGUUGCUGUCCGAAACAAACCUCGAGUUAGUGCAGUCUUAGGAUGCGAAUCAAGGAACAUACUUAUGUCCAAAAGUAUUGAAUAAAACUGCUGGAGUAUCGAAAUAAAUAUAGGGUCAUGUGAAGCAAAUACUAACCUCUAGCUCUUUAAUUUGGCGUUCCAUGGCAACGUAGCUAUAUGAAUGACCUUCAAAAUCUUCAUCUUCUGGAUACGAAGAAGGAAGCACAACAAGGGGUCCUUCCCAAGGGUUCGCAUCAUGAGCCACCGCAUCUGACGCAACAUACUUGCUUAAUGGAGCCACUGGAAUUGUUGGAGCUCGCCUAUUCACAGAUCGCCCCGGCUGUGAACCAUGAGAUUGUACUAAAGAUCGCGGUAACACUAGCAAGCAACUAAUGGGUCCUGUGUUGAUCAAACAGACAGUGAUUUUAGCAUCCUUACAAGAAAGUGCACAUGUUUCCACUUCACGACGACAACAAAACAAAAAUUAGACACUACUUCAACAGGUUAGCGUUCACCCAGCGGUUGUCGAAAACAUCCGAUAAGAAUGGUCUGCUGAAAACAACUUGCUUCAUCACACGCUUCGAAGGUGUUAGUUUUAUCACAAACAUUGACAAAGUAAUUCAAGUUCCCGGAUCUGUUCGACACGUGUAAAAAAUGGUUCAGGGUCUAACCUUUAGAUUGUGCGAAGGUUCUCAGAACUUGACGACUUGAUGUGUCCCAGAGACGUGCUGUGCAAUCCUCAGAUCCAGAAACCAGCGACACUCCAUCCAUACUAAAGGCCAACGAUGUGACUGCACGACUGCUCACACCAAAAUAAACGGCUUCAGUAAAAAUCCACACUGUUCAUUCUCCCGAGGCCACUACCAUAAACAAAGAACUGCACUAUCACUUCAUAAUGCAAUAUCAUAUCGCGAUUAUCGACAAUUGCAAAUGCAACCCUUAACCGCAAAACCACCAUUUUAUGACGCAGGAAUCAGGAAAUUUGGGUUGUAAUUACAAUCGGAUUCGGUAACAAACAUGGCAACGGUGGCAGCUCAUGUAAGCAAAAUAGUAGAGAAAGUUUACUAUUUACCUGUGACCAAUAAGAGCGGCAUCCGUGCCAAGGUUCCCAUCGGCCAAAAUUCCAGCCGUGGUAGGCACUCCAAAAUUUAGAGCGGUAGUGAAAAUCCUGCCAUCAGCACCGCCGGCAUACAACGCAUAUUCACCAGGAUCUAAUACAAUAGCAUUCAAUGCUGUCGGGAAAACGAUUGACCUCAGAAGAGUUCCAAGAGCAAGACUCCAGAUCUGCGAAAAUACAACCCACUUCUGUGAGAGAUGGAGAAACUUGAACACAAAUAACAAUUUCACCAAAUUUAGAUCCAGGCUUACUAGAUUGAAUGUGUUAAACCUUUCGAACAUAAUACAGGUUCAAAAAAAUCAAUGAUACAUCCUUCUAAGAGAUAACUACAAAAGAUUCAACUUCCAUAAAAGUCAACCUUUUGUUUUCAGUGAGGGCUACACAAGAGAAGUACUUCUAACACGCAGCAGAAAGAGCCGAAGACAUGAUGAAGGAUCACCUUGCAUGUGUGAUCCAAAGAGCAGGACACGACAAUAGCACUAGAGCCACCAGAGCCCGAAACAAGUCCUGUAACUGGCAAGGUGUGGUCAGACCACCCAUACAUCGCAGCAACUUGUCCGUCUGCUCCUUGGCCAUCCUCUCCCAUAUCCAGAACCCUGUACAGAAAGUACACACGCUAACUACAAGAAACGGGUGCUUCACAUACUUCAAAACCUAAUAUUGCUGUAGGGGUUUAGGGUUUAAGCUCAAACAAGUAAUCAUGGUCAAAAAACAUUAAAUGGAAGAGAAACAUAUUAAGCAUGAUCGUAGGAGUAGCUUGAGCUUAAUCCAAACACAUGAAUAGUGGCUUAUGUGCUAAAAUUGGGGUCAUAGCAUCUGCUGAACAUCAGUCGAGAAGACGGACCUGAUAAGAGGCCAGACAUUAACGAGGCCGUCAUCCGCUCCAGAAAUGAGCAACGAGUCGUCAUCAGAGAACACUAGGCAGCUGACGUUCUUGUAGUGGCCAGACCAAAGCCUCAGCAACCGCCCGGUCGCCACCUAUUCCGCCAAAAACACAAAGAAAAUCAGAUUACCGGCUCAACAGACGAAAAAGAUCCUUCGGUAAAAAGACUGAACAAACGAAUACCUCAUCAACAACUCCUCUGCUUUGCAUGCCAUAUGUCUCAUGAAACGUUUCGGUUCAUACAGUGCCUUUCGUGACAUUGACAUUCUCAGGUACACAUCUACGACUCACCUCCCAGAAAUAGAUUCGACCAGACGCACCACCACCGGCAAGGUAAGCUCCAUCGCUGGUGCACGCCAGAGGACCGAUAGGCUCCACGGGAUAGCUCUUAAAUGCUACUUGACUCUGUUUUCAGGACAGAUAAAACGAAAAUUACAGUCCGUCACCCACCGCAUCACUUCACGACCUCCGACAAUUGUCUUUGAAUGACCUACAUUUCCAAACGAUUAUGCUCUAUUCAACAAUACCCAGAGCCAUGCCAAGGUAUUCCAGUUUAUUGCCCACAUUGAAAACAUAAUGGGGUUAACAUGAAUUGUUGUGCCUGUGGAAGAAACCACCUUUCCACAAAACAGAAAUCCUACAAAUGUAAGCCAACUCAACCGUGAUGAUAUAAAUUGUUCCAGAAAGCCCAUAGCGACAGCAGAAGCGAAGGCGUUGCCUGAAGUUUAUAGUCCUUCAAUGCCACCCGACACAGAAACAACCCCAAUGCAGUAUCAAUAUGGGAUAGGAGAGGCCCUUACCUUGUGCCAAGCCCAGAAGUAGAUGGCGCCACCUCCAGCUCCACCCGAGGGCUUAGGCACCUGGGCAGCCGCCAGAAAGUGGGAUCCAACGGGAGCGAGUGCAUUGCGCGGCGAGGCGCAGGAGCGGAGGUGUGAUAACACAAGGCCGGAGUGCAAAUCCCACACCGUAACCCCCGCAUCCGCCCCUGAGCACACCACCACGACUUCUGUUACGGUAGCCAGCUUGCUCCAUCCACCCACGGCCUCUCACGGCCGCCCCCCACCCUUUCGGGCCAAAUUCACUCUAAGGAAGCCCCUCCUUAAUCCCCUGAUCACACACCCAACAAUCCCUUCCUCUCUUGAUCGCAAGCCCACGCCACUCCCUGCAUGCACCGUCAACGCUAUAUACUCGACAGAAGAAUCGACCUUCCGGCUCUUCUUCUUCAAAACUUAAACCCAAGCACCAUGAUGCAACCCACCAAAAUGAUCUCUGUAGUUCAAAUUCUAUCACCACACAUAAUGAUUCAGGUGGCGGCCUCCAGAACGCCAAGGGGCGGCUGCAGCUCCACCCAACUCCCUGCCUACUAUCGCACCACGAUCCUCAACGCUUUCUUACGCAAUCAUUCGAGGCAGUUUCGAGCGCCCGAAACAAAGCAGAUAUUCGCCGAUUCCCACGGGAAAUGGUCACCGAGUAGGCGACGAUGGCAAUCUGUGACCUAAUUUGGCCACAGUAUGCACAAUACACCACGGGCAUUUAUACCUCGCUCCGAAAACCGAAACCUGGAAAGGCACGAAAUCUCCCAUACGACAGAAAAGACUGAAUUGUGUUCAUCGAAGGAUGUAUCUGUUAAACAGAAAAUCGGCCAACUCUGUGACCUAAAACUCCUGAAUCUGAUGCCCUUCUGCAACAAUUUCAAACACCAUUUCCACCCUAAGUAUGCGUUUAUCGGAAUUGUGCAGAUACGCGUUAACGCUUCCGAAACUAGGGCUUGAAACAUAUCCCUAAUUCCUUCAAAGCUGUGCAUCUGAUUUUAGGGUUUGCGGCUCUUCAUGGAAACCACAACAAUCACAUCGUUGACUCCCCUGAAUCUAAGAAUAGAAUCGUGUUUUCGGUAGCCGAUGAAACUUACGGUGAGACUCACAAUCUCACUCAAAUAACUGUGUGGGAGUGUGUGUGUGUGAACAACACCUGUGUUUGAGUUUAACCGCUUAAAGACGACGAGGAUUGGGGUUCAAUUCUUACACAGAGUUACUCGGACCGGUGUCACAUGAACGAGCAAGAGUUGAAUGAAGAAUUGGAAAAGCUUGGAAGCUGUCGGAAGCAACACAAUCAAGCCCAAAAUCACGUCGAAACUCGAUCUGAAUUGUCAGAAUAAAUAGACAGAUGGAGCACGAGAUCAUGAAAGCGAUCGGAGCUCGAUGAUGAAUUGCAUGUUGUGGAAUGAGGCACCACGAAGCCCUAAUGAAAGAAAAAGGGCAAGAAAGCAGUAGCAACUGUUGGCUUGAUCAUCCGUAGGAAGUAGACAGAGAAGGGCUGAUAACUUUCUACUCAAAAUGUAGGACAUUGUUGUUAGUAAUCAAAACCCUUAAACUUUAGUGAAAGACAAAUUUAGAAGUUUGAGAUGGUGUUGGGUUGUCAGAUGAGGGCAUUUGUGAUUGCAUCAAAACAGUUGGCGGCUGGAAUGCCGGUUAUCAAAUUCUAAUCAUGCUUGAUUAGAAUUUUGAAACCUAACCUAAAAUCUAAUUUCCAUAUGUCCAGUGAAAACGUAACCCACAAAAACAACGUACACACUAACAAAAACAGAGGGAGAAGGAAACUUUAGAUUGUUCAGAAAGUAGACUUAUCUAAAUGUGUCUUAUAUCGAAUCUGCUACUGAGAAAUAGGAAUGUGUAUACAUAGUUGAAAACGAGUAAGGAGAUUCUUUAAGAUUUUGAAAAUUCGUUUCUUUCAGUUAAUAUUUUGCCAUUUCUUUUGUAUUCCAUGUUCUACAAUUCUGUUAUUUCUAAACUUUUUGCACAGAAGUCACGAUAUUGACUUUGAUUUUGAUUUUUAAGAACACAACAGGCUUUCAAGCUCAAUAAGAAACAGUACUUCACCUGAAAAUGUGAUUGUAAAAAAUGGUGAUAUUUCCACUGUCAAUUAAUUAUUUUGUUGGUGCAACGUUGUUUCAUUUACAUCAAAUUAGUCUUGUAGUAGUAGAAUAGUUAAACGCCCACGUUUAAAUUAGUUUUUGAUAGACGGCCUGUAAAAACAAAAAUUGUUUUAAUGCACCACGUUGAAGUUUUAGUUUCAAAUCACGAAUACAAUUUUACAAAGUCAUUGUAAAAUUUGUUAAUGUUUGACAAGUUUGGUGUGAUGAUAUAAAAAAUUGUUACUUCACAAACCACAUGCAAAAUAUGACACUGCCCAGAACAGAAGUAAACAGUUUCACUGCAUGAACUGAAUUGGUUUCUAACACCAUUACAUUAUCCAAGUUUAUUUUUUAACAUUUGAAUAAUAAAAAACUUUAAUGACCGUUUGGAUCCCUACAACACAUCGCAACAAUUUCAUCCCAAACGAACAUGUCAAAAAAAAAUAAACAAAGCUGGUGGCCACCUUCCUGGAGACUUGCAAGACAUCCUCCCCAAUUGAAAGGGUACAAUUUUCUUCUCAUGUUUUCAUAUUUACAUAUAAACAAUUUAACAGAUCGAAAAAAAGAUCAACUCUAGAUCGACAAAAAAAAAAAAAAAAAAACAAAAACAAAAAACAUUGGAUACAAUGGAAUAAAUCACAGAAUCGAUUAUAGAUUCCUGCUGAAGUCUAAAUGUUCGGCAGCAAUACAACAUCCUUGAAAUAUGCGUCACGUCCAUAAAGCAGUAGAUGCCCUCAUAACGAUCAAAUUCCUGCUAAAACCCUCUCAAAUCUCUUACAAAUUCACGCAUUGCAAAUAUAACACCAAACAGGAUGCUUAAUCUGACCACAAGCUUUGCUAGCAUGUUUCUAACAUAUUCAUGACGUUUUAAAAAUAUUUUCUCAUUGUCGGCGAUAUCUUACAGGAAAGCCUGGAACAUCAGCAGGAGCAAGCGGAUGACCGCUUCGUGAUCAAACGAUUUUCAGAAGAAGAAACCAGGCACUGCGUUAGUGAGCACAAAAUUGGGGUCAGGAUGCAUCAGUCCGAUUCCGAAUCUGGCCAGCUCUCUCUCAAAAGCGCCACCAAAGAACUGAUGUCAAUGAAACCUACAAACAUAUCUUGCCGCGAUUUGAUGAGCUCUGUCUGUUCACCCAGAGGCAAUGUCAAAAAGAAGCUCUUCGUGAUGUGGUGAUAGCUUUCUUGAGAGACAAAGGAUUCCAGCACCACAUGCCAGUUCUUCAAGAGGGCGACCCUUUCUGCAGUGCUUAAUAGCAGGUCCCCUUCCAGCACGGCCGUAUACAACCGCAGAAUAAGCCUGGCCAUUUCCAUCCCAGCCGCAUUGCAAUGAGGCGCAUUGAAAUAAUUCAUUCUUAUGACAAUUGAAGGAAGAUCCUCCAUGUGGACAAUGCACAGAACCAGCUCUUCGGCAACCCUAGCGUUUAAGAGAGAUCUCAACACCCAGCAGACCGCUAAAAGCUUCUGUGCAAGCUUAAAAAUCGUGGACUGUUGAGGUUGAAGAGUCUCAUUAUGCUCUUUGUCAAUUGCACUGAGCGUAUUUUUUGCCUCGUUACUGACAAUUGUCACCACCGUCUUGGCGACAUUAACAGGGGUCCCAGAUCCAACGCCAUGCAAAAAUUCCUCAAUCAGUGUGCGAGUGUUCUUGAAGUUGUCAUUAUGGGACAUUGCCGAGCGAAUCCAAUAUUGGUAAACGUCGCACAAGUGCCUGUAACGAUCUCUAUCGUUCAUGUGUAGUCCUAGUCGAGCAAUAAGGUCUGUGGCGUGACCACCGUGGAAAUCUGGGGAGUAAGAGUAUUCUCGAAUCCUGACUUCAUCCUCGUUGGACCAGUGGAUAGCGGAUAUGUACCGGGAGAUGGAGUCCAUUAGUUCGUGAAACUCAAUCUGCGAGGCCACCUUCAGAAGCUCUACGGAAUGUUUGAUCUCUCCGAAGUCCUUUUGAAACGGCGAGUACAUGCGACUGAAGCAGGCUGUGUAGUAUUCGACAUCCGAGUGAACCUCCAGAAAAAAUUCGCUCACAGUGGACAAUGGAUUUGGCUUCCGCCAUCUCUCGCUCAAGCACGUCUCGAAAUACUUGCUGUAUUGACUCAGACGCCUGGAAUGUAUCUUUACCAGCACGAGAGUCUUGUCGCGAAUUUCACUAUCGCUGCAUCCUGCGAGAUCGGUCCCGCUAGGUACUAGGCGGAUAGAAACAUCUUGAUCUACCUCAAUUCCGCCGCACCACACAAUCUGUCCCGUUUCCAAAGAGUCCGCUACAGCCGAAUCCGAACUCAUCUUUAAGCUAAUCUUGGUGGACGAACGGAAGUGCGAAUAAACUGGUCUUGCUCUCUCCACUCAGCUGGGCAAGAGUUUCACAUCUUCGACAAGUAGAACACAUGCUCAAAGCAUAGAACCUGCAAGCAUUUGAAUUCAAAGCCACGGUAUAGACCUACUUGUAUCUUUAUCCCUCCAUCGUCAAGGAUCCUAGUAGUAACUUCAAGCUACAGUACAUGGAGGGAAAGGGCAGGUCGAAGGCAACAAAGAGAAGACCAAAGGAAGAGAACAGUUCCAAAACAAUCCCUCGAACAAGCCCUACUGAAGAGGUGAAAUCAUGCAACAACGCAAGAUCAUGGCCACUAGACUAUGGCAACAAGUAAUCCACUCACACCAAGCAUGUCUCGAUCAACUGACCUCGAGAAUCUCCCUGUCGCUGCACCAUGCUCCCGCUGAAAUGGUUCGAACUGGGUGGAAAGUCGGAGAUGGCCGGCACAACUUCUAGAGCUCGAUGGUCUGAAAACAAUGGCGGUUCCCUGUAACUUGUGAGAAUCCUCAAGCUUCAUGAAAAGCUUUCAAUGGAGCAGCCUCGUCAGGUGGGUACCCCCCGAUUCCCGUUGCCUUCACCGUGAAGCUUCAAAGGGAGGGGGAUGAACAACCACGUCGGCAACGUUAGCCGGUUGGCAGCAGGCAAUUCGAGUCUCGCCGCCGUCGUCUCUCGAUAAGUGAAGUUCAUGCAAUGCCAUGCGGUGAGUGGGCUUGGCAUAAGCAUCAGCAGCGAUGGACUUGGCGGAUGAAACAGGAACAGAGAUGGCGUCCUCUCCCUCGCAGGAAAAAAGACGACAAGGAAACAACACCCCAAAAAUCAACACACAACAACGAAAGGAAGCAAGCAAGAUAGAAAGACAGAAAGACAGAACGAACGAACGAAAGAAAGAAAGAGAGAAAGAAAGAAGUGUAAACCCUAAAUGUGGACUUUUGAAUGUGAGAGGUUUGAUGAAAAGCAUGCUUACACUUACUCUUUCUCUCUGGAUAUGCAUUCAUGUAUAUAUGACACUUAAUUGGGUUCAUUUUGAUGUCAGAAAUUUUAAGGCGAGUUUCUAUGUAGGUUUGAACAUUCUAAAAGGAUAUUUGUAGUGUGUUUGUGGAUAUGUACACACACACACACACCCCCUAUAUAUAUAUAUAUAUAUAUAUAAAUAAUUGCAAAACAAAACUUAAUAUAUUGUGCUACAAAACAGGGAAAUAUUGAGAUUUCUUUUGUGUUACAAUCAAUCUUCUGUUGUAAAAUGAAUUUUGGUUUCAAAUUUUGGAGCUGUUUUAUAACAGUUAGAGGAUUUUCUGAAUCCUUAUAAAUCAUAUUAUUAGAUAAAGUAUCAACAUAAUAAAACAUAUUAAAGUUCAUAUAUAUAUAUAUAUAUAUAUAUAUAUAUAUUUUUACAUUUAUUUUAAUGUUACAAAAUUAUAUAUAUAUAUAUAUAAUUGUAAUUUUCUAAAUUAGUAAAUAAAGUAUCAAGUCAAAUUCAUUUAAGUAUAAUAUUGGUUAUUUAAAAAAUAUUUAUUUUAUUGAAAAAUAAAAUAUAUAAAAUAAUAUAAAUAAUAUUUCUUUACCAAAACCAUAUUUAAUAAGAAUUUUUUUGUUUUAAAGCAUUUUAUAUAAACUUUUUAAGAUGUUUUUGCUACAUAAGGUAUGGUCUCCUCUCAUAUCAUAGUUAUAUUAUAAAUAUUAGCCUUGAACAAGGCUUUAUUGAAAGUGUUUAUAGACCUUUGUGAUUUAUUUGUAUUCUAAUAUUCUCUUUCUUUGCUAAUAUUUUUAUUGAUAAUAGAAUUUUUAUUUAAUAAAAAAUAUUCCAAAAAUAAAAUUUUGUGAAGUGAAAUAAAUUAGUAAAUCAAAAAUAAUGUGGAUUUAAGAAAAAUUAAUUUAUAAGUUAUAAUUUAUUUUGAUGUUCUUAAAAGAAAAAAGAAAAACUUCUACCUUAUUGUUAAAGAAGAUUGAGAUUUGAUAUUAUAUUUAUUGAUCUUAUUAAAUUAUUCAAUUAAAAAAAUCAAGAAUAAGUAGAUCAAAUUUAUAAGUAAAUUCUAA